AAGCACAAACGGUAUUGCAAUGCUUGAAAAUGAGGCCUAGGGUUCAUACUUUCGCUAGUGCAAUCUCUCAAGAAUGCUAAUAUAAUUGGAUCAUAUAACCACCCCUCAACGUGCAAUGAAGAAUCACUACAAAGUUCCUAUCUAGCGGAGAACAUAAGAAGAAAUUGUUUGUAGGGUAGGAAACCACCUCGAAGUUAUUUUUUCGUUCGAUCUAUCCAAGAGUACGUACUAAAAUAACACCAAAUAAUUUCAGAUUCAUAAUACUCAAUCCAACACAAAGAACUUCAAAAAGUGCCCCAAGAUUUCUACCAGAGAAACAAAAGACGAGAACGUGCAUCAACCCUAUGCAUAGAUUACCCCAAUGUCACCGAGGGAAUCCGCAAGUUGAGUGUCAAAACACAUAUCAACUGAAUCAAUAUGAUACCCCAUUGUCACCACGAGUAUUCAUAUGCAAGAUGGUAGCAUCAAAAUUAUGUCUAGAGGGUGGUGAUUAGACUACUUGACCAAAUAAAAAUCUAUCAUUUCCCUAAUUUUAAGUCUUGGCAAAUUUUAGCAACUUAGCACAAGUCAAGCAAUCAACCUACACAUGCAAGUCUAAGAGUAUAGCAGCAGAAUGUAAAACAUUUGCAUAUGAAGGUAAAGGGAGGAGUUUGGAGGGAGCAAACGCAAUGUAGACACAUAGAUUUUUGGCGUGGUUCCGAUAGGUCGUGGUAUCGUACAUCCACGUUGAUGGAGACUUCAACCCAUGAAGGGUAACGGCUGCGCGAGUCCACAGAGGGAUCCACCCAUGAAGGGUCCACAAAGAAGCAACCUUGUUUAUCCCACCAUGGCCAUCGCCCACGAAGGACUUGCCUCACUAGGGCAGAUCUUCAUGAAGUAGGCGAUCUCCUUGCACGUACAAACUCCUUAGUUCAAAUCCACAAUCUUGACGGAGGCUCCCAAGAGACACCUAACCAAUCUAGGAGACACCACUCUCCAAAAGGUAAUAGAUGAUGUGUUGAUGAUGAACUCCUUGCUCUUGUGCUUCAAAUGAUAGUCUCCCCAACACUCAACUCUCUCUCAUAGAUUUGGAUUUGGUGGAAAGAUGAUUUGAGUGGAAAGCAACUUGGGGAAGGCUAGAUAUCAAGAUUCUUGUGGUUGGAUUGGAAUAUCUUGGUCUCAACACACGAAUAGGUGGUUCUCUCUCAGAAAAUGUAUGUUGGAAGUGUAGGCACGUUCUGAUGGCUCUCUCCACGAAUGAAGAGUGGGUGGAGGGGUAUAUAUAGCCUCCACACAAAAUCUAACCAUUACACACAAUUUACCAAACUCGUGAGACUGAAUCAUGAAACUCGGUCACACCGAUUUAGUUCAAAAUGUGAACAUUAGGCUUUUCGGUGGGACCGACAUGUCAACUCGAUGGGACCGAUUUUGUUAGGGUUAGGGCAUAACGUAAUCUCGGUGAGACCGAUCACAUAAAAUCGUUAAGACCAAUUUCUGUAAUAGGCAAAUAGAGAGUUGGUUAGGCAAACUCAGUGGGACUGAAUCUCUCAUUUCGGUUAGACCGAAACGUUACGAAAGGGAAACAGAGAGUUUGCAUUGCGAGCUCGGUGGGAUCGAUCGCUCAUCUCAGUUAGACCGAAACGUUACGAAGGGAAACAAAGAGUUUGCAAUCCCAUCUCUGUGAGACCAAGAUCCCUAUCAGUGAGACCGAACUGACUAGGGUUUCUGGCAGUGGCUAUGUCAAAUGAACUCGGUGGCGCCGGAUAGAUCAAAUCGGUGGGGCCGAGUUUGACUUUUGGUUUGGGACAUAUGUGGAUAUGAGAAAGUGGUUGAGGGCUUUUGGAGCAUAUCACUAAGCAUUUUGAGCAAGUAAACCAUUAAGCAACACCUCAUCCCCUUUUAAUAGUAUUGGCUUUUCCUAUGGACUCAAUGUGAUCUUGGAUCACUAAAAUAAAAUGUAGAGUCUUGAGCUUGAGCCAAUAUGUGUCCUUAGCAUUUUGAGGGGUCCACAUUCCUAAUCCAUGCCAUGCCAAUCAUUGAACUUUUCGAAAUGAUCAUCUUGAAAGAGCAUUAGUUCAAUGAGCUAUAUGCUGUUAGAAAUUACCAAAACCACCCAGGGAUAGUUGCACUUUCAAAGACAUAUAUCGAGUGCUCUCAAAUCCAUAAAAGUAUUCAAUCCGAUAACAACGAAAUGUCAAAGGGAAAAACUCAAUUCAUCACAACAAGAUAGAGAUGGGAAAACACCAUAUGACCCGACUAUAGUAACAAAGCCCGCGAUAUAUCAAGAUCAUGACAUCGCAAGAACAAGAGAGAGAGAGAGAGAGAGAGAGAGAGAGAGAGAUUAAACACAUAGCUACUGGUACAAACCCUCAGCCCCGAGGGUGGACUAUUCCCUCAUCAUCAUGGUGGCCACCAGGAUGAUGAAGAUGGCCACGAAUGAUGAUUCCCUUCUCCGGCAGGGUGCCGGAACGGGGUCUAGAUUGGUUUUUCGUGGCUACAGAGGCUUGCGGUGGCGGAACUUCUGAUCUAGGUUUACCCCGAGGGUUUUUGGAAUAUUUUAUGAUUUAUAGGGCAAAGAGGGGGUGCAGGAGGCUAUCGAGGUGGGCACAACACACCUGGGCGUGCCUAGGGGUGGGUUGUGCCCCCUCGGGGCACCCCCCAGGUGCUGCUCUGGUCCACUGGAUGUCUUCUGGUCCAUAAGAAAUCCACAAAAAGUUUCACGGUGUUUGGACUCUGUUUGAUAUUGAUUUCCUGCGAUGUAAAAAAAACAACCAAAAACAACAACUGGCACUGGGCACUGGGUCAAUAUGUUAGUCCCAAAAAUGAUAUAAAUCUAAUAUAAAAUAAUUGUAAAACAUCCAAGAAUGAUAAUAAAACAGCAUGAAUACUUCAUAAAUUAUAGAUACAUUGGAGACGUAUCAUGCCUUCUCAAUGCCAUGAAAGUAUCAAUGUAUCAUCUUCACUCUUCUGCCAUGGCCACGACCGAUGCCGGAGAAGGAGAUGAAAAUAGAGGAUAAACCAUCUUCUUUGUCGCGUGUUGCAUUAAAAGGAGAUACAAUGUCUCCCUUCCUUUUCAUUUUGCAACAAUUCUGCAAAUAAAAAGAAGUUCAAUCUGUUAAUUGUCUGUUUGAUUGAAUACAUAAUAAUCGUUAAUCAAUCAACUCAAUACAUCAGUUCCGAGUUCCAAUUUGCAUUCACGAGUAAACUUGUUUAAAUUGUAAAUGCAAAUUAUACUUUGAAUUAAAAAAUACGGAGACCAUACUUUUAAUCAGAGAAGAUGAGAGUGAGCUCUUACGGGUCGAUAGUGCGUGUAUUGCCAAGAGCUUGAUGUCUACUACACAACCUUCUUUUUGUAGACGUUGUUGGGCCUCCAAGUGCAGAGGUUUGUAGGACAGUAGCAAAUUUCCGUCAAGUGGAUGACCUAAGGUUUAUCAAUCCGGAGGAGGCAUAGGAUGAAGAUGGUCUCUCUCAAGAAACCCUGCAACCAAAUAACAAAGAGUCUCUUGUGUCCCCAACACACCCAAUACGAUGGUAAAUUGUAUAGGUGCACUAGUUCGGCGAAGAGAUGGUGAUACAAGUAGUAUAUGGAUAGUAGAUAAUGGUUUUUGUAAUCUGAAAAUAUAAAAACAGCAAGGUAACUAAUGAUAAAAGUGAGCACAAACGGUAUUGCAAUGAGUUGAAACAAGGCCUAGGGUUCAUACUUUCGCUAGUGCAAGUUCCCUCAACAAUAAUAACAUAAUUGGAUCACAUAACUACCCCUCAACAUGCAACAAAGAGUCACUCCAAAGUCACUAAUAGCAGAGAACAAACGAAGAGAUUAUGGUAGGGUACGAAACCUCCUCCAACAUGCAACAUAGAUACCCCUCAACAUGCCAAAUUAGCGAAACUUAUCUUGAUGCACUAAUUACUGUAUAUUGGAUAAAAUCAAUUAAUGUGAAGUUCAAAACUCGUAAGCAAGAUACAUUUACUAUAAAUUCAUUCCAGGCAGAAAACUCUACAAAAGAAGCCAAAGAUUAGUAGUGAAAAUGAAAUAAAAUUAAAAGGUGUGCAUGGGGUAGCUGAUUCAAAGUAAUAAAAACAUUGGCCAACAUCAUGUAGGCAUCAGCCACAAUCUGAAAAUGACUGAGAUGUCAGGCAUCACGAUAUGAGAGGGAGAUUAAACCAUCAAAAGUUCUGGCAGACCAUCAAUUUUCAUACUCACAUGUAUCUCUACUUAUAAAAGAUAACAACCUCUUAAAAGACUAAGAUGUUCUUAUGAUCAGUACUGUUCAACAAUCAUCACCAUCAUUUGUCUAAGGACGACAUACUAUGGUCUCAAGAUAACAUAUAACAUAAAACAACACUAGGAUAAAAAUGAUUUAGGAAAUUGUAAGGGUUGUUCAGCAGUUUUUUAUCCCAUUUGUUAUGCCCGUAGGUGUAAAUGAUACUACUAUUGUCCUUAUUCCCAAAGUGAAGAACCCUUAGUGCAUCAAGCAUUUCAGACCAAUCAGACCAUGCAAUGUAAUUUAGAAAAUUAUUUUGAAGUGCUUGGUGAAUAGACUGAGACCUCUCUUGGAUGGUAUGAUCUCUCCCACUCAGAGUGCCUUUAUUCCAGGAAGGUUAAUUUCUGAUAAUGCACUUACUACGUUCGAAUGUAUUCAUUUGUUGAGUACAUUAAAAGAUCAGCGUGGAGAGUUUUGUGCAUAUAAGUUGGACCUCGCAAAAGCGUAUGAUCGAGUGGAUUGACAAUUUUUAAAGAGUAUGUUGGGGGCUUUUGGUUUUGCGUCAAUUUGGAUUAACUGGAUUAUGACGCUUGUUACUUCUAUGAAAUUUUCAGUUCAUUUUAAUGGCCAGUUGUUGGAACCUUUUUAUCCAUCUUGUGGCCUCAGGCAAGGGGAUCCCUUAUCUCCAUAUUUGUUCCUGUUUGUGGCUGAGGCCCUCUCUUUGUUGUUAAAGGAUGCAUGUGAUAAAGGAGCUCUAAAGGAGUUUCACUUGAAUAGACAAGCUCUAGGUAUUCCUCACCUAUUGUUUGCAGAUGACAGCCUGCUCUUUUUCAAGGGAUCCAUAGAUCAAGCCUUAAUCAUUAAAAAUAUUAUGUCGACCUAUGAGGUGGGAACUGGUCAGCUUCUGAGCCCUGAUAAUUGUUCGAUUAAAUUUGGCCAGAAGUGUAGUAUGGAAGAUCAGGUGGCCACGAUGGUUAUUCUAAAUAUUACCGCAGAAGGUUUUGAGGAUGAGUACCUUGGCUUACCAGUACCUGAGGUUAGAAUGAAGGUUGGUAAGUUCCAGUCAACCAAAGAUAAGGCUUUAAAAAGAUCAUCAGAUUGGAUUGAAAAAUAUGCUUCAAGCGGUAUAAAGGAAACUUAAAUCAAGGCAAUGUUGUAAGCGCUCCCAGUGUACGCCAUGGGUAUCUUCAAAUUUCCAGCCUCAUUAUGUGAUGAGCUGGCUCAGAUUAUAAGGAAUUUAUGUUGGGGAGAUGAAGAAGACAGAAGGAAAACUCAUUAGUUAGAUUGGGAUAAACUCACUAAGCCAGGAAGUGAGGGGUCAUGGGUUUCCGAGAUCUUAGGUUAUUUAAUCAAGCACUCUUGGCCAAACAGGCUCGACGGAUAUUGGUGUACCCAGGUUCAUUGUGUGCUAAGGUUUUGAAGGCAAAAUACUAUCCCAAUGGUCACAUACCGGAUACUGCUUUCCCACAGUCUACAUCGGUAAAUUGGCAAGGUAUUAUGCAUGGCCUGGAUCUGUUAAAAAAGGGGUCAUCUAGAGAGUGUUCGAUGGAAAAACCGUAAAUAUUUGGAGAGAUACCUGGCUUCCUAGAAAUUUCGGCCUCAGAGUCAUAGCAAAGAAGAACCGUACUAGACUGAAAUGGGUGUGUGAAUUAUUCAUGAGCAGAACAAGAUGAUGGGAUAAAAAUUUAAUUAGGUACUUGUUCUAUCACCAUGAUGGAGAUCCCAAAUUUACGUAUACAGUCUAUCGGAGAGGGUGAUCAAAUUGCUUGGCACGAUGAGAAAAAUGGUAUGUUUUCUGUUAAAAGUGUGUAUAGACUGGCCUUAAAUGUAAAGGAUUGUAAGCACGAGACAAGAACGUCCAGCACUGUCGUUAAUGAGGAUAGGAGGAUGUGGGAUGUUAUUUGAAAGGCCAAAGUUCCGCAAAAAAUUAGAAUUUUUGCUUGGUGAGCCGCGUCCAACAGCUUGGCUACACAGGUAAACAAAGUUGCUCAUCACCAAACGGUGUCAGGUAUGUGCACUAUUUGUGGUGUGGAGGAUGAAAGUAGUUUCUAUGCCCUUGUGACUUGUCCUAAGGCGCGUGCCUUCCGUUUUGCCAUGAGAGAUGUGUAGAAUAUUUCUGGAGAGGAGCUUUUUCAGAUGUACGGGGCUGGACUGGAUUCUUCUUUUGCUUGACCAGCUGGGGUUACCGCUAAUCCACGUUCCGAAGGGCUUGUCAUCUGAGAAAUGAUCUGAUCUUUGAAAGAGGAAAAGAAACAUUAACGGCCUCUGUUGUCUUUGUGGGAAAUUACUAGAAAUAUUUCACGUUAGCAAACGUAUGUGUGCAAGUUGACUUGAGCACCAAAGAUAAGGGGGUGAUUGACAAUUGGAGGUGUGUUAUUCCACCCGCGAAUGAUCGUCGGGUUUGGGAGCCCCCGGAUCCUGAGUGUAUUAAGAUAAAUGUUGAUGCUCGUUUCUUGGAGAGCAUGAGAUCUGCUAGUGUUGGGGUUGUUGCCAGGAAUAACUUGGGCGAAGUCUUGGUUUCAUCAUGGGAUUUUAUCCGGUCCUGUACAUGUGUGGAUGAAGCAGAACUUCGUGCGUCCCUCGCCGGGUUAUACAUUGGUAUUACACUUUACAAACCAUUUGUCUUGGAAACUGAUUGCGCUUUUGUUGCUUUCUUUCUGGCAAAAGAAUCCAUCGACAGGUCUCCUCUUGUGGAUAUGAAAAUGGAGGCACUGAGCGUUUCAAAACUUAUAAAGGAUUUCAAGAUCGUGAAGAUUGAUAGGCAGGCUAAUAGGGUGGCGCACGAGAUUGCAAAAUCUAGUUUUGAUAGCAGGAUCGAUGGUGUUUUAUAUAAUAGUAUUUGGCCCUGUGUGACUAAUUUUGUAAUGAACGAUCGAAGAAUCUUGUUUUGUCUAAUUAAUAUAUGGGGGGUUUAAAAAAAUAAAAAUGAUUUGAAAAGUAGUUUUGUUAAAGUGACGAACUUUUGUUAAUUAGAUGAAACCAGAGAAAUAAACAAUUUCUCAGGACACAGGAAGGUUGAGAAGAAGUCCAUGGCCAGCGAGAAUGCGGGCAUACAAAGAAGAAGAGGCGUCCCACUGAUGGCACCACCCACCAUGAAGAAUCUACAAUGAUGGGCAACAAAUAAUUAGAACCAAAGCUGCAAGAACAUGUAAAUCAAACUGAGCAAGGAAAAUGUGAGAAGGGCAAUAUUACUACACUUCAAAGAAAAAUUGCAUAAGCCAUUCCCAUCCUCUGCCUUUGAUAGAGCGGGAGCAGUCUGAAACUUCGGAUUCGGCUAUCACAAUAGCACAACAAAGUUGAGUGAUGAAAGCCUACCCACUCACUUGUUGGUCACCAGGUCAAGAGAGCUGGCUGGUUGGCAGGCGGAGCAAUGAGUGAAAGCAGAGCACAUGAGGAGGAGGCCGCUCGUCAUAGCAUGCUGCGCAAAUCACUUCGGCACAUGCCAUCACAGGUGACCAGCAUGACAUGACACGGUCUACAACAGUUGCAGCUGCAAUUCCAUCCGAAUGCGCAAUGCAGUCUUGCACCUGUCGUAAUAAUUGCCUAAAAUGAUGUUUCAGGUAACACUAAUCGCUGGCUGAUUGCACAUGAUUGGGUCAUCCUAGGCAAUACAUAUCAAACUGAUUGCAUCUAGAGAGAGAGAGAGAGAGAGAGAGAGAGGAUACAAUGCACAGCAAUGGCAUUAAUAAUCUGUGUCCUUUCCUUCCCUUCCAGUAGAACUUCGGGAUCCUGAUUGGCAUGGUAUUCUACUACUACAGACUAAGCGAAUUUUACUCAGAUUUUUUUUAUGGAAACGGUGCUCAAAAUGAUAUUAUCUUAGAGGUAACAUGCGUUCGGGCAGGUUCACUCCCGCUUGAACAUACCAUGGUCAUCAAUUUGAAACAAAAUACAAUAGUAUAAACCAUAGCACUAUUGCCUAGCCUGAAACUGAUUUGUAAUUAAGUAACAAAGAGAUCAACCAGUUAGAAGAUAUAGAGCAGAAAAGAUAGUUAUGUACACACCAUGUUGGCAGCAUGAAUGUUAAUAUAUACCGCUGGUGAGCACUUGUUAAAAGGUAUACAUGCACGCACGGAGCUCUUGCUCCUGCCGCCUCCCUCCCUCCCAGCGUUGGCCCGUUAUCAGCACUGGCGAUGGCACUGUACGUGACGCAGUGUGUCCAUCAGAGACGCCCUUACUCAACAUCAUAUACAUCGUUUUUGAGUUCCCCUGUUCCCGAACCAUAACCGUUCUUCGCUGUAGGGCGACUCUUGGUGGAACUCCAAUUGAGGUCUCUAUAGUUCUCAUCUCAACGGAAAGUAGCUCCUCUGUCAAAUCUCCCGCUUCUAUAUAUAACCUUCCUAUGACAUGAAGAGACGUGCACAAGAUCAAUUUGACAAAUUUUUACUGUGCUAAUCGAACCAUAUGACCUCUUAAUGCCAUAUCCUGCGGCACUACGCAGUGACUGGCAUGUCAAAAUAGUGGUCAUCCCCUGUGCCGCUCGACCCCUACCCCGACACCGCGCCAUCCGCCUCCCCUAGCUUGCCCCUACCCCCUCUGUGCUCCCUGGUAUUAUACCCUGGACCUCCCCUGUGCUCCAGUCGCGCGCCCGAACAUCAGCAGAGAACCGCGUGCCCGAGGCUGGGCAUUUGUGCCACUGCUCGGUAGCCCGCCUGCUGCCAUCGUCGCGUCGCCGCUGUGGCUGCACAGCACUGGUGAGCCACCGAUGAGCUCUUCCUCCCCUCUGUAGCCUCUAUGGUGCCGUUGUCGCCUCACACCGACACCUCCAAAGGUUGUCCUUAUCUCCGCUCGUUGGCCUCAGCUAUUAAAGCACUCCCGAGCACGCCUGCAAGCUCCAUCGUCCUCCCCUACCCCCCUCUCCAAAAUCACACUAGCUCGAGGAAUCCAGCUCUAGCGCCGUUCCUCUCCCUCCCCGGCGAAAUUGUUGUUGCCGAAUUCCACGUCCAUGGCGAACUCCCAACACCUCCCUCUUGUUAGCGACCUCCCCACUACAAGCCCAGGGACAGCCCGUCGAGACCAAGUCCCAGCCCACGACUCAACCCUCAGCCACACGCGGCAUACAUAUGUGACAGAGAAGGUCGUUCAUGGGGGCCUUGGCUAUUCAGAGGUAUGGCUUUGCUUGUGGAGGAUUAUGAUGGAAAAAAGGACCUACUUCAGUGGUUUUUGAUGGUCUAUACAUCUGAUCUCAUAUGUAUACGCACAAAAGAUAAGUUUGUUUCAAAAAACAUCUAAGGUAACAUACCAAAACCAAAACAAAGGGUUUGUCCCAACUAAAAUUGUAGUGAUCAGCACAUUCAAACAAAAAAACCCAACAUUCACACCAAAAAGAAAAGUAAAUGGCUAUUCUGUUUGCUGAGAAAGUUCAAAAUACCAAAUUUUGAAAUUCAAAAGUUCAAAAUACCAAAAGUUGAAAUUCUAAAGUUCAAAGCAAAAAGAGAAGAAAAAUUGAUCCUUCUACUUGUGAACUUCAUCAGCCAUCAGUCACGCCGUGGGGAGACAGACCAGCGACAACGCCACAAGAUACAGCCCUGGGAUAGCAAAGCGACAGCCACCCCAGCCGCUUCGAAGAGGCGACCCGCGGCUGACCAGCGGAUACCCUAGUCGCUCUAGGAGUCGCCUCGUAAUUACAGGAGAAAGAAAAUGCUUCAAUGGUUGCUCUGUUCCCUUCCUCUGCCUACCUGCCUAGUGCUAGUGGAAUCGAUCUCUGCAAUACGUUGUCCAUUGCCUUAUGCAACGAGCCAAAUAGUACUGACAUGGCCGUUUGACUGCCCAUCGCGGGACGUAGCCCGGCUCUGGGUGACGAUGCUGGGCCUAUUACUUGUGAAAGGGAGGGAUUCCUGACUUUCUUCUCCAAAAAAGGGAAACCAAGUGUUAUAAACAUUGUGAGGGUAUCUUCAACGAGGAACCCAAAACGGACAAGGUAUUUGCCCGCAGACGCGCCUAUGGACAGUGAUACGGGAGCUGGCUAUCCAACCGUCAACAUGACCGCAUGCAUUUCAAAGGGAAUUUGAACGAACCAAACGAUUUUCAUGCAAACACAUGGCACUGCUUCAUGACUACAUCAACAAGAAACUGAGAGCCAAUCUCUCAACAACUAACAAUUAAGUACAUUGAAAUCAAAUCAUAGUGUGAAUGUGCACUCAAAACAGGCUUUCGCCCCACUUUUAUAUAUAAAGCACUAACCAAAACCAUAUCCAAACAAGUUCACAAAGUGCGAAAGAUAAAAUAACAGAUCUACUGGGGCAAAACACAAGACAUUCCCAAAAAUGAAAACAAAAUGCGAUACACAACUCCUCAAAGCUGAAAGUGUUUGUACAAAUGGCAGACCUACGGAUGGUAGCCACAAAAUGAUCCACGAACNNNNNNNNNNNNNNNNNNNNNNNNNNNNNNNNNNNNNNNNNNNNNNNNNNNNNNNNNNNNNNNNNNNNNNNNNNNNNNNNNNNNNNNNNNNNNNNNNNNNNNNNNNNNNNNNNNNNNNNNNNNNNNNNNNNNNNNNNNNNNNNNNNNNNNNNNNNNNNNNNNNNNNNNNNNNNNNNNNNNNNNNNNNNNNNNNNNNNNNNNNNNNNNNNNNNNNNNNNNNNNNNNNNNNNNNNNNNNNNNNNNNNNNNNNNNNNNNNNNNNNNNNNNNNNNNNNNNNNNNNNNNNNNNNNNNNNNNNNNNNNNNNNNNNNNNNNNNNNNAAGGAUAUGGGUGGUUGGUUGGGAGAUAAUGUGGGAGAGGGGUCACCCAUGUGUAAAAACCGGACAUCCACCAAGAAAAGGGCAUUACAUUAUUGAUUAGCAGCUUUUAGUUGUGACUGUGGUAAAGAAAUGAGGCUUUCAAAACAAGUGUUUGUUAUGACUAACUGUACAAAUGGCGUACCUACGGAUGGUAGCCACAAAAUGAUCUACGGACACCCCCUCCCCCACCAAUUCCCACUAAUCCCUUCUGAAAAUUCAUGCAGUCUAUCGGGGAAGGAUAUGGGUUGUAGGUUGGGAGAUAACGUGGGAGAGGGGUUCACCCAUGUGGGGUGGGAGCACACUCUCGGAAAUAGUUGGACGCACACACGGGAGAGAUCCUGGUGGGACCCACGUGUGUGUUUCUCUUUUGCAAUUUAUUCCUAUGUCAAGUUUUUCACAAUUUUAAAAAUUCAAUUCUUUUGAGUGUUCAUUUUUGGAAGCUCCAAAUUCUGAAAGUUGAAGUUUUGAUAGUUCAAAAUAGCAAAAGUUGAAAUUCAAAAGUUCAAAUAUCAAAAGUUGAAAUUCAAAAUACGAAAAUUUGAAAUUCAAAAGUUCAAAAUACCAAAAGUUGAAAUUCAAAAGUUCAAAAUACCAAAAGUUGAAAUUUCUAAAGCUUUAUUUUUUGAAAGCCGGUACUGCAACUUCUGAAGGUGCCAAAAACCUUUCACUUCUCGACUGUUAGUAAUCAAUCAUACCCUUGUUGGCUGGCACAGGCAAAACUUUCCAAACCCAUAACUAUGUCCAGGCUGUGGGCUCCAUCCAAGAAGCCUUGGUUCGGUUGUACCAGGAUCCACUAGUCGAUGGAAUUGUUGGCAAAGAAUUUGUUUCUCCUCAUGCUAAUCACAUGCUCUAGCCGGACGUUGCCUGUGAGGGCACACCAUGACCUCGCUAGGGGCGGGGAAGACAUGUCGUUGUCACCGGAGGCGANNNNNNNNNNNNNNNNNNNNNNNNNNNNNNNNNNNNNNNNNNNNNNNNNNNNNNNNNNNNNNNNNNNNNNNNNNNNNNNNNNNNNNNNNNNNNNNNNNNNNNNNNNNNNNNNNNNNNNNNNNNNNNNNNNNNNNNNNNNNNNNNNNNNNNNNNNNNNNNNNNNNNNNNNNNNNNNNNNNNNNNNNNNNNNNNNNNNNNNNNNNNNNNNNNNNNNNNNNNNNNNNNNNGGUGGAGUUCGUUUUGACCCCUAGGAUUAGACAACAUUCGAGCUCUAGUCGCCGCUUGCGGGGAGAAGAAUCCUGACUGCCGAUCGUGGUGGGUGUGGGGGUAGCUUGCUGGAGAAGAGACGAGCUGGAGGAGGAAGAUGAAGCAGAGCCGUUUGAUUUCACUACAGUGGCUUAAAAUAUCGACCGGAAGAAAAGAAGAAAUCAGGUAACUAAUGAAUAGGUGGCUCAUUCUUGCCUUUUGUAUGUUCAUUUGGAUCCGUAUUGUACAAUUUGUUAACAGAACCUCCCUACCUUGAUCCCUGAAUACUCGGAAAUCGUGCGUCCAUUCCUCCUUUAUCUCAACCGUGGGAUGCAUGCAUGCCGAUGGUGCGAAAUUCCAGGCUCAUCUCGACGACACCAGCACUAUAUAUACGAUACGACCGGCACAAGCAAGGGACCCCAAACCCUAGUCAAUCCUAUCGCGCCGUCUUGUCGAGAAAGGAAGCUGAAGUCCUCAACCUGAUCUAAUGGCGGAAACAUACAACACCGACGUCGUUAUGGACGACGGCACCGUGAUCCGCACCACCGUGACGUCCUCGUCCCUCGACGUCCAGCGCUUCAUCGAGAAGGUGCAGGGGUCCCCGAUCCGCGUCGCCGGCCUCGACGCCGAGUGGCGCCCCACCCGCACUAGACGCGCCGAGCAGUACCCAAUCGCCGUCCUCCAGCUCUGCGUCGACCGCCGCUGCCUCGUGUACCAGAUCAUCCACGGCACCGGCAUCCCCAUCUCGCUGUGCAGCUUCCUCUACCUCUCCGGCUUCACCUUCGUCGGCGUCGGGAUCGCCGACGACGCGAAACGCCUGCGUGCUGAGUACAGCCUCGAGGUGUCCAACGCGGUCGACCUGAGGGAGAUGGCGGCUUACUCACCGCACCGGCCGCGACCGGAGCUGCGGCAGGCCGGGCUGAAAGACAUAGCGCUUGCGGUGAUGGGGGUGCGCAUCGCGAAGUCACGGGAGGUGACGAGCAACUGGGACGCGCCAUUGCUGUCGAUGGAGCAGGUCGAGUAUGCCAGCAUCAACGCCUACGUCUCCUUCGAAAUCGGUCGCCUGCUGCUCACUGGUAAUUAGUACUCCAUUAUCUGCCGAGUAUACCAGACCAUAGUAGCCUGGUUCGCGGGUCGAUGGUGCGAUCCACGUCCCGGGGUCGAUCGACCCCGAUCGAGGGUCGGGGACGACGCCGGGUCGAGCUGGAUCGAUUGCCGGGUCACGACCCCGAUCGAUGGACGAUAAACCAGAUUGAUAUACAGGAUUGCCAGAAACAUGUACGUGUUUAUGGGAAAUUGAUGCUUACCAGGCAAUCGCACUACAACAUACUGAACUCUGCCGGCCUACCGGGAUCCGCUGCUCGCCUGCCGGAACUCGAGCUGUCCACUGCCGUAUGAGGCAUCUCCCGUCCCGCACUCCCGCUACCGACUUGGUGCGACCUUGCUUGACUGGUGGAAGAAUGGUGGGAGGAGGAACAAGAGAGCGUGGGGCCGUGGAGGCUGGGAGGCUUGGAGCUGGAUCCAUGCCGGACUGGUGGUUUGAAGAUGAACCGAUAGAGAGGGGAUUUAGGGAUAGUUGUGCGACGCUUUGUGGGAAAGUAAUAAUGGUAGAUGAGAAAAUCACGCUAUGAGGUCUGACGUGUGGCCUGAUUUUGUACUUCCUCCGUCACGGUUUAAAAGGCACAGUUAAAUUUGCGUGCGUUUCCACAAUAGACAAGGUUUAGGGCGCAUUGCAUUUAUUUCUAGUAGCUAAUUAGUACUUCGAUAUACUAUUUCUAUAUGUAUGCGUAGUGUGAAUGCUAUUUUUUAGCCCAUCUCAUAACCAAUAGAUAAUCAUCUAGGUCCCAGAGAAUUUCCAAACGCGCCUUCUAAACCGUGACGGAGGUAGUAUUCAUUUUGUGAAGUAUCAGGCGGGAUUUUUUUCCUCCUCGCAAUACUGGGAAAUACAUCAUUGCAGAUCGUAAUGAUCUUUCUUUCCCUCCAUCGUACCAGGGUCAUCGACCCGCAACCCCUGGGAUCGCGAUCCACGUUCCCAAUUUUCGUUCCGAAGAUGUAUACCCCUAGUCGAUCCUCGUUCCGGAGGGGUGUCCACCCGCGACCCUUGACCCCGUUCCUCGACCCGGACGACCCGGAUUUCUGGCAACUAUGUACCAGACUACGUGGGCUAUUCAACUGGCAUACGAGAUCAGACUUGUCAAUAUCUCAGUUAAGUAGCCGAUCCAUUAUUUUCCAGGAAGAUAGCUCAGCCUUAAGCCAACUAUAUAUAAAGAGGAAUUUUGUUACUAUUAUUAUUUUUAUCAUCAGACCUCUAUGUAAGCAAGAAGGUAUUUUUGGAUGAUUUAAUAUAAGCUCUUUUGAUCCAUUGAGAUGCAAACUAUUGUUCAUUCGUGCCAUCUAUGUAGGUCAUACGUGCUUAGGGCAUCACCAAUGUUUAUAACGUUUAUUUCUUGAAAGUUGGCCUUAGGCCGAAUUCUUUUCAGUUGCAGAUUCAAUAGAAUAUGAGGAACUGCUCAGAGAAUGAAGAAUCUUAAGGGUCUGAUGUCCAACAUUUUUGGUUGGUACGGUACGAGUUGUAUAUUGAAAUGUCUUUAAUACCCCCAAGUUUACUUGUGUGGUGGUUAGUUGAAAUUAAUUUCUUGUGGUUUUUGAUAACUCUAAUUUAUGGUGGUUUAUGCUNNNNNNNNNNNNNNNNNNNNNNNNNNNNNNNNNNNNNNNNNNNNNNNNNNNNNNNNNNNNNNNNNNNNNNNNNNNNNNNNNNNNNNNNNNNNNNNNNNNNNNNNNNNNNNNNNNNNNNNNNNNNNNNNNNNNNNNNNNNNNNNNNNNNNNNNNNNNNNNNNNNNNNNNNNNNNNNNNNNNNNNNNNNNNNNNNNNNNNNNNNNNNNNNNNNNNNNNNNNNNNNNNNNNNNNNNNNNNNNNNNNNNNNNNNNNNNNNNNNNNNNNNNNNNNNNNNNNNNNNNNNNGAUGCAAUGAACAAACGUCAAAACACCGCAUGAGAGCAAUUGAUGAAUGCAGUGCGAGACUCCAUGGAAUUGCAGGCCCCUAACUCUAGCAGGACUGGCCCGAAUCAUCCAAGAAGCCCUUGGUUUUGCUGCACUAGGACCCAAACGAGGAAGCUCCUAGUUGAUGCUCAAUGCGCCAGUUUGUUGAGCAAUCGCGCACAAACGGGCGCUCGUCCGGCUGGCCCAUGUAGCACACGAUGUGUGAGCGCUUCCUUUGUCUUGUUUUUUCCUCUUUUCCAUUGGGUUUUUAAUUUUCUUUUGAUUUUGAAUUCAUUGAUUUGUCAAAAAGUGAAAAUUUUAGAAUGAGCUCCAAUCCACCAAUUGUUUGACUGACUAACUGACAAUAUAGUAAAUAAAUUAUCAUACCAGAUGCCUAGCUCGUGGUUACGUUGACAAAUUUGGAGUUAUGUCAUGUCUUCUUAAACUUCUAUGGGCACUUGUUGGCCGAAUGACCAUCGUCACCGCAAGUAAAGCAACCAUAUUUCUUAUCUUUUUCUUGUUCUUCUUACCCUUCUUCUUAAAGUUGGUAUUCUGUUGGACCCCAUUAUUUUCCUAAAUUUGUGGGCAUUCUUAUUUACCAUAUUGGCGGUAGAAGUGCUCUCAGCUCUUUACCGUGUGAGUCCUUUGCUCUCAAAUUCUCUUCAACACUCAGAUGACCGACGCAAUUAUCCACUGAGAAUUCACGUCUCUGAUGUUUCAGAGAGUGGCAAAGCUCCUCCAAGAAGGAGACGGUUUCGCAAUUAUGCAUCCUACGACAAACUUGUCCGGUAACUCACACUUAAGUUGUUUGAGCUUCUCAAUGAUGCACUGGACUUGUUCGAGCUUCUUAAUGAUGCUCUGGACUUCAUGAGCAUUUUGCAAUACAAGAUGGUUCUCAAACAUCCAGUAAUCAUGCAAUUUCUCCAUGGCGAGUGCAUCCCAUAAGUCCUUGGAAACCCGCAUAUUUAGAUAUGUGUCAACUAGUUUGUCUUCGCCCACACUCAUAACGGUUCCGACAAAAACGUUGGUGGCCUUUUAAACACCUUGUCCUUUUGGGUAGUAAUCGUCCCUUCAGAAGUACCACCAACGACCCAUAACACGUUAAUCAUUUGUGAGCUACAAGGCAGUUUUGGCUCACAACAAUGAAGGUGUUUUGGGUCGCUGGUGUAACUCAUGAAGGAACAAUUACUCCUGUACAUGAGAAGGUGUGUUUAAGAAGGCCACCAUCAUCUUUGUCAUAGUCGUUCUGAGUGUAAUAAAAGACAAACUAGUUGAUACAUAUCUACAUAUGCGGUUGCCAAGGACUUGUGGAAUGCGCUCAAAGCUAUGUUAGGUGCAACUGGUGUUGGAAACGAGAUAUAUGUUAUGGAGCAGAUCCAUGAUUACAGUAUGGUUGCGAACUGCCCUAUGUUGGACCAGGCUCAUGAGAUACAAUGCAUCGUUAAGGAACUCGAACUCCUUAAGUGUGAGUUACCGGACAAGUUUGUCGCGGAAUACAUAAUUGUGAAAUUGCCUCCCUGGAGGAACUCCGCUACUAUAAACCAUCAGAAACGUGAAUUCUCAGUAGAGGAUGUCAUCUUUCAUCUUGAGUGUUUAACAGAACUUGAGAGCAAACUUCUACCACUAAUAUGGACAAAUGGUACAUAAGAAUUUCCACAAGUUUAAGAAAAAGAUGAGGUCCGAUAAAAUACCAACUUCAAAAAGAAGGGUAAUAAGUACAACAAGAAUGAUAAGAAAUAUGUGACGAUGGUCACUGGGCCAAAAAGUUACCGCAGAAGUUUAACAAGCUAGUACAGAACUCCAAAGUCUGUCAACUUGAUCAUGAGCUAGAAUGAUAAUGGGGCAUUUUCAGUUGAUCAGUCUACCUAUUGAAAUGUGAGCGUGCUGUUUUUGUGGAUGAAAUACUGAACCAUGGCGAUCCUGACCGUUAGAUGUUGAUCAUGUGGCUGCAGAGAAACAUCAGUUAUCAAAAGGCCCCAGCAGUCCGCCGGGUUAGUUAAAAGACUGGCCUACAGCAUGAGGGCAUGUACAAUGGUUCUAUCUUAAGAGUGCCACGUAGGAUAAAUGAUGAAGUGGAGGAGAGAGAAAUCGUAAGAUAAGGCUUGUCUUCUCUUAUUUAAGAGAAGACAAGAGAUGAUCUCUUAACACAAUUUGUCUCACCAUGUUUUUAGGAACAACUAAUUAUUUAAGAUAAGGCUAAGAAAUGACUCAUUGUAGACAUGUUUUUUUGUCAUCUCUAAUUUACAUGCAAGACUUAAGAUAAGACUAUCUUAUCAACCAUUGUACAUGCCCUGAGGACGCUACGGCGCGAGGCAUGCUGCAGCAUCCACGUCCAGGGACGUCACUUCAAAUAUUCAUCUACAUGAGCAAAUAGCAAAAAAAAAAAACUACAAUUGCAGUCGAAAAUUUGCUCCAAAGAAUGGUUGAAUUUGUAAUUGUUAGAAUUUUCAAGUUUCAAUACAAAAAUUUCUCUGACAAUAUAAAGUUCUAUGUGACCGAGUAAUACUCCUACACCGUCGAGAGAAAAAAAAAUACUCCUACCAGAAGUUCAAAGGAGAUCAUGUGUUGGAUGAUAAAGGUGAUUCAUGUCAUUAUGCGCAAAAGGCCGUACUGAAAACAAAUCACCCACGGCUCAGCAAAGCAAACUAAGCUUUCCCCGAGCAUUCAUGCCCACAUCAAACAUCAAGCUUGAUAGGAAUGAUAUGAUCUGCCGAUCAACACAGCAGCACCUCAGACCUUCAGCUACGUUGAGCAACAUCUGUUUCAGCUUUCGCGAUGGUCGUCGUCUCCACGGACCCUGGCGGUGUUGGCGAGGAACAAUGCUACCUACACUCAUAUGCCUCAGCAAAACAAGGUCAGAUAAUCACUUGCAGAUUGAUGUCCCGAUAGUAUGAGCGUAAGAAUAUCCGCUGAAACAACUCCUGAAACUCGCAAAUCUUAGCCACUUUAUUGGACGAAUUCAAGGGUUCUAGCGUGAUACAAGAAGAACCUAAGGCUAACCAGGAACACUGGCGGCUAAGGGGAAAACCUAAUACAAGAGAGAUACCCAGGGAGUUCUAGGAAUGUGGCUUUAUAACCUUGUAACUUGGAGGAAAUAGAAGGAAAAGAAAAAUGGAGUAGUUGGCUCUCUGAAGGCUUGCCGGAAAGCCAACAGCGACACAGGAUGCUCUCGCAGCCGUUAGGUGCUGAUCAGACGCCAUCUGGGUCUUCAUAACUAGCGAAGGGGUACGGAGACAGGAGGAGCGUCAGAGUUGUCUCGUUCAAAUUCAAACUUAACUGAAUCGACGAUGCAGUGUUGAAUUCUUCAAAGAACACAUACUUGGGUCCUGAGUCCUGACACAGCCUUGCCAUCUUAGCGAGUAUAUGGUUGUGCUAUCACCUCCUCCAGCGCAAAAAUCAUUUAUGAGUUGUACCUUCAUGAUGAAAGAUAUGCACUGUGAGCAUCUGCAAUAACAUAAAUUCAUAGGCAGCUAAAAAAAAUCCUUUUCAGGUGAUACACCCUUUUCAGAUAAAUGAGGAGACACUAAACAGGUGAUACGCUCUAUUCAGACAGCUAAAAAACUGUUUUCUUGCAAAGCUAGGGGUGCAGACGUGGGCACGACUGCGCACUGAAAUGCGUAGCUGCCAAACUUCUAUAAUUGCAGAGAGUUUGACCUCACAUUUUUAAGCAACAAGGUCCCUUUGUAAAUCUAGUCAGAGCCUAAUGAUGUUCUUCUGAAACCCAAAAGAAAAUAAGAUGUGUGCUUCUUAAUGAGCGGAUCUGUCCAUGUUUUUAGCUUCUCCAGUUACAUGGUCAAACAAUAGGUGAUGCAUGUCCAAUGGAAGACCAUGGAAUUUUCUGCACUACUGAUGCUCACGUUUACCUACAAUCUCGUAUGUAUAUGCACAAAAGGUUGGUUCAUUUCAAAAAAAAAACAUCCAUGGUAACAAUACAAAAACCGAAACAACUAAAAUUAUAUGAGUUUGUUCUGUUCAUAAACAUACGAGUUUGUUCUGUUCAUAAACAUAUGAGUUUGUUUUGUUCAUAAACAUAUGGAAUCCAACUAAAAUUGUACUCCCUCCGUCCCAUAAUGUCAGAUGUUUUUUUGACACUACACUAGUAUCAAAAAAUGUCUUACAUUAUGGGACGGAGGGAGUAGAAAUCAGCACAUUCAGACAAGAAUACCCAGCAGUCACAUCUAAAAGAAUGGUUGGUUUAUCAUCGUCCAGACGAUAACAACCACAACCCAGCAUUUCAAGCUUCCUAGAAAUAUCUCUCCUUGACUGCUUCCAAGAUUCCCAGAAACUUCCUGUGGGAAAAGGACCACAAAUAAAAUGCUUGACUGACUCUGCUUUUUCCCAGCGUUUUGUUGUACCUUGCCCAAGAUAAACUCAUCCGCUUCUUUGCUUCCAUAUCCCAGUUCCAUAGUUCUCUGCAGCAAUGAAUCCCCUUCCCAUACACACAAUCAUCUGCGUUGUUUGUUGGUCAUAUUGGUUAUCCCCAUUCUGUGCACUUUCAUCAUCCAGCAGCCGCCUUCUUCCCGACAAACCGCUUUCAUCAUCCAGCAGCCGCCUUCUUCCCGACAAAACGCUUUCUGCUGGAAGCACCAUCACCUCCCACGACGGCACUUUUGCCCUGGGAUUCUUCCCCCCGUCCAGCUCUGGCACAAAACAUUACUACGUCGGCAUAUGGUACAAGAACAUACCCCAAGAUAACAUUGUGUGGGUUGCCAACCGUGCUAUGCCGAUCGCUGAUCCUUCUUCUGCAACACUCGCCUUCACAAACAGAUCCAAUCUCGCCUUGUCAGACACCAAUGGCCAGCUUUUCUGGACGACAAACAUCAGUGCUGCAGGAAAUUCAUUGUCAGAGGCAACUGGUGGAGAAGCCACGCUUGAGAACAAUGGGAAUUUUAUCCUUUGGUCAUCACAAGGCACCAUCUUAUGGCAAAGCUUCGAUUACCCGACCGACACUCUCCUUCCAGGUAUGAAGCUCAGGAUCACCCACAGGACGCAUGCACUACAACGGCUCAUCUCUUGGAGAAACCCCCAAGACCCAUCCCCGGGCAACUUCUCAUAUGGUGCAGACCCUGAUGAGUUUCUGCAGCGUUUUAUAUGGAAUGGCUCAACACCAUACCGGCGAAGUCCGGUAUGGAAUAAAUUUGUGGAAGUCGGGCAGUAUAUCGAGAGUAUCAAGUCCACGAUUUACUUUACACUACAACCUAUUGAUGAUGAGGUAUACAUUUCCUUUGGACUACCAGCACCAAGCGUCUCCUCGUUAGUGCUAAUGAAGAUGGACUGCUCAGGAAAGAUAAAGAUACGAACCUGGAAUAGCAACAUGUCCAAAUGGACUGACCUGCAGUCAGAACCUAACCAGGAAUGCAACAAAUUUGGUUACUGUGGUCCAUUUGGUUACUGUGACAACACGCAAUCUAUUGUAACAUGCAAGUGUCUUGAUGGCUUUGAGCCAAAUAAUAAACAAGACUGGACGGCCCGCAGGUUUUCGCAGGGAUGCCAACGAAUGGAAGCACUAAGAUGUGCUCAAGGGGAUGGCUUCUUAAAUGUGUCAACCAUGAAGGUUCCUGAUCAGUUCUUGUAUGUCAAGAAUAGAAGCUUAGAUGAAUGCAUAACAGAAUGCACAAGCAACUGCUCCUGCAUGGCAUAUGCUUACGCCAAUAUGGGCACCAAGGUUAUCAAUGGGGAUGAAACUAGGUGCCUAUUAUGGAUUGGAGAUUUGAUUGACACAGAGAAGCUCAUUGGAGAAGGGGAAAACCUCUACAUCCGGGUUAAUGGAUUCAAUGGUACAGUUUCCUGUUUCUGUUUCUGUUUCUCUGCUUGCGCUAGUAGAUAUAGCCUCUAUUUUGCGGGUCCAGUGGAGCUCCAGUAAUAACCCCCUUAGUACAUGUGUGCAUUUUAUAGAGCUUCUCCAGCCUUGCCAUCUCAACGAGUAUAUGGUCGAGCUUUCACCUACAUUGAAAACAAAUCAUUUCUUAGUAAUACAUUUACGAUGGAAGAAGUGUGCCGUGAAGUCGUGAACAUCUGCAGUAACAUAAUGAGUAGCAUGAGUAGACACUAAACAGGUGAUACGCUCUUUACAGAUAUGUAGUUGCACACGACAGCUAAAAAUUAUAUUUUCCUUGCAAAGCCAGGGGCGCAAAUGCGGGCAGGACUGCACACUCAACCACGUAGCUGGCAAAUUCUAUAAUUGCAGGGAACAGGGUUAUAUACGUUAUUCCACCUAUAGUGGUUGACCGCACAUCCUAAUGUAAUUUUUAAGAAACAAGCACAUGGUCCCUUUGUACAUUCGGUCAGGGUCCAAUGAUGUUUUUCUGAAGCCCAAAAGAACAGAAAAUGUGUGUUUCUUUAUGAGGUGAUAUGUCCAUGUUUUUAACUUAUCCAGUUAUAAUUCACAUGGUCAAACAUUAGGUAAAGCAAGUCCAAAGGAAAGAUCACGGAAUUUCCUGCACCACUGAUGUCUGACAUAAAGACCCAUGAUCGCAUAUGUAUACACACAAAAGAUAAGUUUCUUUCAAAAAACAUCUAAGGUAACAUAUCAAAACCGACAAGGGGUUUAUUCCAAGUAAAAUUGUAGUGAUCAGCACAUUCAAACAACAAAACCAGCAGUCACACCGAAAAGAAAAGUAAAUGGCUAUUCUGUUUGCUGAGAAAGGUAGUCCAUGAUAGUCCAGAUGAUAGCAACCAACCCAACAUUUUCAAACUUCCUAGAAACAUCUCUCUUUGACUACUUCCAAGAUUCCCACUUUCCCAGUAGCUUCCUGUGGAAAAAGGAGCGCAAAUAAAAUGCUUGACUGGCUCUGCCUCAGUUCUGAUGUGCAUUGUCCAAGGCAACUCAUCCACUUCUUUGCUUCCAUACCCCAGUUCUACAGUUCACUACAGCAAUGGAUCCCCUUCCCCUACACACAAUCAUCUGGCUUGUUUGUUGGUCAUUUUGGUUAUUCCCGUUCUGUGCAUCAUCCGGCAGCCGCCUUCUUCCCGACAAGCCGCUUUCUGUUGGAAGCACCAUCACCUCCGAUGACGGCACUUUUGCCCUGGGAUUCUUCUCCCUGUCCAGCUCCAGCACAAAACAUUACUACGUCGGCAUAUGGUACAAGAACAUACCCGAAGGCAACUUUGUGUGGGUUGCCAACCGUGCUAUGCCCAUAACUGAUCCUUCUUCUGCAACACUCGCGUUCACAAGCGGAUCCAAUCUCGCCUUGUCAGACACCAAAGGUACGCUUCUCUGGACGACAAACAUCAGCGCUGCAGGAAAUUCAUCAUCAGAGGCAACUGGUGGAAAAGCCACGCUUGAUAACAAUGGGAAUUUUAUCCUUCAGUCAUCACAUGGCACCAUCUUAUGGCAAAGCUUCGAUUACCCGACCGACACUCUCCUUCCACGUAUGAACCUCAGGAUCACCCACAAGACGCAUGCACUACAACGGCUCAUCUCUUGGAGAAGCCCCCAAGACCCGUCCCCAGGCAACUUCUCAUAUGGUGCAGACCCUGAUGAGUUUCGACAGCGUUUUAUAUGGAAUGGCUCAACCCCAUACAUGCGAGGUUCGAUAUGGAACAACAAUUUGCUAGUUGGACAGUAUGUCGAGAGUAUCAAGUCCACAAUUUACUAUACACUGCAAACUAUUGAUGAUGAGGUCUACGCUUCCUUUGGACUGCCGCCACCAAGUGUCUCAUUAGUGCAAAUGAAGAUUGACUACUCAGGCAAGAUAAAAACACGAGCUGGAAUAGCAACAGGUCCACAUGGACUGACCUGUGGUCAGGACCUAACCACGAAUGCAACAAAUUUGGUUAUUGUGGUCCAUUUGGUUACUGCUAACUGGAAGCAGUGAAUGUUGUACUCGAGACAUCAUUGAUGGCUCUGGCUCUGGCUCUGGCGACUCGNNNNNNNNNNNNNNNNNNNNNNNNNNNNNNNNNNNNNNNNNNNNNNNNNNNNNNNNNNNNNNNNNNNNNNNNNNNNNNNNNNNNNNNNNNNNNNNNNNNNNNNNNNNNNNNNNNNNNNNNNNNNNNNNNNNNNNNNNNNNNNNNNNNNNNNNNNNNNNNNNNNNNNNNNNNNNNNNNNNNNNNNNNNNNNNNNNNNNNNNNNNNNNNNNNNNNNNNNNNNNNNNNNNNNNNNNNNNNNNNNNNNNNNNNNNNNNNNNNNNNNNNNNNNNNNNNNNNNNNNNNNNNNNNNNNNNNNNNNNNNNNNNNNNNNNNNNNNNNNNNNNNNNNNNNNNNNNNNNNNNNNNNNNNNNNNNNNNNNNNNNNNNNNNNNNNNNNNNNNNNNNNNNNNNNNNNNNNNNNNNNNNNNNNNNNNNNNNNNNNNNNNNNNNNNNNNNNNNNNNNNNNNNNNNNNNNNNNNNNNNNNNNNNNNNNNNNNNNNNNNNNNNNNNNNNNNNNNNNNNNNNNNNNNNNNNNNNNNNNNNNNNNNNNNNNNNNNNNNNNNNNNNNNNNNNNNNNNNNNNNNNNNNNNNNNNNNNNNNNNNNNNNNNNNNNNNNNNNNNNNNNNNNNNNNNNNNNNNNNNNNNNNNNNNNNNNNNNNNNNNNNNNNNNNNNNNNNNNNNNNNNNNNNNNNNNNNNNNNNNNNNNNNNNNNNNNNNNNNNNNNNNNNNNNNNNNNNNNNNNNNNNNNNNNNNNNNNNNNNNNNNNNNNNNNNNNNNNNNNNNNNNNNNNNNNNNNNNNNNNNNNNNNNNNNNNNNNNNNNNNNNNNNNNNNNNNNNNNNNNNNNNNNNNNNNNNNNNNNNNNNNNNNNNNNNNNNNNNNNNNNNNNNNNNNNNNNNNNNNNNNNNNNNNNNNNNNNNNNNNNNNNNNNNNNNNNNNNNNNNNNNNNNNNNNNNNNNNNNNNNNNNNNNNNNNNNNNNNNNNNNNNNNNNNNNNNNNNNNNNNNNNNNNNNNNNNNNNNNNNNNNNNNNNNNNNNNNNNNNNNNNNNNNNNNNNNNNNNNNNNNNNNNNNNNNNNNNNNNNNNNNNNNNNNNNNNNNNNNNNNNNNNNNNNNNNNNNNNNNNNNNNNNNNNNNNNNNNNNNNNNNNNNNNNNNNNNNNNNNNNNNNNNNNNNNNNNNNNNNNNNNNNNNNNNNNNNNNNNNNNNNNNNNNNNNNNNNNNNNNNNNNNNNNNNNNNNNNNNNNNNNNNNNNNNNNNNNNNNNNNNNNNNNNNNNNNNNNNNNNNNNNNNNNNNNNNNNNNNNNNNNNNNNNNNNNNNNNNNNNNNNNNNNNNNNNNNNNNNNNNNNNNNNNNNNNNNNNNNNNNNNNNNNNNNNNNNNNNNNNNNNNNNNNNNNNNNNNNNNNNNNNNNNNNNNNNNNNNNNNNNNNNNNNNNNNNNNNNNNNNNNNNNNNNNNNNNNNNNNNNNNNNNNNNNNNNNNNNNNNNNNNNNNNNNNNNNNNNNNNNNNNNNNNNNNNNNNNNNNNNNNNNNNNNNNNNNNNNNNNNNNNNNNNNNNNNNNNNNNNNNNNNNNNNNNNNNNNNNNNNNNNNNNNNNNNNNNNNNNNNNNNNNNNNNNNNNNNNNNNNNNNNNNNNNNNNNNNNNNNNNNNNNNNNNNNNNNNNNNNNNNNNNNNNNNNNNNNNNNNNNNNNNNNNNNNNNNNNNNNNNNNNNNNNNNNNNNNNNNNNNNNNNNNNNNNNNNNNNNNNNNNNNNNNNNNNNNNGUGACCGUGACCGCGGCCGGUCCCCGGCUCGGGAGACUCGGCCGCCCCCUCGGCGCCGGUCUCCCUCGCCGGCCCGGCGCCGCGACCGGUCUCCCUCGCCGCCCCGACCGCUCCCCUCCAACGCCGAAGCCGACGCCACCUCCAGCCGCUACCAGCCCCCCCGCUCUCAGGCUGCGUUCCCGCCGUCCAAUGGUGGUAACGGCAACCGGGGACGCCCCGGAUCCAAGAAGAAGAAGAAGAAGGGGCCCCCGCGCCCUCAAGCCACCACCGCCUCCGCUCCUGUGGCUCCUCCCCCGGGUGCCGCCGCCGCGGCCGGGGCUCAGCCGUGCUUCAACUGCGGCCUCUCAGGCCACUUCCAGGUGGCAUGCCCCAACCCACCCUCGUGCUACUUGUGCAAGGAGUCCGGGCACCCCGCGAUUCUCUGCCCGGAUCGCCCGGUCUCGGAGGAGCUCAUGAUCUACGGGCACGGCAUCGAGGACUUGGCUUUCUUCCACAUCGAGGUGCCCGAGCUCGCCCCACCGUCCCCCUCGCUGCUGGCUGUGGUGACGGUGAUGGGCGACGCUGUCGCCACCCCGGAGCUGAUUGAGGCUGAGCUCAACCACCUGUGCCGUUGCUCGUGGGACUGGCAGGUGACUCCCACGGCCCCCAGCUCCUUCUCCGUGGUGUUCCCAGACGCGAUGAGCAUGGGCUUCUGCACUCGCAGCAACAACAUCACCCUGGCGCUCAACGACAUCGUGGUGAACAUCGCUGAGCCACAGUGGGAUCCCAGAGCCGUCGCCACCCUGGACACGGCUUGGCUCCUCAUCUCUGGCCUCCCCGAUGUGGCCCGGUCCGAGCGGACCAUCCGCAGUAUGUCCAAGAUCCUGGGCAGGGUGGUGGUGGUGGAUGAGCUCUCCCUGCGCAAGGAGGAGGAGGUGCGGGUUAAGGUGAAAUGCCUGGACUCCUCCAAACUCCACGUCACGAUCCGGGUCUUCUUCAACGAUGAUGGCUACGACCUCAAGAUCCGCCCCGAGCCUCCGUCCCAUGUCGGCCGUCCUCGCCUCUCGGCGGGCAGUCUCCUGGGAGGGGGCCCUGCGGCUGAUGACGACACCCACCACCGCCGCUCGCGCUCCUCCCGCUUCGAUGAUCCUGCCGAGGAGGAUGAGUCGGAGCACUCUCGCUCCCCGUCUCGGGACUCCCCCAACCCUCCCGCGGGUAGGGGUGGGUCGGGGCCGGGGCGCUCUCGGGUGACGGCUACCGAUCUCGCGGUGGCCCUCCGCCUGGCCACCCCUCUGGCUCCCUCCCCAUCGGUGUCGGAGUCCUCCGGCGUCAUCUCCAGCGUGAGCCUCCUCGUCGCCCCGCCCUCGUCCCCCCGCUCCCCCGACGCCACCUCGGCCCGCCGCCCUGCGACACCAGGGGCCGAGCCCACCCCCGCCGGCUCGGACCCCCUGCUGUCCCCNNNNNNNNNNAGCGGUGGGGGAGUCCCUGGGGUCACCCGCCCCCCUCCCCGCGUUGGGGCCGGCCUGCCUCACCCCCGCCUCGCCGGCUUCCCCGGCCACCUCGCUGACGGUGGACGUCGCCUCCCCGGCCUCCGCGCACCCCCCUCCGACGGUGGCGUACACCAGGAGACCCCGGUCCUCCUCCACGCCGGUGACGUCCUCCCGCCGCAGCGCCCGCCUGGAGGCGUCACGGCCGGGCGACUCUCCUGCUCCUUCCGUCGCCGAGCGGGCGGAGCUCCGCGCCGCGGUGCGGAACCUUGAGUCAGGUGUGGAUCCCGUCCCUCCCAGUUCUUCUCGUUGCUCCUUUUCUGCUCUCGAGGCCGCUCCCCUUGGCCACCUUGCUAAGGUGGCCAACGACUCGGCCAUUGUCUUCAGGGGGGAGGUUGGGCCCCCUUUAGAUCAGAUUGAGGCCAUCAGGGCCCGGGAGAUCCUCGACGGCAAGCUGGCCGAGUCUCGUGCCCGCCUGCUUCGGCCUCCAGCUCCGACCCCUCUGGUGGCCGACGGGAUCAUCCGUGGUCGCACUCGGUCUCGCACGGCCGCCCUUCGCGCGCAAAGCGCCUCUCGUGUCUUGGGGUCAAGCAGCCCCCCGAUGGGGGUUUAGAUGAGGGCCCUUUUCUGGAACCUCCGCGGCUUCGGCCAUGACGGCCGUCGCCGCCAGCUCAUCGAGUACAUCCGGGACGAACAUAUUGACAUCAUUGCCAUCCAAGAAACCCUUAGAGUCGAGUUCACCCUACAGGAGCUGGAACAUCUGAGCCCCCACCUCUUCGCGUGGCACUGGCUCCCUUCUAGCGGGACCUCAGGCCACUCGGGUGGCAUCCUUCUUGGGGUUAAGGAUGCCACUUUCGAGGUGGGCGGCAUGGAUAGAGGGGAGUUUUUCGUUAGCAUGGAGAUCUUCGAGCGGGCUUUGAACUUCAAAUGGGAGGUCAUUGCGGUCUACGGUCCGGCUGACCACCGCCGCUCCCCGGCCUUCCUUGCCGAGUUGCAGCUGAAGAUCUCCAACUCCCCACAUCCUGUUUUGGUGGGGGGCGACUUCAACCUCAUCCGUUCGCCGGACGAGAAGAAUAAUUCCCGGGUUAAUUUCCCCCGGAUGCAGCUUUUCAACGAUUGGAUUGCGGAGCUGGGGCUCCGUGAGCUUGACCGGACUGGUGCCAGGUUUACUUGGACCAACCGGCAAACUAUUCCGACACAAUACGUGCUGGAUCGUGUCCUAGUUUCCCCGGAGUGGGAAUUGCGAUGCCCCCUGGCAUCGCUCCGGGCGGUCACCCGGAUUGGUUCCGACCAUGUCCCCCUUCUCCUCUCCACGGUUGACGAGCGCCCUCCCUCCCCGCCGCGGUUCCGGUUCGAGAGCUUCUGGCUCAACCAGGCGGGCUUCCGGGAGGCCGUCGUCGCCCGCUGGAUCUUCGCCAGGUCGGCACCCCAUCGCGCCAUGUCCGCGGUCGAUACUUGGCACUUUUGUGCCAAGUUAGCCCGCCAGUUCAUGAAGGGUUGGGGGGCUAAUCUUGGCCGGGACCUGAGAGAGCGCAAGAAUUCCAUCCUUGUGGCGAUUCAAGCCUUGGAUGCGCGCGCGGACUCGACCGGGCUCUCCUCGGAUGAGUGGCUGCUGCGCUACGACCUAGAGGACCAGCUAUCCCUCAUCUACACGGACGAGGAGGCCUACUGGCGCCUACGGGGCACCCAGAGAUGGGUGCUUCAGGGCGACGCAAACACCGCCUACUUCCAGGCGGUUGCGAACGGCCGGCGCCGUCGCAACUCCAUCCACUGCCUGUGGGAUGGAGAUGCGCAGUUAGUGCAGCCCGCGGCCAUCCGCCUCCAUGUGGAUGGCUUCUAUAGGGCCUUAUUUACCCCCACCCCGCGUGGUGGGGCUAGCCUUGCCCCCGACAUUUGGUCGGGGGCGCUUGGAGUCUCGGCUGCAACCAAUGCGGCCUUGGUUGCUCCUUUCAGUGAGGACGAGGUCCUCGCUGCCAUUAGGGGGAUGAACCCCUCCUCGGCCCCGGGACCUGAUGGUUUACCUGUAGCUUUCUUCAAGACGUUCUGGCCUGCCAUCAAGCAUGAGGUCAUGGCUCUCUUUGAGGAAUUCUACUCUGGUACCAUGGAUUUGGGGCGCCUUAACUAUGGUGUGGUGACCCUCAUCCCCAAGGUCCCGGGUGCCGCCGAUAUCCGCCAGUUCCGCCCCAUCACAGUUAUUAAUGUGAUCUUUAGGAUUCUGGCGAAGGGGUACGCCAAUAGGGUGACCCUCCUUGCGGGCAUUAUUACCCACCCGAACCAAUCCGCCUUCAUUCAAGGCCGAUUUAUCCUGGAUGGGGUGUUGGUGUUCCACGAAGUGCUCCACGAGGUUCGUCUGAAGCGCCACAGGGCGGUCUUCCUUAAGCUGGACUUCCACAAAGCCUAUGACACGGUCCACUGGCCGUUCCUGAGGGAAGUCCUGCUUCGCAAGGGCUUUGACGAUCGGUGGGUGACCUGCGUCAUGCAGCUCGUCUCCUGCGGCCGGACUGCGGUGAACAUCAACGGCGAGAUUGGACCCUUCUUCCCUACCCUUUGUGGGGUUCGGCAGGGGGACCCCUUCUCGCCGUUCUUGUUCAACAUGGUUGUCGAUGCCCUGGCCGCCAUCCUAGUUAAGGCCACGGCUGCGGGGCAUAUUCGAGGCUUGGUCCCGCACCUUGUUGGAGGGGGAGGGGUGACCCUUCUCCAAUACGCGGAUGACACCAUUAUUAUGACAGAGGGAUCCGCCCUCGAGAUUUCCAACCUGAAGUUCCUCCUUCUGUGCUUCCAGCAAAUGUCGGGCCUGACCAUCAACUUUGACAAGAGCGAAGUGAUGGUGCUCGGCUACCCCGAUGAGGACGCUCAGUCCAUUGCCGAUCGGCUUAACUGCCGGCUGGGAUCUUUUCCCACGACCUAUCUGGGGAUCCCCAUUAGCGACUCGCGCCUCACCGUGGCGGACCUCCGCCCCACGGUGACCCGUAUGCAGCACCGAGUUGAGCCCUGGAAAGGGCGUUGGCUGUCGAAGGCGGCACGUGUGAUCCUUAUCAACUCGUCGCUUGCCAGCCUUCUGUGGUUCCUCAUGAGCUUUUACAGCCUUCAUGAAACCCUUCAUCAGGAGAUCGCCAAGUACCAGGCCAGAUUUUUCUGGGCUGGCGAGGCAGGCAGACAGAAAUAUCACAUGGUCAACUGGCCAGACAUCUGCAAACCCAAAGACCAGGGUGGCCUUGGGAUUUUGUCCUCUCGGCGCAUGAACAUCGCCCUCCUCACCCGCUGGCUAUGGCGCAUUGCCAAUGGGGAGGGAGGCCUUUGGUUGACUAUCAUUCGGAACAAGUACCUGCGUGGCCAGCCUCUGGCGUUCUGCCAGCGCUCGGGCGGUUCCCAGUUUUGGCAGGCAGUCGUCCAGCUGCUUCCAGUCCUGAGGAUAGGCACCUCCAUCUCGGUGGGCUCUGGCGCCUCGACCUUGUUUUGGCUUGAUAGGUGGCUAGGGGACUCCCCCCUGGCCGCCCGGUUCCCCAUCCUCUUCGACAUUGUAGUUGACCCUCGGGUCUCGGUCGAGGCGGCCCUUAUUGACUUAGGGCGCCUCGCGUUUCGUCGUCCUUUUGGCCCUGCCGAGGUGGCUGCUUGGGAUGUCCUCCUCCAGGACAUCGCCCUGUUGCCUAUGGACGUGGCUGACUCUCCGGAUGCCAUCUCCUGGCGUCUGGAUUCCUCAGGCCGCUUCUCCACCAAGUCCCUUUACGCGGCUAUUGCCCCAUCAGUUGCCCCGGAGCCAUUCGGCCUUAUCUGGGACAUCCGCCUCCCACUUAAGAUCCGGAUCUUCUUGUGGCAAUGGAUCCGCGGCCGCCUACCGUCCGGCGUGGAGGUCCUCAAGCGCCAUGGGCCUGGGGAUGGGAUGUGCCCCCUAUGUGACACGGCGGAGGAUGCCAAUCACAUCUUCUUCUCCUGUUGCACGGCACAGUUCCUAUGGGCGUGUUUUCGCGAAACGGUUGGGGGACAGUGGUGUAAUAACAACUUCCCCGACUUGCUUGCGGAAAUCCAGGCCUCCCCUUCACGCUACAGACAUAUUAGAUGGUUGUGCGUUGGGGUGCUGGCUUGGACGUUGUGGACGGUUCGCAAUAAGCUUGUCAUUCAGAAGGUGCCUCUUCGACGUGCGACUGACUCCAUCUUCAAAAUGUGUGGUUACUUGCAGCUCUGGCGGCCGCUUAGCCGCCCUCCGGACCGGGAUGCCAUCGACAGACUCCUCUCCGACCUUCGUUCGUUGGCCUUCCGCCUGGCUCCGCCGCUCCCGCCGCCUCCCCCGGAGCCCGACUAGAGGCGUCUCUCUCCCGGCGUGUGUGCCGCUUUUUGUGUGUGUGUUGGGCUUGUUGAGCUGUGCCCUCAGCACUAACCCUUGAUGCUUGUUUGUUCCUGGACUGUGUGUGUGUGUGAACCUUGGUGGUGUGAACCUUGUGGAUGUUGGCUUUGGCAUUGGCUUUAUCUAUAAAGCGGGGCGUGAGCCUUUUUCGGUAAUUUGGUUACUGCGACAACACGCAGCCUAUUGUGACAUGCAAGUGUCUUGAUGGCUUUGAGCCAAACAACAAACAAGACUGGACAGCCAGCAGGUUUUCACAGGGAUGUCACCGAAUGGAAGCACUUACAUGUGGUCAAGGGGAUGGCUUCUUAAAUAUGUCAACCAUGAAGGUUCCCAGCCAGUUCUUGUAUGUCACGAAUAGAAGCUUAGAUGAAUGCAUAGCAGAAUGCACCAGCAACUGCUCCUGCACGGCCUUUACUUACACCAAUAUGAGCACUGAUGCUAUCAAUGGGGUUGAAACUAGGUGCCUAUUAUGGACCAAAGAUUUGAUCGACAUGGAGAAGCUCGUUGGACAAAGGGGAAACCCUCUAUAUCCGGGUUAAUGCAUUGAGUGGUACAGUUUACUGUUUCUGUUUCUCUGCUUGUGCUGUUAGAUAUACUCCUCUAUUUGCGGGCCCAGUGGAGCUCCAGUAAUAUUCUCUAGAGUUCUAUGUACAAUGUGAGUACAAGAUAGGUUUAAGUUAGUAGUGGCGGGCAAAUAUUAGAGGGUAAAGACUUAAUAAUGCCAUUAUGAUAGAACAGUUUGGUGUAACAUAUAUGCAGUGUGUGAAUCACUACAAUCUUUUUUAUACGAAAAGACAAUAGCUUAUUCAGUUGGAGGGUCCAGAUUAGGAGCCACUGGAUGCAGCAUGAAAAUAUGAGCAUGCGGUGGUUCACAAUAUUCCAGAUCAUGUUUAUAAAGUUAGUUAGCAUGUAAAGCACUUCCAUCUGAAACAUUUAUUAAUGAACAGCUUCUAAUACAUGUUUCAAACAUUGAGGUGUCCAGAAACAUUUUGCCAGCCGCCAACACAGUUAUUCCAGAGUGUAUAUAUAUCCAAUCUCAGCCAAUGUAUAGGAAGUGAGCCUAGCUCAUAUUGGCGGGAGAGUCAGGGGCCGUUCGGAAUCACUCCGCUCUGUAACUCUGCCGCGGAGCGGAGUGGCAUGCAGUUCAAUUUCAGCGAGCGGCGAAAGGGGUGCUCCGCCCGCUCCGCUCUCUGGCGGAGGAGCAGAGGAUUCCCGAACACAUCUUCAGUGUACAGUCCCACAACCCUGGUUCGAGUCCUAUUUCAUUGGACUUGAAUUUGGUGUACAAUCUAAUACCACUGUUGAUAAAUAUAAGACGUUGUGGCAGUUCAAUUUAAACUGCCAAAACGUCUUAUAUUUAGGAACAGAGGGUAUAUUUCCUAUUAAUAGAAAAUGUAGUUGCUCCUACAAGUUCACAGAAUCCAUGUCUAUACAUACCUAUAGAAGGAAACCUUCGCGUCUGGCAUAAGUUGUAUAUGCCAUCUAAUUAUAGUGUAUAAAAAAAUAGGGCAUGACAACCACUCAAUCCAGUUCAACAAAACAUGUUGUGCGCGUUUUAAUGUUAAGUAUCAAGCAGACAUUUUGUAUGUCCCAAAUGUUACCAUACUCGUGAUGCAAUUGUUCAUGUGAGAAAUAGAUUGCUUGAGAAUUGAAACAAUGUGCAUGUAGUUCAUACUUGUAAGAAAUAUUUGGCUUGUGAAACUAACUAUUUAGCAAAUCUUUAAAUUAUGUUUUCUUACAGAUUGAAUUUUGGCAGAUAAAAAGCAGAAGAGCGUUGUUUUAAAAAUUACACUGCCAGUCGUGUCAAGUUUGCUCAUAGUCAUAUGUGCGUGGCUUGUUUGGAUCUGCAACUUGGGAGGUAGAACACAGUUCCAUAUUUUUCUCGUAUAUUUCCCCCAAGCAUGUUUGCGCAGGGCAAUGUUAUUCCAUAUUUCUAUGUGCUAUGUCCCUUUAUUAUAAUGUCUGCAAUCAAUGUUCCUGGUAGGCAAACAAAAAAACAAGAAAAAUUGGAAGAAGGUGAUGUCAGGAACUUCGAGCACUUCUGUUGAACUUCACGAUGGAAACUUAAAGUAUCCUUUUAUAAGCUUCAAAGAAAUUGUACUUGCAACAAACAAUUUUUCUAACUCCAACAUGCUUGGACAUGGAGGUUUUGGCAAUGUUUACAAGGUAACGUGAAAUUUUCUCUUAUAGAGCAACAUAACAGUGUUUCCCUCUUGUUUGAACUAAAAGUAUCAAGUGCUCAGGGGACAUUAGAAGAUGGUACAAAAAUUGCUGUGAAAAGGCUUAGUAAGGGUUCUGGCCAGGGGGUAAUGGAGUUCAGAAAUGAAGUAAUACUCAUUGCGAAGUUGCAGCACCAAAACUUGGUUAGACUUCUAGGUUUCUGCAUCCAUGGAGAUGAGAAACUAUUGAUAUAUGAAUACUUACCUAACAAAAGUCUAGACGCCAUGCUUUUUGGUAUGUUCUGCUUACAUCUUGACAAAUUUCAGUACGUAAUGAAAUCAACCAGAAUGGCUAAUAUUAUCCCUCAAUUGAUGCUAUUGGUAGCAGAUGCCACAAGAAAAUCAAUGCUUGAUUGGCCGAUGAGAUUCGAGAUAAUCAAAGGGGUAGCUAGAGGACUUCUUUAUCUUCAUCAGGAUUCAAGGCUGAAGAUAAUUCACAGGGAUCUCAAAGCAAGCAACAUAUUAUUAGAUGCCGAAAUGAGCCCUAAGAUAUCUGAUUUUGGUAUGGCAAGGAUAUUUGGUGGCAAUCAGCAGCAAGAAAAUACCAACCGUGUCGUUGGCACAUAGUAAGAGAUAUACUGCAUGAAUUAUCUUUAUGCAUUAUUCUUGUGCUUGACCAAAAUUUUGUUCUGUGUUCAAACAGCGGUUACAUGUCCCCUGAAUAUGUUUUGAAAGGAGUGUUUUCUGUCAAGUCUGAUGUAUAUAGCUUUGGAGUUUUACUACUGGAGAUUGUGAGUGGCUCAAAGAUCAGUUAUGUGCACCUAAAAGCAGACUUCAGCAGCAUUAUAGCCUAUGUAAGUAAAAUGACAUGUUCGAAUUUCUGCAAGUAUAGAAAAUAUAUGCAUCUUGAAAGGGUAAAGAAUGGACGCAGGCAUGGAGCUUAUGGAAGGAUGGGAACACACAGGAUUUUGUUGACUCGUCAAUUGUGGGGAGCUGCUCACUUAAUGAAACUUCACGGUGCAUCCAUAUCGGACUCUUAUGUGUUCAAGGCAGCCCAAAUGCGCGGCCACUCGUGUCAUCAAUCGUGUCCUUCCUGGACAAUGGAGAUAUAUCACUUCCAACUCCAAAAGAGCCCAUGUAUUUUGCAGAAGAUAACUAUGGUACUGACGGAGCAGCAGAAAAUACUGCCAAGUCUGCAAAUAACAUGAGCAUUACAGUACUGGAGGGACGCUAGCACCUAGCAGUCUAAUUUCUGCAUAUUUGUAUGUACUUUUUACAAUUGUAUACCGGAUAAGAAACUGCAUUUGUAUUGAAGAAGUAGAAGCUUUGUUUUAAUAUAGAUAAUGUAUUUCAACUCCUCCUACGGCAAAAUGGGAGAGGUCAAAAUGUUCUUAUUAAAGACCCUUCUCACCAAGAAUUUUGGAUGCAUAAAAGAAGGCAAGUUAAGCAGUUUUUUUUUUGUAUCCUUAAAGAAGGAUAGUAAGACUCUAUAUUUCUUAAUUUUGGAUGCAAUUUGUGUCUUGGUUACUAUGGAACAUUUUUUAAGUACAAGUAUGGAAGUAAGAAAUAGUCAAAGGUAUCGGAUAUGUCACCUUAUUGUAUCAAAAUAUACACAAUGCUUACCUGGAAGAAAAGACAUCCUGUAGCACUGAUCCAGAACGCUUAAAGUAUACAAUAUAACCCUUAACUAAGCAAGUGCCACCGGUCCAGAAAUGAGAAACUUAUGUAGGAGAAUGUGAACCCUUAACAAUACCAAGGUUAUGUGUCGCCUCUUUUUUGGGUUUCCGAUAAAUACCACACGCCGCUUGAACGAGACAUUGAUCAACUAACGUAGUGCCACUCUUUGAAAUAUGUUGAAAUAAGCUUUCAGGGGAGCAUUCAAACUUGAAAGGAUAAGCUGAUUUGUGAAAACUGAAAAAUAUGCCACUAGCAUUUUCACAAACACCUUGUGCCCACUCUAGCUCACUGCUCAUGGGCACCAACCGAGGACACCUCGGCUCGAGAUCCCGUAACAAAGGCCAAAGGGCAUAGGUUGUAUGGCUCAAUUGGCAUGUAGAGCACGCACCUUUGAGAAGCUCUCGCUCCACCCGGACGGCCUCCGCGUCUUGGUCUGCUCCCAGUCCAUAUUUGCCGCCCGAGCCCGUACUGGCUCCAAAUGUGAGGCCGGUAAGUGGGUGGGGGAGGAGGAAGAAGGUUGCGCCAAGCCGCCAAUAUUUUCUCCUCCUCCUCCUCCACCGGCCGGAGAUGCGGCGCUCCGUCCCCCACCGUUCUGCUCCUUCCUUCCUCUCGCGCAGUUUUUUUUUUUUGAGAAGAAGUUAUUUUUUUAGGCAAUCCUCUGGCGCAGCGCAGCUGGACCAGGGCCCAAGGGCUUUCUUUGGUGAUUCGGCUCAGCACGGCCCAACAAACUAGCCAGGGUUAUGGGCCUGGCAUUCCACGCAGUUCUCAGGAUUUCCUCAAAAAAAACGCAGUUCUCAGGAAAACGCAGUUGUUUCUUAUUUAAAAAAAAGGGAAAACGCAGUUUUGUACUGCAUGCUCACUCGCUCUGUUUCAUGCUGCUCAACUGUUUAAAAAGAUCCACUAAAAAACUGUUUAAACCUUUAUUUUGGAAAAAAAAUAGAACAACUGUUUACGCCUUCAUUUUUUCUUUUUUAAGAUGUACACCCAUAGGCAUACAGUACUUGUAUUCAUAAUAGUAAUGAUACAGAGAUGAAAUAUAUACAUGCAACAGAAAACAAAGGAGGAUACAAGCGGUUGUAUUGCUACACACCGCCCUUGCCACAACUAUCAAGCACCCACGCCCUUCGCCACUGGAGAAGGAGAGCACCAAAAGUUGGUCCACACCCUGUGCUGUUAACGAGCCACGAUAGCCGCCAACCCCGGAAGGCUGGAUCUAGUCCGAUAAGGAACAUUGGUCGGAGGAGCCCUCCGAGCCUCUUCGAUGCCAGAUCUGGGGCCAACUUCAACCCACCCUUCAACAGGAGGUUGGAUCUUUCACGUCUUCUGCAAAUCCAUGACAGUCAUUAUCGCCGCACUCCAACAUAAAAACGUAUGUCUAGCAUAUCUACACAUAAAAACGUACUGCCUCCGUCCCAAAAUUCUUGUCUUAAAUUCGUCUAGAUAUGAAUGUAUAUAAUGCUAAAACAUGACUUGAUACAUCCGUAUUUAGACAAAUCUAAGACAAGAAUUUUAGGACGGAGGGAGUAUCACAAUUGGCAAUUUGGCUUUAUUGGCGUACCAUUAUUCGGUGAAUCAAUACAUUCAUGGAGCUCUCGGAAUAUGUGGUACACAAGUUUACAAAUGUGGAACAUUACACCUCACGUACGUCAGUUCACUAGCCUCAUAAAAACCUUGCGCUGAAUGAAAGGACACUAGUGGUGAACACUAAAAUCAGCAUUCUACCAAUCACAUAACCACAUACAGGAAAACAACGAAACAUUAUUAAAAACAAUGAAACAUUAUAAAAAACAAUGAAACAUGGAAGCAACCGUGGAAGCCAAUCGACAUGCAUAUAAGAGCAAGGGCAAGGACAAUAAUAGAGCCAACUGAUGGCUAUAUCUUGUUGCCACAUUAUCUAUAGCCAACAUUAUAUAGUCGAAAAUUCCCGGCCAAACAAUGUAUCAAUUACUCCCUAUCGCACCGUUUUCAGCUGCCAAACCCCCUGCAAGAGCAACUGGUUCUGAACUGCACAUGUCAUUGGUAGUCAUUUUGUUGUUGGUAACAAAGUUUCAUGCGUUAUUAGCUAAACAUAUAUAUUCAUGACAACUUCCUCUUGGAUGAGUUGGACUUGGACUUUGUUAUGCUUCACCUGUUACUCUCUUAGAUGGCUUUAUUUGUUCCGGAAAGCAAAGGAAAUUUUGCUUGACAGGUUAUACAAGCUGGGCGCUUAGUUAUGUUUCUUUAGUUGGCUCUGGACAGUCUAGACAAAUCUGCCUCCCCUGUAAUGUAAUAUAGGUAGUGUAAAUCCUCUGAUCAUCCCAAAAUCAAUUAGCAGAGAUUUCUUUUCCGCUGGCACAGGUUGGCAUAUUGAUGUGGUACAAGUUCCUGCUGGAGCUGCAAAUUUAUUCGAGGCGUGAAAAAAGAAGAGUGCCAACCAUCGAUGAACUAAUGGGUGAUGAAUGUAUUCAUCAUUGGUGCAUGCAACAAUGAGCUAACUCAUGCAUAUUGUUGGCGCUCCUUCAGUUGGGGGUACAGUCAAUAGAAUGAUGGUGACUCCAACUAUGCACGAUGGAGGACGACCGAAGAUUUUCAACAAUGUAACAACGUAAGAUGCUCGUGUUGGAGAAUUUUCUGGUGUUCCUUUGAGAGAAGAUAUAUCUCUGGCUAAAUGUAACAAUACGUUGAAUCAAGCUGCAGUGAUAGGCUUCCAGUCAGAUAUAAAAGGGCAGAACUCAUUUAAUUUGCACCAUUUUCAGUCAGUCACAUUCCAAGCAGAGAACUCGUCAAGAAUUUGAAUGACACCUGACCCUCCUGGCUGAACUGAGCAUACGGCAGGAGUUUCUGAGCAUAUAAGAUGGAAACAAAAAGGUACACAAUUUUCUUAUCCUACACGGUCAUCGCAGUCCACCUUCGCUUCCAUUGAUUCAGUCAUAGUGAUAAAUUCAGAAAGUAAAGUCUAUUACUGGAAUGUUUCCCAAAGACCACAAUUUGGGUCCAGGCAAGGCGGCAAAGACGCAUUCUGAAAAGAGAGAGCCUCAACGACUAGUCAGGAAUUUUUCCAGUAAAAAAGAAACAAGUCAAAUAUUUGAAUAUCCCAGGGCAAACAAAUCAGCAUAUGCUAGGUGGACAAAUAGGCAAUUAAUUACUCCGUAAACUGAAAGAGAAAAGCAUGCGGUCAGAUGACAGUACACACAUAAUUUAGCUAGACUGGAAGGUCCACACCAACCAAGUAUUUUUAAGCUAUCAAUAACUAGAAAUCAAAAUUACUACUGAAUGUGCCUCACAGAGUCAUUGCUCUAGCUCCUGCAAGCCUGUGAGCGUUAUGAUACUACCAGCAUUCCUUGACAUAUCAGAUAAUUAUCUCCAGAAAUGAGGAUGAUCCAUGCGCCAGUCGCUCCUUAAUCCGGUGCCGGCUAGCUUUCUCCGCCUUGGAUCUGUCAAGGUUGGUGGCGUUGCAGUGCCUGCAUGGCAAUUCACCCUGCAGCUUGAUUAUCAACAGCCCCACAGCUUGUUCCAUGACAAGCCUUACAUAGUUUGUCACCUUGUCUUCAUCCUCGCACCCCCAGAUCACCAGCAACUUCAAGUUCAGGUGCUUCAAAUCCUUGGAUGGCUCCCACACCACGUUGGUCUUCUCGGCAAAGUUCUCGGGAGUCUCGAUACAUGAAUGUCGAGAUAACUUCAAACAAGGACAUAGAAAGAAAACAACCCAUGUUAAUUAAACUUGCCACCAACCCAUGAAGGCCAACGUGACAACAAUUGCAAUUAAAUAUAAGUUUAGGGCCCUAGAUUUUGGAGAAAUUUGCAUGAAUUAAAUCCUAGGUAAAGUACGACGGAUGAAUAUGCUUCCGGGGUUCUUAUGAAAUUACAACUAUAUUACUCGUAUUCUUUCGACCAAGAUACUUUGAGUAAUAAAGAAUUUUCAUCAAGAGGCCAGGGCUUUCCUCAUUUUCGAAAAAAACAUAGGAAGAACUUUUGGAGAACUCUUAACAUGAGAAAUCGAGCAGUUUUUUGUUGUUGCAUGGACAUCGUCUCACAGCAAAAUUAGAAUGUGGCUUGUGUUGUAUGCACUACUUUUGGUAUUUGUAAUAAGUUGGUGAGUGGUUGAUCAACUUGCUGGUACGUUUUUAAUGCUGAAUAUCCUUGGAACAUAUCUAACAUAUAAACCAUGCUAGAGUACCCGCCAUUCCAGGGGCACUCCUCGCGCGAGACGUUUUUCACCGCAGGAUGAAUUCACCACAGUACUUUUUUGGCUGCUGGCAGCUGGUCAACCGUUGGCUUUUUCUCACAUUAAUGUAAGCUUAUAGAGAGGAUGACGGGUGGGGCUCGUUGGCUGUGGGGUCAUGCGACCCAUGUGAGUUUUCUCCAGUUUUUGGUACGCGAGGUGUGCAGCGCGUCCUCGCCAAUCGUGGCCUGGGUAAAAGGAACCCUAGAGACCCCCGCGGCCGCCUCCCUCUUCUCGCGCUUCCUCCCCAAGCCCCACCUCGCCCCACGCCGCCCAUCUCCGCCUCCUCUCUCACGUCCUCCCUGCCGCCAUGGCCUAGCCCACCCUCGUCAUCAACCUCCCUAAGCCCCCUCUCUCUCUCUCUCGGGGGUGCUGCUGGUCGCAAUCUGGACGAAGAAAAGGAGACCCCGGAAGAAGUUAGAGCGUCCUGGUGGUGGCUAGAUCGAUGCGGCCGACGGCGAGUGCCGGUGAGCNNNNNNNNNNNNNNNNNNNNNNNNNNNNNNNNNNNNNNNNNNNNNNNNNNNNNNNNNNNNNNNNNNNNNNNNNNNNNNNNACAGGUACUCCCCCUCUCCCCCUUGUGCCCUCUCUCUCUUCUCCGACCCCUCUUUCUUGUUACACACAGGCAGCACACCAUAUGAAUCAAAAGUUAAUCACGUGCUUCUUGCCCCUCUCUCUCUCUCUCCCUCUCUUCACAUGUACUCUCGUGGAUUUAGUCAGAUUUGAUUUAUUCUUGUUUCCUUUCCAGAUUUAAUUUCAUCCUUGUUUCCAAGCUCUUCCUAUUCAUAAUCUAUUAAAUAAUGACUGGUACAUACGUAGUUUAUCAUGUCUACUAAUAAUCUCAUCACAUUGCAGUUCAUACAUCAGUUUAUUUUAUCCUGUUUCCUUCAAGUAUGUAUUUAGGCUGUUUAUUUUCCCUUUUUCAGAUGUAUGCCAUGUAUGUGUAGCCAUGGUUCUGAAACACCCCCAUUCCUUCUCUUCCUAUCAAUUUUCAUUGAUUCAGUUAUUUGACUAAAUGAUAAUAUAUGCCCCAGGGUUAAUUAGUACCUAAAAUGCUACCUUUGGUUUGUGAAAAAGAUCUAGAGUGGCUUCUGCAGCUCCUGUUAUGUUUCAUUGAUUCAGUCAUGUAGUAGGAUAGUUCCACUGGAUUUUACUAAAUGGUUUUGUAGCUUUACUUAGUGAAAAUGCCUCAAUUGGUUUCCGCAACAUUGCUUGUCUGUUGGCAGCUGGAGCAUACUUGGUACAUGAGCCUUGCCGUGACUGGUGGUGCAAAGGUGACCUUGACGAGCAGGGCAAUGGCCAGACACGAGUAAGACACCAAAGAUGACUGGAAGCACUCAAAAAAGUUUACCACGCUGGAGCUAUGUCAGGUACCUACUGUUCUUUUGUGUUGUGUGUUUUCUAUUUCCCGUCAGAAACUCAUUCCAUAAUCAAUUUGCAGGUUGUACGAGGGCAGUUAAUGAAUAUACUUGCGACCCUUUUACUCUCAGGUAAAUCACUAAUUAUUACAUGAUCUUUCAUAGUUGAAGUACCUACCAAAGGUAGUUAUUUUAUCCUUCUAACACGAGCAAUGAACAUUUUUUGCCAUUAAUUAUGGUCACAUUAUUGCUUCUUGGUUAAAAAAAUUCAGUAGAGGGUUGUAGCUAUUUGGAGUGCAGAAUUAUUAAGUACAGAGCAAGGAUUCCAAUUGGUCAUACAUGAAGUGAUACUCUUGCAAGAGCUAUGCAAUUAAAGUUCAUUUAAUUAUAGUUUCACCACACUAUGAAAAGGGUACAACCUACCAAUCUUGAGAGCAUUAAUGUAACAACUUUUUGUAGCUUAGAAAUCCAAUGGAAACUAAUAAGGUAAAUAUGCUUCUUUCUUGCAGACUUGCAGUUCUGUUUUAUUCAUUACCCUGCUGCAAGCUCUUGGUCGUAUACUGUAUAUAAGUAAAUUGUCUUUGCUUCUUGGUCCAAGGGACAAAAUUGCUGAAUGAUUUUGGCAUCUCCUGAUUUUCCUUCUCCAUGGUUUGCCAUGUUCUGUGGUCUGAAUUUAGUUUCUUUUUCUUUGUCUAUAUUCUGUGCAAAUUCAUGGAACCCACACUGUUUGCACGUUCGGUUUGCCUUUUUCCUUUAAAGAUUUGUACUGCUCUAUUUUUUUUAAUUGUUGAGGCAACAAAAUACCCCUUAUGUCAUGUAUGCUUCUUUGAUAGCAGUUUAUUAAGUGCUUAUACCAUAAUAUCUCUGAUAUAAGUACUCUAAUUAUAAUAGUAGCAAUCUAAAUUUAUUAUUGGCUUGAAAAUAAAAUAUUUGUGAGGAUAGAAAGGAAAUAUCAGCUUCACUCUGCAUUUCUUAUAGAUGUACCUAGGAGAAAUGCAGAAUUAAGAAGAGCUAUUUUCAGAACACCACUAUCUAUAUCUCUAUAUAUAUGCGGAACUCAGAACUCUUUUUGAAGAUGGAUGGAUGAACUUGAUCCCUGUCCAUCUCUGCUUUUUGUCGGUACAUGAUUGUGCACCUCCUAUGCCUACUUAAUUGUGUGUUCAUUUUGUUAAUCAAGAAGCAUAUGAUUUUAUAGCUGGGUACGUUGAAAAUAUAUAAAACCUUUCUUCUUUUGGAUAAUUUGUUUCCCUUUCGCUAAUCUUUGUUACUUGCCUACACAUCUAUGCAUACUAUUCACUACUGCUACCAAUCACAUGCUUGUUUGUUCAGAUACUUGAAUGGUGGAACAUGGCCUUUGUUCGAUGGCGAUUUUCCAUUCUUUGUAUGUGUUGCAUUCUUUUGUCCAAAAGUAGAGAUGUACUUUCUUCAAGAAGAAAAUGCUAAGUCUUUUACUAGCAAAGAUGUCGAUCUUGCACAUUUAGCUCUCUACGCACAGUCUCACUAUCAUCUUGUGUAGUUUAUUUAUAGGGGUUGAAUACAGAAAUUUAGCCCUCCUAUUUUAGAGUAUGAAUCGGAAUCUAAAUCAGCAAUUGUAAAAAUGAUCAGUAAUUGUGCUUACUUUUCAGACUCUCCUCCUUUUCUCGCUGCUGAACCCCUGCCAUCAUCAUGUCCAGACUGGCUGUCUCCAUGGUUGUGGCGCCAAGGUCACCGCAUCUUACAUCCUGAUGCAUGUAAGACAAUAUGAUUAAGCUCCCUGUAUUUUGUUAAUUUUUGGUCUUACUAGCGUAUAUAUUCAUUUCUAUUUUGUGCUCAUGGGGCCUUGAUGUAUUAUGUACAAGGUGUGUUAGGUUGAGGCAUGAGGCUGGAAGGGGUCUUGUGCGAGGACUAGCGUUUGCUUUAGUCAAACCAAAAUACUUCUAAAAUUGCAGCUGCACUUGUUGGUCCGAUGUACAUGAGAAGCCCCAAUUUUGUUGGCAAUAGAUGCAUGGUUUCUCAGUAAUUAAAAUAACUUAAUUUUUUAUAUGAUGUAUGGCAGUCAUGUGUCUGAUGUUCUUCGUGUAUCGGAUUCCAAGAGUUUUAGGAUGGGCGGUACGGUUCCCAUGUUUGAUGUUUUUUACUUUCACAAAAUUGGUCGAUGCUGAUGAGAAUGGCACCGGUGGUCUUCGACACUUAUAUUUUUUAUGUAUAUAAUGUUCCCAAGUUUAUUCUUUUACUCUCUUUGGUUCAAUAAGAUUAAGAUACAUACUUUGCCUUGUGCUGAAUCUGAUGUCAUUCAGAUUCUAGGAUUUUUAGGAUGGGUUGCAAGUUUCUCUUGUUGGACGUUUUCUUUGUUUCUUAAUUUUUUUGUGAUAACAUGGGUGAUCCUGUUUCUACCUCAAACUUGCCUUUCUAUGUUUCAGUUUCAAGAAGACAUUAUUUGAUGUUAGAUGGCCAUUAUGUUCGCUUCAUAUGGACAGAGGACUAAUGGUACUCUUCCAUGAAGAGAAGCAAGUGGAUCAGUAUGUAGUAGCAGGUAUCAAUGUUUUCUCAUACUGAUGAUUCUGAAGUAAUUAGAUUGAGAAAAUUGCUUUAUUCCCCAAUUUCUCUCUGAAACCUUUGCCUUGUCCAUAGUCAUACCUAAAUGAGUUACUUUAUUUCCUAUAGCUCUAUUACUUUUUUCCCUAGAANNNNNNNNNNNNNNNNNNNNNNNNNNNNNNNNNNNNNNNNNNNNNNNNNNNNNNNNNNNNNNNNNNNNNNNNNNNNNNNNNNNNNNNNNNNNNNNNNNNNNNNNNNNNNNNNNNNNNNNNNNNNNNNNNNNNNNNNNNNNNNNNNNNNNNNNNNNNNNNNNNNNNNNNNNNNNNNNNNNNNNNNNNNNNNNNNNNNNNNNNNNNNNNNNNNNNNNNNNNNNNNNNNNNNNNNNNNNNNNNNNNNNNNNNNNNNNNNNNNNNNNNNNNNNNNNNNNNNNNNNNNNNNNNNNNNNNNNNNNNNNNNNNNNNNNNNNNNNNNNNNNNNNNNNNNNNNNNNNNNNNNNNNNNNNNNNNNNNNNNNNNNNNNNNNNNNNNNNNNNNNNNNNNNNNNNNNNNNNNNNNNNNNNNNNNNNNNNNNNNNNNNNNNNNNNNNNNNNNNNNNNNNNNNNNNNNNNNNNNNNNNNNNNNNNNNNNNNNNNNNNNNNNNNNNNNNNNNNNNNNNNNNNNNNNNNNNNNNNNNNNNNNNNNNNNNNNNNNNNNNNNNNNNNNNNNNNNNNNNNNNNNNNNNNNNNNNNNNNNNNNNNNNNNNNNNNNNNNNNNNNNNNNNNNNNNNNNNNNNNNNNNNNNNNNNNNNNNNNNNNNNNNNNNNNNNNNNNNNNNNNNNNNNNNNNNUUGCUCAAUCCCUAUUUGUUGCUCCCCUCCCCCCUCUUCCUCCCCCAGUUAUUAUAUCCCAGUUCUCUGAUUCUGUGAUUUUGAUUUCUCAAUUUGUGUUUUUUCAGAUCUGAGAUAGAAAAGAAGAGAAAUAAUCUUGUGGAAUUUCAUAUCUGAGAAAAGAAGAGAAAGAUUCUUGUGGAAGAGCAGCUUGACAAAAAAGAAAGGGGUGAAUCAUCUCUUUCUCCCAUUCAUGUUUGCUUCUGCAUUUUCAUUUUUAUGUUAUAUAUGGUUUGCUCAAACCCUAUUUAUAUUCAACUUCUUCGAACCAUCUAUUUUUCUUGCACUAGAAUAUUGCAAAGGGAAAAUUUAUUUACAAAGCUUGUCAUUUUGAUCUUGUGUAGGCGGCACAACUGUACACCACCAUGAACAGGUUGUUUCAUCGCUACAACUCAUAUAGCAAGCUAUGCCAGUAUGGCAAUAUCUGAUAGUACGGCUGCUCACGUUUCCAGGGGCAACACUCACAUUUCCCCUCCAAAAUUCAACAUUUUCAUAUUUUGAGGAGCUUCAGUACGUUUGCUCACCGAUGAACUAGAAGUUGUUUUGUGUACUGCAUGAUUGAGGAAGUGCUAUUGCAGAUCAAAGGUGAGCCUAUUCUAUUUUCUUUCUUCAAGCUCAGGUGAAGGUUUAUCUCCUCUUCACUAAUGUUAAAUCUUUAUCACCGCAUUGAUUAGUUGGUAGAAGCAUCUGCUGGGAAUCAAGUGUUACAUGGCUGUGGGUGACAAGGUAUGCUAAGGCCAUCUGCUUUAUUGUGACUUAAGAGACUACAAUACUCUAGGGUAUCCUAAGGUUUUAUUUCAAUUAUACGAUGAGCAUGGGUCCCAUAACAUACUCAAAUAGUUAGAAAUCUGAAGCACCUCGUAAUUUGUUCGCUAGCAGUAUGAAUCAGAGCUGGGUACUUUUAGCUGUUGUGGGAUGAGAAUAUACAUAUAAUUGUUGGUGCUUUUGUGUUCAUUUAUACUAAGAAGACUAGGCCCGUCAGGGUAUGAUUUACCUGGGUUUUUUGGAUUUUUUACUGCCUCUAAUGAUUUACGCGUGUUACCAGGGACGCACGAGAACUACUUACGUGUGAACGUAACGAUCUUCUCUGUUCUCUCUAGAGCGUUCAUGACCUCCACCUCUUUGACCGCCCACCGCUUUGACCGGGCUAUCUCUGUCUCUCCCAAAAAUUCUGGUUCAAUCCCGUGUCGUGGCUCUACCGAUCUAUGUGCGUAUAAAAAGCCCCCCGUGGCGUGGGUCUCUCCAGUCACGGCUGUGCCCAAACCGCUCCUCACCAAUAGACCCAUCUCUCCUGAUACUGCCCUCCAGCCUCCACCCGAGAUACCACGGCGCGCUACGUCGCCGCUCCGGCUGGCCGGCCGAGAGGUGCGUGCAGGCAACAACAUGAAUCAGGAGAGCUGCAUACCAUCGCCUCCUCAUGGAUCUUCCUCGGUUCCGGCUCCCUGGCCUGAAGGCACAGACAAACAGCGGUGGCCUUUGUGUGGUCCAAGGGGGCAAACCUGCAGCUGGUGGCGAAUAGCUCGCUGCCCUGCUGCUCUCCAUCCUAAUCGGCUCCCCUCAUCCUUCCCCAGGUUCGCUCCGGCUGCCGGUCCCCUUCAUCUACCCCAUGGCCGAUGUUAAAGAAAUAAACACAUGAUGUGCUGAAUAGCUGACAUACAGAGGAAAUGCUACAGCUUGAUGAUUGUUGCAGAACUACAUCAUUUUUAGGUAUUUAGUGUUCCUUUUGUGAUAGUUUUCUCUCCUAUAAAAGUAAAAUGAAUCAUUUUUAAUUCUUUGAACAAGGUUGCCAAAAGUAGGGCGCUCAGCCGUUGAGGCAUUAUCACAUUUUUAAGAAGCUUCGCAAAAUCUGCUCUUAUACUAAAGAAAUCUAAUGUAGGUUUGUUGGCCUUAUUGGGUACUGAUAUGCUGAACACAUGAUAUUAAAUAUACAGUGAAGUGGGUAUGUUUAUACUAUCUACACAGGAUUGCCAUUUUCUUGAACUGUUGUUGGGAUUAUCAUGGAUUGGGAUGCAUUAUGAUAAUAAGAUAUUAGGUAUUGAUAUAUGAUCUGUAUGUCACACUUGACUUCAUCAUCCUUUGUUUUCAGAUCUAUUCUUUAGGCAUACACUAAUGUGGUAGCUUGGGUCAUAUUCUGUAGCUAAUUUAGUCACCACAAUACUCGGGUCCCCCCCUCCCGACUUUCAAUAUAAAGAACUUCCACUUGCCAUUUCACAUGAUAAACACUACAUUCUAUUUAUUUAUGGCCCAAAACUUAUUAUUUGUGGAUAGCCACAACUGAGGUCUUGAGUUUUUGAGUAUCAUAGAAGAACCACGUUCCUUUCGCAGCGAUAGAUCAACAUUUGACCCUUUUUUAGCUAUUAUAGGAAGACUAAGAUGCACAAAAUCAACCUGUGUUAGGCCAAUGGUCCUUUCCAAAUGUGAAAUCUUGCAUGCGUUAUUUAUCAAUUCCAAAAGGUGAUGGUUGUGUUAUUACGUUGGAAAAGAGGUACUUGUACAGUUUUGCUACUGAUUUUGACCAAGGNNNNNNNNNNNNGAACUUCCACUUGCCAUUUCACAUGGUAAACACUACAUUCUAUUUAUUUAUGGCCCAGAACUUAUUAUUUGUGGAUAGCCACAACUGAGGUCUUGAGUUUUUGAGUAUCAUAGAAGAACCACGUUCCUUUCGCAGCGAUAGAUCAACAUUUGACCCUUUUUUAGCUAUUAUAGGAAGACUAAGAUGCACAAAAUCAACCAUUGUUAGGCCAAUGGUCCUUUCCAAAUGUGAAAUCUUGCAUGCGUUAUUUAUCAAUUCCAAAAGGUGAUGGUUGUGUUAUUACGUUGGAAAAGAGGUACUUGUACAGUUUUGCUACUGAUUUUGACCAAAGGUUUUUCGGCUCUCAUCUCUAUAUGAAUAUGCUUUUUUCAGGUUAGUGGUUUAGGAGUUCCUGCCAACACUGGCUUUUGGAAUUUAUCCUCGCUUCAUCAGUUGGGAUUUCUGUACAAAACUAAGAUAAUUUAUUUUGGUGCUUGCGAUGAGUAUUAGAUAGAGGGGUGAUGCACACAUACUUCACCCAGUGUAUCUGUUCAUGUAUGUUGUUAAUUGACUAAUUAGACAAAAAACCUCUAUCUGUAUGGUGUUUGUGAUGAUGCUAUCAAUUCACCAAACACUAAAAUACCGGGUUGUGCUUUUCAAAUCUAGCAAAUUAAUUCUCUAUUGCUUCUUGUCCAAACAGAGGUAUUAGAUCUAUUCUGUGCCAUGAGUCUUACUGUCAAAAAAUUAUAUAAGCCGCGCUAGAUGAUUAUAGGUAGCUCAUAUCAAGAACUUUGUUUUAGCAGCACAAUUCGGAUAAAUUUGCACUUUUUCACCAACGAACAAGGUGUUACAUACCAGAUCAAAGAUCGAAGCCAGGCUGAACAUUGCGAUCCUACAGAUCUGCCAAGUGGUUCCUCAUGAAAUAGAUAGUAGUGCCGUGAAAGAACACUACCCAAUGCCAUCUUCUGAGAAAGCUGGACAUGCAAAAAUUGACAGUGUUGGACAUUUCUCUUUGUAGCAACGAAUAAAUUCAUUGUAUUACUGUAUAGCCAUGGUGGAAAUCUUUUUUGGAUAACAAGAAACAAUUUGCUUCUCAUCAGAGAUAAUAUUGCAGUCUAUCAGAAAAAAUGUUAGCUAUUUAAUUAAACAGAAAACUCUGUCACUCAUAGCAACAGAUGAUAAACUAUCAGACUACCUGAUAGAAAAGCAAAAUUGCCACAUUAUUUAGAACAUUUCUCUAAUUUUGAGAUGGCCAACUACUAACAUUUUUUGAAAUUUGCCAUGUGUUAGAUAAUAUGGCGAACUUGUAUAAGAAAUCAGGGAUACACAUGGCAACCUUUAACCAAUUUGUCCUAUAAAAAUUUGCCAUGCAUCGGUCAAGCCCCACAUCGGGCAUGUAUAAAUGGAAACAAACAAAGUUUACUAGGAUUCGCGAUUGGGGAUGAGUAAACACUGGAGCACAUACACAAUAAAAGGAUUGCUAAAAAAAAUUGCAAUCUGCGGGACACUGGAUGGCAGAUGAAAAUAAAAGGAAGCAACAUAAGAUGGGACGGGGAGGCAAACCUUGUAGUGUAGGGGCAUCUGGCUGUUCCCAAGGCCCUUGCGCUUGGUGUGGUCGCCGUGAUGGCGCCCGUGACGCUCCGGCCCAGCGCGCACACGAACGAGUCGCUACCGCCGCCUGAGGAUAUGGUGGUUGUUCCCAGCGAGGAGCAACAGCAGCUCCCGCCAAGGCGCCAGCUAACCAACCGGAUGUGCUCGCUCGGCCCGAAAUUUCCAAUUACAGAGCCCAGGAUAGCGACUUGGCUCGUCGUACACCCCGGCCUCGCUCGCCCCGGAGCGUGGUCACCGAUUCGUCACCUCGCCAGUACAAGGACCCAGAGGGCGACCACAUGCUCCUCUGUGAGUUCAAGAACAAGGCGGCUCUGAUAUUCUUCGACGAGGACCUCCUUGCACAGGUGCGCGCUGUCGGCCGCUGAUGCCGAGCAGCCUACACGCGCCUAGCCCUGCCGCGGCACGUCGAAUCGAGACCAGCCAUGGCUGCCACUGGUCCUCCGCGGCCGCCGUUGUCGCUUUGAGUGGAAGGUGGACGAGCUGCGCGUAGCUUGAGCAUGUCGGGCUUUGGGGGAUGCGUGCUGCCGUCGGACGCCGGAAGCAGCUGUCCCAUGCCGCAAGACCCGCCAUGGCCGCCGCGAGCAGAUCGGUGUCGCUGCCACAUCUCCUCUGACUCUCAGUCACUGGAAUGGAUAAGAGACGGGUAGGGGUUGGGCGAGUGGGUGAGGGGAGCUGCAUAGAAAACGGUUGUCCGUGUGGUUUGUUGUAACUUGUAAAGUCGCGAACGUUUUCACACUUUCACGGGCUAAUGUGUCAACAAGCAAGCAUCAAACUUUGUGAGUGAUCAGACGACCGUAGACUACCUAUGCAUGUACGGAAUACCAACUUUUUUUAGUGCUCCAACUAGAUAUACAUUUUUCUUGUAUAAACUACUUCCUCCAUUUUCAAAUAUUUGUCUUUCUAGACAUUUUAACAAGUGACUACAUACAAAGCAAAAUGAGUGAAUCUACACUCUAAAAUAUUUCUACGUAUAUUCGUAUGUUGCCACCCAUUUGAAAUCGAACAUAUAAACCUGCCUACACUACCCGCCAUUCCAGAGCAACCGUGUGCGCUGAGCUUGUUGGACCGAACGAUUCUUUUCCUUUAGCGAGGUUUUUGGCUGCUGGCAGCCAGUAAACCAUUGGUUGUUCUCCACGUUCAUGGCUGUAUGUAGACAUAUUGGCCGCUACAUUCCCUCAGCCCAUGGCUUCCAGCGCAUCCCCUCCCUGCCCCCACCUCUCCUCCUCUCCUCGCUUCCUCCCAGAUUCAUCUUUGAUGGUGGCGGCGGCACUCGAUUCGAUCUGCAGGAAGGAAAAGGAGGUGCGACGGUGGAUGAGAGAGGGUCACCGGCCGACGUUGAUCUGCGUCGGCGGCGCGACCUAGAGGUUUGUGACGGGUCGAUCCGCUGGAUCGGGGCUGUCAUCCCCGUGGAUGAGGAUGCACAUGGUGCUACGUGGCGGGUGUGUUCGAUGACGUGGAGGCGCUGUGGCGUGGCGUACAACGUCAAGGGGGAGGUGUGCAGAGGAGUUCCGCGGCGGUGACACCAUGGAUACGGCGUCAAUGGAGAGGUGUGCAGGGGGGUUCCGCGGCGCCGCCGCCAUGGAUCCGCAUCCUGGUCGUGACCUUUGCCCCCACGCAUGCUGGCCAGCCCACAUCGCCCCUGGAUGGCAUGGAGGCCGUCCAUGACACCGCCGAUGUGACGCUCUUGGAUGCCGAGGCCGGCACUGCCCCAAAGACAUCGACGACGCCACCGAGGCGCAGCAGAUCAUAUCAAGGCUGAUGUAAUGUGCUUCCAAGAUCAAUAUUUUGUCUUGCUUUCCUUGAAUGUAAUACCACUGUCUUCAUACUGUUUUUAAGAAUCUUUUACGUGGGGUUUUAUACAUUUUCCUAUUGCUUUUUAUGGAGAUGUUGUUUGAAAUUUAGGCUUUUAUUGGGUUGUGAGUUGAUAUGAAGUCCUAUGACAUGUUUCAAAGAAUUAGUUCUACAUGCAGUAUAGUGAAAGUUCAUGUGUAAUGUAGAGUCUGAGCAUGAACUGAUGUUUGCAGUAGGGAAGUUUGUUGGCCGCAUCUCAUGGUUCUUUUCAAGGUGCCUUUCGUUUCAAGGUCACCACAAAGCAGCGCCUGGUUCUCAUCGUGCAUUGCCUUUAGAUGAACCAUCGACAGCAACUAAGGUCGUAUCUAAAUAUCAUCUAGCAUUCUAAGGACUACUAAUCAAGCUCUGUAAUAGGAUGAAACCUUCCUCUGUUUUUCGGCCAUGCUAUCUCUGCUGCUUUUGAACAGCUACCACCUAUACUUUACUUAUAUAACCUUUGCUGUUGUUCCUCAUGAAACUAUUAAUAUGCAUAAUGCCACCCUUAUCAAUAAUUAUCUGUUUUUACUACUUUCUGUGUUCCAAACAUCGAGUACUCACCAGCAACAACAAAUAUGCUAAGCAAGGAAGAGGCAUGCCCUAACUGGCAGCGUCCACCUUCCAACCAAGCGAUAUAGCACUAUCAUUUAGCAUAGACUAUUCCAGGAGAAACAGUAAUCAUGAACAGAGACAGUAACCAGCAGUAAGUACUCAUUAUUUCGAUCUAUGACUGAGUUUUCCUAUCACCACUCUUGCAAUACUUGGCUUGUUGCCGGCCUUUGCGCCAUUUGGCGCAACGGGUCAUCUAGUUAUUGUAAAAAUGUAGAGUAAGUCAUGUACUCCCUCCGUCCCAUAAUAUAAGAUGUUGCUGAGCACGCUCAGUUCCAGAUAGAAAACUAGUUAUGUGUUUGACAUUGCCAUUUUGUGGUGUAUAACAACUAGUUAAAGUUAAAGAGCAUGAAUUUUGCAGUAUGAUGAGGGUUAUGCAUACUUGUGCUUCUAUCAAGUUAAUGAUACGUACUAACAUGGAUGGGUGCAAACUUUCUAGCUGGACAGAAGCUUUGCUGUUACAGUGAAGACUAUUUAAUAUAUAAACAUAUUAGUAACAUUGUAACAUAAUCUCUCAGCUCAACUAAUGUUGCAGAAGCCAACUCACCAAGAACGGCCUCUGAUAAUUUAUAUGGCUCAAUUAGUUAGGUGUGACUACAGUAUAUCAUCAACUGGGUUCCAAUUGUACACUCUGGUAGACAUUCACUCUCAUUCAAUGGAUUGAUUUCUAAGCAGAUUCGAAGGGUUGCUGUUGCAACUUUUAAGACACUGGACUGAACAGGCAUGUGGAGCUAAUAUAACUGCUUCUAUAGACUGAACUAGAUAAAUUAAUAGGAGUUCUCUGUUUAGUUCUAGUUUCAGAGGUAAAGUAACAUUUCAUCUGAAAAUACGCCACCAAUCUAAACAUGACAAAAGAAGCCAAGAGAAAAAGGCUAAGUACGGGCACUUAGGCCUUUUCCACUGAUGUAAUCAAGACAGCAACGGCACUCGGUAUAUGUAGAAGAGUUUUAUCCAGAAGACAUGGCAGGUUUACCUGAAUCAUACUGUGAGGAACUCCAGCAAAACGGCCAUUGUACUGCUCAAUUCGGUUCAUGAUAGGAGCGAUUUCUGGUUCAUCACGCAGCAGGGUACCAGCAGAGUUAUAGGGCUAUGAUAAACAGCGCAACUGGAUGGUCAAAGGACAGAUCCAUGUAGACAGACACCCACGAUGCAGUGCUCUAUCUGUAUACAAACAAUACCAUGUGACAAAUGUCAGCUGAGGGGACUUAUGUUCAUAAAGAGUCCAGCAGAAAAAUGUUCACCGGCAGUCUAACUAAACAUCAACCCAGACACAACGCGAAGUCUAGCAUCCAAUCGAAAUUAACCAAAGCAAGCAUAUAAGCAUGUGAGGUUGAGCAUUCAUUUUUUACAUAAAAGCAUUCAGAGUUGGGCAGAUGAAACGAGGCAGAUCCAGUACCGGCAAUUGACAUGGUCGUGGACUCAAACACUGCACGAAUCAAUGCACUAACUUAUAUGGACAAGCAUGUGAAGUUCCACAAGCGCACAUGGCCUGUACAUAUAACAGAAUGUCCAUGAGCGAUUAAAUAAGCCACAUGAAAAUUUAUGAACAAAUGCGAUCCGAAAAUAGAACCUUGAUAAUAUUUCAUUAUUACAGAUGCACGCCACGAUGAAAUGCAUGUCCCCGAACAAACUGGCAUCAAAUCGUCCCCAAAACCAACGAAAUAGAACAAGGCAGCUAAGCAACUAUCGGAACUAAGCAUCAAUUCAUGUCAAAUCAGCUCAUUACAAGCCAUGGAGCGCUAGUAGAGCAGAGCCACCGCCUAUCCGUAGUUCCGUACCUGCGUCCACCAAACUCUGUGAAACAUUUCAACUAACCCCAACCCGAACGCAGGCCCCACAUAGUGACGAAGCUAGCUGCAACGUCACGGAGCAAUUACCGUGACUGCCAAAGCCUAACCGGAACGGCCCAGGAGGGGUGCCAAGCCCAAUGUGCGCGUCAUCAGCCGGGAGUGGAGGCAGUGAGUGGUACUUAACAGCUGCGAGUGCUAUGUGGUGGGUAUCGAUAGAUCACCGGACAGAACGGACCGUCUUUGGGUGUGUAUCUUCUCUCCCACCUCCCGGCUCCUUCUCCCGAUCCCCUUUUCUUGCUGAAACCCUAGCUUGUAUCUGUACCCAAUCGAGAGACCUAAGCACCAUAGGUCGAGAGAUCCACCGUAGACUCGUGUCAUUUGGUACUCAUUUGGAAUAUCCUACACAAAGGGUAGAUAACCACUUGUCAGUCUGCAGUAAACCCAUGCCCGUUGCCAGGAACAAUCUCGGAAGCUAGAGAGUCAGCUAUGCCAUGGCUGCAGUGCUAGAUGAACAUAGUUAUUAGUUUUACACUUCUCAAAAUGAGCUUAUCAGUACCCUGGACAUUCGCUGAAGAAAGCAAGUGGUAGUUCUAGUGCCAUAUGCGUCAGCAAAACAAGGUCAGAUGAUAACUUGCAGAUCGAUGUCCCAGUCAGUUGAGCAUAAGAAUAUCUGCUGUAACUACCUUUGAGUUGCUACAGUGUUACUCCCUCCGUCCGAAAAUACUUGUCAUCAAAAUGGAUAAAAAGAGAUGUAUUUAGAACUAAAUAUGAUUGUGCUUUCAUCUAGAUACAUCCCCUUUUAUCCAUUUUGAUGACAAGUAUUUUCGGACGGAGGGAGUACCCAUGUGUGCAAUUUAUACAGAGUUGCUACAGCCUUGCCAUCUUAGCAAGUAUAUGAUUGUGCUUUCACCUCCUCCAGUGCAAAAAACAUUUCUGUUAUAAAUUUAUGAUAGAAGAAAUGCACUGUGAGCAAAUCGGCAAUAACAUAAACGCAUAGCGAGCUAAACAUCCUUUUCAGGUGAUAUGCUCUUUUCAGACAGUUGUUCUUGCAAAGCUAGGGGCGCAAACGAGGGCAUGACUGCACAUUUAAAUGCAUAACUGGCAAGCUUCUAUAAUUGCAAAGACCAGAACGAAUAUGUGAGUCCACCCACAGAGUUUGACCUCACAUUUUUAAGAAACAAACACAAGGUCCCUUUGUACAUCCAGUCAGGGUCUAAUGAUGUUAACCCAAAAGAAAAGAAAUUGUGUCCUGCUUAAUGAGCUGAUCUGUCCCUGUUUUUAACCUGUCCAGUUAGAGUUUACAUGGUCAAACAUGCAAGUCCAAUGGGAAGACCAUGGAAUUUCCUGCACCACUGAUGUUAACAUUUAAGUGUAAUCUCAUAUGUGUACGGUCAAAAGAUAGGUUCGUUUCAAAAAAAACAUCUAAGCAUACAUACCAAAACCAGAACAAGGGGUUUGUUCUAAUCAUAAACAUAUGUAAUCCAACUAAAAUAGUACCAGCAGCCAGCACAUUCAAACAAGAAAACCCAGCAGUCACACCUAAAAGAAAAAGUAAAUGUCUAUUAUAAUUUGCUGAGAAAGGCUAGUCCGACAUAGUCCAGAUGAUAACAACCACAACCCAACAUUUUCAAACUUCCUAAAUAUCUCUUCUUGACUCCUUCCAAGGUUCCCACUUCCCCAUUAGUUCCCUGUGGGAAAAGCACCGCAAAUAAAUGCUUCACUGGCUCUGCCUCUCCCAGGAGUUCUGAUUUGCAUUGUCCAAAGAUAACUCAUCCAUUGCUUUGCUUCCAUUAUCUCAGUUCCAUAGUUCGCUACAGCAAUGGAUCCCCUUCCCAUACACACAAUCAUCUGCCUUGUUUGUUGGUCAUUUGGUUUAUUGCCAUUUUAUGUAUCAUCCAGUAGCCGCCUUCUUCCCAACAAGCCGCUUUCCGCUGGUAGCACCAUCACCUCCGACGAUGGCACUUUUGCCCUGGGAUUUUUCUCCCUGUCCAGCUCCAGCACAAAAUAUUACUACGUCGGCAUAUGGUACAGGAACAUACCCGAAGACAACAUUGUGUGGGUUGCCAACCGUGCUAUGCCGAUAACUGAUCCUUCUUCUGCAACACUCGCCUUCACAAGCGGAUCCGAUCUCGCCUUGUCAGACACCAGUGGCCAGCUUCUCUGGACGACAAACAUCAGCGCUGCAAGGAAUUCAUCGUCAGAGGCAACUGGUGGAGAAGCCACGCUUGAUAACAAUGGGAAUUUUAUUCUUCGGUCAUCACAUGGCACCAUCUUAUGGCAAAGCUUCGAUUACCCGACCGACACUCUCCUUCCAGGUAUGAACCUCAGGAUCACCCACAAGACGCAUGCACUACAACAGCUCAUCUCUUGGAGAAACCCCCAAGACCCAUCCCCGGGCAACUUCUCAUAUGGUGCAGACCCUGAUGAGUUUCGGCAGCGUAUUACAUGGAAUGGCUCAGCACCAUACCGGCGAAGUCUGGUAUGGAAUAACAAUUUGGUAGUAGGGAAGUAUGUUGAGAGUAUCAAGUCCACAAUUUACUAUACACUGCAAACUAUUGGUGAUGAGAUCUACGCUUCCUUUGGACUACCAGUACCUAGUGUCUCACUAGUGCUAAUGAAGAUUGACUACUCAGGCAAGAUAAAGACACAAAUCUGGAAUAGCAACAGCUCCAAAUGGACUGACCAGUAUUCAGGACCUAACCAGGAAUGCAACAAAUUUGGUUACUGUGGUCCAUUUGGUUACUGUGACAACACACAGCCUAUUGUGACAUGCAAGUGUCUUGAUGGCUUUGAGCCAAACAACAAACAAGACUGGACGACCCGCAGGUUUUCACAGGGAUGCCACCGGAUGGAAGCACUAAGAUGUGGUCAAGGGGAUGGCUUCUUAAAUAUGUCAACCAUGAAGAUUCCCGACCAGUUCUUGUAUGUCAAGAAUAAAAGCUUAGAUGAAUGCAUAGCAGAAUGCACAAGCAACUGCUCGUGUACGGCAUAUACUUACACCACUAUGAGAACUAAUGCUAUCGAUGAGGAUGAUACUAGGUGCCUAUUAUGGAUAGGAGAUUUGAUUGACACGGAGAAGUUCAUUGGACAAGGGGAAAACCUCUAUAUCCGAGUUAGUGGAUUGAGUGGUAAAUUUUACUGUUUCUGUUUCUCUGCUUGCUUUAUUAGAUAUACUCCUCUAUUUGUGUGCCCAGUGGAGCUCCAACAAUAACCUCCUUAGUUCUAUGUUCAAUGUGAGUACAAGAAAGGUUUAACUCAGUAGUGACGGAGAAAUAUUAGAGGGUGAACUUGAUAAUGCCAUUAUGAUGGAACUGUUUGGUGGAACAUAUAUGCAGUCUGUAAAUCACUACAAUCUUUUUUUAUAUGAAAAGAUAAUAGCUUAUCCAAUUAGAGGGUGCUGAUUAGGAGCCACUGGAUGCAGAAUGAAAAUACGAGCAUGCAGGGGUUGGCAAUAUCCCAGAUCAUGUAAAGCAUUUCUAUCUGAAUAAUUAUCAAGGAACAGACUCUAAUACAUGUUUCAGACACCUGAGGUGUCCGCAAAGAUUUGGCCAGCCACCAACACAGUUGGUCCAAAGUCUAUAAUUCAAUAUAUAUCUGAUCUCAGUCAAUGCAUAGGAAGUGAGCCUAACUCACAUGGGCGGAAGAGUGAAUGUCAAUCAUAGCACCCUGGUUCGAGCCAUAUUUCAUUGAACUUGAAUUUGAGUUACUGUCUAUUUCCUAUUGAUAGAAAAUGUAGUUGCUCCUACAAGUUCGUACAAUCCAUGUCAAUAUACAAGAUAUACCUAUAGAAGGAAACCUUCAAGUUCAGGCAUAAGUCAUUUAUGCCAUCCGAUUAUGGCCCUGUUUGGUUCGGCUGUGGAUUUCUAAAAGCAGCUGUGAAAAAUCUGUUGUGGGAAAACAGCUGUGGAAAAUCUGAUGUGAAAAAGAUGUAGCUCAUUUGGCAAACCAGCUGAUACAGCUUUUUCAGAUUUUGGCCCGCAGCGGAAUCAAAUUUUGGAAAGCACGUCCUGAGCUGCUUCAGCUUUUGGUUCAGAUUUUGGCAGCGGAUUUCUAAAAUCGGAUUCUGUUGGGUUCGCCCUUUGGUUCAGAUUCUGCUGCGCGGCAGCGGAAUCUGUCGAUAAAAACUGAACCAAACAGGGCCUAUAUUACAUAAAAAACUUGGGCGUGACAACCAUUCCAUCCAGUUCAACAAAACAUGUUUUGCCGGAUUUUAGUUUGAAGUAUCAAGGAAGGGGAGCCUUGGCGCAGUGGUAAAGCUGCUGCCUUGUGACCAAGAGGUCACGGGUUCAAGUCCUGGAAACAGCCUCUUACAGAAAUGUAGGGAAAGGCUGCGUACUAUAGACCCAAAGUGGUCGGACCCUUCCCCGGACCCUGCGCAAGCGGGAGCUACAUGCACCGGGCUGCCCUAGUUUGAAGUAUCAAGCCGAAGUUUUGUAUUUCCCAAAUGUUACCAUACUCGUGAUGCAAUUGUUCAUGUGAGAAAUAGAUUGCUUGAGAGUCGAGACUAUGUGCAUGUAGCUCAUACUUGUAAGAAAUAUUUGGUUUGUGAAACUAACUAUUUAGCAAAUGUGUAAUCGUGAUUGCUUACAGACUGAGUUUUGGCAGAUAAAAACCGGAAGAGCAAUGUUUUAAAAAUUACACUGCCAGUCGUUUCAAGUUUGCUCAUAAUCAUAUGCGUGUGCCUUGCUUGGAUCUGCAGCUUUGGAGGUAAAACACAGUGCCAUACAUUCUCGGUGUAUUUCCCUCAAGCAUGUUUGCGAAGGCCAAUGCUAUUCCAUAUUUCUAUGUGAUAUGUUCCUCUACUAUAACGUUUGCAUCAAUGUUCCUGACAGGCAAACAAAGAAACAAGAAAAUUUGGAAGAAGCUGAUGUCAGUAACUUCAAGCACUUCUACUGAACUUCGUGAUGGAAACUUAAAGUAUCCUUUUAUUAACUUCAAAGAAAUUGUACUUGCAACAAACAAUUUCUCUAACUCCAACAUGCUUGGACAUGGAGGUUUUGGCAAUGUUUACAAGGUAACGUGGAAUUUUCUCUUAUAGAGCAACAUAACUGUAUUUCCGUCUUGUUUGACUUAAAAGUAUGCAAGUGUCCAGGCGACAUUAGAAGAUGGUACAGAAUUUGCUGUGAAAAGGCUUAGUAAGGGUUCUGGACAGGGGGAACUGGAGUUCAGAAAUGAAGUAAUACUCAUUGCGAAGUUGCAGCACAAAAACUUGGUUAGACUUCUCGGUUUCUGCAUCCACGGAGAUGAGAAACUAUUGAUAUAUGAAUACUUACCUAACAAAAGUCUGGACGCCAUGCUUUUUGGUAUGUUCUGCUUACGUCUUGCCAAAUUUCAGUAAGUAAUGAAAUCAACCAAAAUAACUGAUUAUCCCUCAAUUGAUGCUACUGGUAGCAGAUGCCACAAGAAAAUCAAUGCUUGAUUGGCCAAUAAGAUUCGAGAUAACCAAAGGGGUAGCUAGAGGACUUCUUUAUCUUCAUCAAGAUUCAAGAUUGAAGAUAAUUCACAGGGAUCUCAAAGCAAGCAACAUAUUAUUAGAUGCCGAAAUGAGCCCUAAGAUAUCUGACUUUGGUAUGGCAAGGAUAUUUGGCGGCAAUCAGCAGCAAGAAAAUACCAACCGCGUAGUUGGCACAUAGUAAGUGGUAUACUGCAUCAAUCAUGUUUAUGCAUUGUUCCUGUGCUUGACUAAAAUUAUGUUCUGUGUUCAAACAGUGGUUACAUGCCGCCUGAAUAUGUUUUGAAAGGAGUGUUUUCUGUCAAGUCUGACGUAUAUAGCUUUGGAGUUUUACUACUGGAGAUUGUGAGUGGCUCAAAGAUCAGCUCGGUGCACCUAAAAGCAGACUUCUCCAGCAUUAUAGCCUAUGUAAGUAAAAUGGCAUGUUCAAAUUUCUGCAAGUACAGUAAAUAUAUGCAUCUUGAAAGGGAUAAGAAUGGAUGCAGGCAUGGAGCUUAUGGAAGAAUGGGAACACAAAGGAUUUUGUUGACUCGUCAAUUGUGGACAGCUGUUCACUUAAUGAAACUAUACGGUGCGUCCAUAUCGGUCUCUUGUGUGUUCAAGGCAGCCCAAAUGCGCGGCCUCUCGUGUCGUCAAUCAUGUCCUUUCUGGAGAAUGGAGAUAUAUCACUUCCACCUCCAAAAGAGCCUAUGUAUUUUGCAGAAGAUAACCAUGGUGCUGAUGGAGCAGCAGAAAAUACUGUGAAUUCUAGAAAUAACAUGAGCAUUACAGCACUAGAGGGACGCUAGUGCCUAGCAGUGCCGUGUGUACUUUGUACAACUGUAUACUGGAUAAGAAACUGGUAUAUGUCUUGAAGAGCAAGAAGCUUUGUUUUAAUAUAAAUAAUGUAUCUCGACCCCAGGAGCCCACGGAAAAUGGGAGAGGUCUCAGUGUUCUCAUUAAAGACCCUUCUCAGCAAGAAUUUUGGAUGCAUAAAAGAAAGCAAGUUAACCAACCAAUUGAAAUUUUGUACACUUGCAGAAAAGGAUAGUUGAAUUGUAUAUUUUGACAUUUUGCAUCCAGUAUGUCUGUUAGUCAGAGCACCAUAGAGGUUCCUUUCAAGGGAUAAAAGACAACUGGUGAUUUGUGGAAAACUGAAAAACAUGCCAGUGGCUGGUUUCUUCUUCCAGGCAUUACCGCAAACACCUUCUACCCACAACUCUAAGCUCACUGCUCACGGGCAACAUUCAUCUACGACAACCUCAACGCGAGAUUUCUUCCAUUAAUUCGCAUCAAAUAGGGUGCAAGAAACAACUAGAGAGUCGUAUGGCUUAGAGCACGCACCUUUGAGAAGCUCUCGCUCCACCCGGACGGACGGCCUCGCCCGCUAAGCCGUCGGCGUGGCGUGGCGGCGCGUCUUGGCCUGCUCCCGUCCAUAUCUGCCGCCUGAGCCCGUACUGGCUGCCAAAUGUGAGGCCGGGAGGAGGAAGAAGGUUGCGCCACCAUCAUUUGCUCCCCCUCCUCCUCCCGCCGGAGAUGCGGCGUCUCCGCCCCCGCCGCUCUGCUCCCGUCGACCAGAGAUUUUUUUUUUUUUUGAGACAAUCCCGUCGACCAGAGAUGAGGGCGCAGCUGGACCUUUCGGCUUUCUUUGGUGAUGAUUCGGCACAGCCCAGCCCAGCCCAGCCAGGGUUAUGGGCCUGGCACUCCACGCAGUUCUCUAUCUGUUUAAACCAUUUUUUCUCAAAAAAAAGUUAAACCAUUUUUGUUUUCAGAAACAGCACAAAUGUUUACACCUUUUUUUUUCUUAGAUCAGCCUUGCAAAACAAUACCUGUUUCUACAACAACAACAACAAAACCGUAAGACAGUUCGCAUUUUUAUUUUAUUUUGGACAACGCUAACGCCCACACGUGUGGUGGGAGCCAAACCCGCCCACACGCCCUAUAACACACAGACUGCGCCAGGUCACCGCAUGCAUGCGUGUGAGAAUUUUUUUGGAUUUUCAGUUUUUAAAAUAUUUUAUCUCUUAAAUGAAAAAUCUGAUUGAAGAUCCGUUUUCGCCAUUAAAUCCCUCGUGACGAGAUCUUCGAAACUAUAUCUCAUAUCAAUAUAUUUUGACGAUUUUUUUUAUUAAAAGUUGCCAUUUCUAUUGCACAUGAAUUGCCAUGAUGUUUACUUGAAGUUGCCAUGAUAUGUUUCAGUUAUUUUCUUCUACAUUUAAAAGUAAAUUUAACAUAUUAUAAAACGGGGAAUUAAGAAAUUAGACUUGUAAUGAACCAUAAACUAAAAUUGUCAUGAUACAUGCACUUAAAAUUGCCAUGGUUCAUACAAAAAAUAAUUUUCAUGGUCAAAGUACUGAAAUUGCCAUAAUAAAAAAACUAAAAUUGCCAUGCUCUACAAUCUAAAAUUGCCACAUGGCAACUUUAGUUUAAGCACUAUGACAACUACAGUGUAAACAUCAUGGCAACUUUGGAGAAUUUUUUUUUCGUCGAAACAUAUCAACAUUGGGUCUAGUUUUGAAGAUCACAUCGAGGCGGAUUUAAUGGUGAAAACAGAUUUUUAAUUUGAUUUUUUAAUUAGGAGAUAAAACAUUUUUAAGCCGAAAACCAAAAAGAUCUCUGCUGAUGUCAUAUGUUCAUACGUGACAAAAUGAGUGGUGAUGGAGGCGUGUGGGCGAUGUGCAUGAUGCCACACGUAUGGACGUUAGGUUUUUCGUUUAUUUUUUGUGGGGAGGUUGGCAUUUUUCUUUAACACACUGGGAUGGUAAUACAGACCAGAUCCCCUGAUGUUGGUAGUGCACGUAGCAGGUAAUGCCAGAGUGUCGCGUCCAUUUCUGUGUUGACUUCAUUGUAUGUAGUCUAUAGUCAUACAGUACAUGAGUUAAAAAGUGCAUAUGCAUACAGAGUUUUACAUUUAAUAAUAUUCCUAUACCACAUAAAGAGAAGCUUGCUCUCAUGAUCUUGAAGCAAGUAAUGGCUUGAAGGACGAAGGAAGCUCGCACACCAACAUGAUCACUUUAGGCAGCUCGGCAUUAUUCUUACCGGUUAACUCCAAGGGCUCCCUUCUUCUCUGGAGCUGAGCGCUUCUUCUUCCUGCUCUUUGAGUUGUCAUCAUCGUCGUCAUGGUCAGAGUCGUGGUCCGAGUGGGAAUCAUGGCCAGACUCUGAAUCAGAAUCGUGGUCGGUGUCGGAUCGCCCCGACUAAGAUGUACUCACCCGUUGCGCUUUCCAUCUAGAGUGUAGGCAAUUAACCGCUCCUGCCAGGGUUACCCGUGCACAUACUACAUAGCCAUUCUUCCUCUUCUUGCUUCUUUGGCCAAAUAUGUUCUCUGCUCCAGUGAUACCCAGGCGUGCAACUUGUACAGGGUUGCUCCAGCCUUGCCAUCUCAACGAGUAUAUAUGGUCGUGCCUUCCCCUCCUCCUAUCCAGUGGAAAAAUCAUUUCUGAGUAAUACAUUUGCGAUGGAAGAAGUGCACUGUGAACAUCUGCAAUAGCCUGAUGACUAGCAUAAGACACUGAAUACUUUUCAGAUACAUAGUUGCACAUGGCAGCUAAAAUUUUCGUUUUUCUUGCAAAGCUUAGGGACGCAAACUCGGGCACGACUACACACUCGAACGCGUGGCUGGCCAACUUCCAUACCUGCAGAGACCAGCUGGGAUAAAUGUGUGACUCCACCCAGAGUGUUGCACAAGACUGCUAAGAAAUCCCUCUUUCUUGCGAAGCUAGGGGCGCAAAUUCGGGCACGACUGCACACUUAAAUGCAUAGCUCGCAAACUUCUAUAGUUGCAAAGACCAGAGUAAAUAUGUGAGUCCACCCACAGAGUUUGACCUCACAUUUUUAAGAAACAAGCACAAGGUCCCUUUGUACAUCCAGUCAGGGUCUAAUGAUGUUCUUCUGAAACCCAAAAGAAAAAAAAAAUGUGUCCUUAAUCUUAACAACCUAUCCAGUUAUAGUUUACAUGGUCAAACAUGCAAGUCCAAUGGGAAGACCAUGGAAUUUCCUGCACCACUGAUGUUAACAUUUAACUGCAAUCUCAUAUGCAUUACGGUCAAAAGAUAGGUUCGUUUCACACACAACAGACAUCUAAGCUUACAUACCAAAACCAGAACAAGGGGUUUGCUCUGUUCAUAAACAUAUGUAAUCCAACUAAAAUAGUACCAGCAACCAGCACAUUCAAACAAGAAAACCAAGCAGUCACGCUUCAAAGAAAAAGUAAAUGUCUAUUCUAAUUUGCUGAGAAGGCUAGUCCGACAUAGUCCAGAUGAUAACAACCACAACCCAACAUUUUCAAACUUCCUAGUAAAUAUAUAUCCUUGACUACUUCCAAGGUUCCCACUUUCCCAGUAACUUCCUGUAAGAAAAGGGCCACAAAUAAUAUGCUUGACUGACUCUGCCUCUCCCAGGAGUUCUGAUUUGCAUUGUCCAAGGGCAACUCAUCCACUGCUUUGCUUUCAUUAUCCCAGUUCCAUAGUUCGCUACAGCAAUGGAUCCCCCUCCCAUACACACAAUCAUCUGCCUUGUUUGUUGGUCAUUUUGGUUAUUCCCAUUCUGUGCAUCAUCCGGCAGCCGCCUUCUUCCCGACAAGCCGCUUUCUGCUGGAAGCACCAUCACCUCCGACGACGGCACUUUCGCCCUGGGAUUCUUCUCCCCGUCCAGCUCCGGCACAAAACAUUACUACGUCGGAAUAUGGUACAAGAACAUACCCAAAGACAAUGUUGUGUGGGUUGCCAACCGUGCUAUGCCGAUCGCUGAUCCUUCUUCUGCAACACUGGCCUUCACAAACGGAUCCAAUCUGGCCCUGUCAGACACCAACGGCCAGCUUCUCUGGAUGACUAAUAUCAGCGCCGCAGGAAAUUCAUCGUCAGAGGCAACUGGUGGAGGAGCCACGCUUGAUAACAAUGGGAAUUUUAUCCUUCGGUCAUCACAGGGCAUCAUCUUAUGGCAAAGCUUCGAUUACCCGACCGACACUCUCCUUCCAGGUAUGAACCUCAGGAUCACCCACAAGACGCAUGCACUACAACGGCUCGUCUCUUGGAGAAACACCCAAGACCCAUCCCCGGGCAACUUCUCAUAUGGUGCACACCCUGAUGAGUUUCUGCGGCGUUUUUCAUGGAAUGGUUCGACACCAUACUGGCGAAGUCCAGCGUGGAAUAACUAUUUGUUAGUAGGGCGGUACGUCGAGAGUGUCAAGUCCACAAUUCACUUCACACUGAAUACUAUUGAUGAUGAGGUGUACAUUUCCUUUGGACUACCAGAACCAAGUGUCUCCUUAGUGCUACUGAAGAUGGACUACUCAGGCAAGAUGAAGUUACGAACCUGGAAUAGCAACAUGUCCAAAUGGACUGACCUGCGAUCAGAACCUAAACAGGAAUGCAACAAAUUUGGUUACUGUGGUCCAUUUGGUUACUGCGACAACACGCAGCCUAUUGUGACAUGCAAAUGUAUUGAUGGCUUUGAGCCAAACAACAAGCAAGACUGGACGGCACACAGGUUUUCGCAGGGAUGCCACCGGAUGGAAGCACUAAGAUGUGGUCAACAGGAUGGCUUCUUAAAUUUGCCAAGCAUGAAGGUUCCCCAUGAGUCCUUGCAUGUCAAGAAUAUAAGCUUAGAUGAAUGCAUAGCAGAAUGCACCAGCAACUGCUCCUGCACAGCGUAUGCUUUCGCCAAUACGAGCACCAAGGAUAUCAAUGGGGAUGAAACUAGGUGCCUAUUAUGGAACGGAGAUUUGAUUGACACAGAGAAGCUCAUUGGACAAGGGCAAAACCUCUAUAUCCGGGUUCAUGGAUUGAGUGGUACAGUUUACUGUCUCUGUUUCUCUGCUUGCGUUGGUAGAUAUACCCUCUAUUUUAUGGGAACAGUGGAGCUCCAGUAAUAUCUCCCUUAGUACCAUUUACAAUGUCAGUACAAGUAAGGUUUAAAUUAGUAGUGGCGGGCAAAUAUUAGAGGGUAAAGAGUUGAUAAUGUCAAUAUGAUGGAACAGUUUGGCGCAGCAUAUAUGCUGUCUGUGAAUCACUACAAUAUUUUUAAUAUGAAAACAUAACAGUUUAUCCAAUUGGAGGGUGCAGAUUAGCAGCAACUGGAUUCGGAAUGAAAAUAUGAGCAUGCAGGAGUUAGCAAGAAGUAUUUGGCUUGUGAAACUAACUAUUUAUAAAAUCUUCAAAUCAUAAUUGCUUACAGACUAAAUUUUGGCAGAUAAAAAGCGGAAGAGCACUGUCUUAAAAAUUACACUGCCAAUCGUGUCAACCUUGCUCAUAAUCAUAUGGGUGUGCCUUGUUUGGAUCUGCUAUUUGGGAGGUAGAACACAGUUCCAUACUUUUCUCCGUGUAUUUCCCUUGAGCAUGAUUGUGCAGGCCAAGGCUAUUCCAUAUUUCUAUGUGCUAUGUUCCUUUAUUAUAAUGUUUGCAUCAAUGUUCCUGAUAGGCAAACAAAGAAACAAGAAUAUUUGGAAGAAGCUGAUGUCAGGAACUUCGAGCACUUCAUUUGAACUUUGCGACGGAAACUUAAAGUAUCCUUCUAUUAGCUUCAAAGAAAUUGUACUUGCAACAAACAAUUUCUCUAACUCCAACAAGCUUGGACAUGGAGGUUUUGGCAGUGUUUACAAGGUAACGUGAAUUUUUAUCUUAUCGACGAACAUAACUGUAUUUCCAUCUUGUUUGACCUAAAAAUGGAUGUGUCCAGGGAAUGUUAGAAGAUGGUACAGAAAUUGCUGUGAAAAGGCUUAGUAAGGGUUCUGGCCAGGGGGUACCGGAGUUCAGAAAUGAAGUAAUACUCAUUGCGAAGUUGCAGCAUAAAAACUUGGUUAGACUUCUCGGCUUCUGCAUCCAUGGAGAUGAGAAACUAUUAAUAUAUGAAUACUUACCUAACAGAAGUCUGGAUGCCAUGCUUUUCGGUAUGUUCUGCUUACGUAUUGCCAAUUUCAGUAAGUCAUGAAAUCAACCAGAAUAACUGAUGCCAUCCCUCAAUUGAUGCUAUUGGUAGCAGAUGCCACAAGAAAAUCAAUGCUUAAUUGGCCAACAAGAUUCGAGAUAAUCAAAGGUGUAGCUAGAGGACUUCUUUAUCUUCAUCAAGAUUCAAGGUUGAAGAUAAUUCACAGGGAUCUCAAAGCAAGCAACAUAUUAUUAGAUGCCGAAAUAAGCCCUAAGAUAUCUGAUUUUGGUAUAGCAAGGAUAUUUGGUGGCGAUCAGCAGCAAGAAAAUACCAACCGCGUUGUUGGCACAUAGUGAGUGAUAUACUGCAUGAGUGAUCUUUAUACAUCUCAAAAAAAAAAGAGUGAUCUUUAUACAUUAUUCUUGUGCUUGACCAAAAUUAUGUUAUGUGCUCCUAACUGGGACAUGCUUCAAACAGCGGUUACAUGUCACCUGAAUAUGCUUUGAACGGAGUGUUCUCUGUCAAGUCUGAUGUAUACAGCUUUGGAGUUUUACUACUAGAGAUUGUGAGUGGCUCAAAGACCAGCUCUGUGCACCUAAAAGCAGACUUCCCCAGCAUUAUAGCCUCUGUAAGUACAAUGACAUGUUCGAAUUUCUGCAAGUAUAGUAAAUAUGUGCAUCUUUGAAGGGAUGAGAUAUGAUGAAUGCAGGCAUGGAGCUUAUGGAAGGAUGGGAACAUAAAGGAUUUUGUUGACUCAUCAAUUGUGGAGAGUUGUUCACCUGAUGAAACUAUACGGUGCAUCCAUAUUGGACUUUUGUGUGUUCAGGACAGCCCAAAUGUGCGGCCACUCGUGUCAUCAAUCAUGUCCUUUCUGGAGAAUGGAGAUAUAUCACUUCCACCUCCAAAAGAGUCUGUGUAUUUUUCUGAAAACAACAAUGGAAAUGAUGGAGCAGCAGAAAAUACUGUAAAUUCUGCAAAUAACAUGAGCAUUACAGUAGUAGAGGGACGCUAGUACUUAGCAGUCUAAUCUCUGUAUAUGCCGUGGGUACUUUUUACAACUGUAUACUGGAUAAGAAACUGGUAGUUUUGCCUUGAAGAACAAGAAGCUUUGUUUUAAUAUAGAUAAUGUAUUUCAAGUCCGGCAGCUCCAGCAAAUGGAGAGAUCUAAAUGUUCGUAUUAAAGACCAUUCUCAUCAAGAACUUCAGAUGCAUAAAAGAAGGCAAGUUAACCAGCUAAAUUUUGUAUGCUUAAAAAACAGGUAGUAUAGCUGUAUAAGUGUAUAACCAAAUUUCAUUAUACUUAAAGAACGGGUACCACGCACGGCCUCCCGGUCUACCAUACGAUUUGUUAUAUGAACUAACAAUUAUCUACUAUCUAACUCCAAGCCGAUUGUUUCUUAAUCUAGGCCAAUUGUCAUUUCGACUGAGUAGAAUGUAUAUUGUAGUAGUAAAUCCUGUAUUACUUAUUUACAGCAGCAGUAGGCAGCUGGUGUGAACAUGUGGCUGCAAGAUUCAAGAUAAGCUGCCUGGACAGGAUGAGAUAAGCUGCCAGGAUAGAAUAUGUCAGGAUAAAAUUUAAUGAUAGGCUUGACUGUCAAGUUAUGCAAGUUUUUGCACAGCUUAAGUCGGUAGUACACCCUAUAAAAGGGCAUGUAUCCCAUCGUUGUAAAAUAAGACAGAUCAAGCAAUCCAUUUGAGCUUCACAAAACUAGUACUCACCGUGUGCUCCUCUCUCUCAAGUGUGCGCGUCCGUGAGCCAGCUCCCCGAGAACUCAUAGUCUAGCCCCAGAGCACUCCAGCUUCAAGUAGUACAGUAUAAUACAGGAGCACUUCAGCUCACACUGCUCGUGUAUCCUCUGUUCGUGUGUGUACUAGUGCUUCACUGGUGUGUGUGCUACUCGGGCCAGAUAUUCUGUCCCCCUUAGACUAGAAUUACUAGUCUGUCAUUUGGGCUAACAUAUAGUAUUAUCUUAAUUUUGCAUGCAAUGUGUCUCUUACUCCUAGUUACUAUGGAGUUUUUUAUAAGCACAAGCAUGGAAGUAAAAAAUAGUCAGAGUUAUCAGGUAGGUCACUUCAUUGUGUCAGGCUAAACAAUGUUUGUGAAAUCCGACAGAAAUCAUGUAGAAAAGCAACUUCAAAUCACAUUAGAAAAUAUACACAACGCUUAACUAGAAAGAAAAAAAGGCAUCCUGUCGCAUUGAUUGAAAGUGCGUAAAGUAUACUGUAAUACUGUAUAACCCUUAACUAAACUAGUGCCAUCUGACCAGCAAUAAGAAACUUAUGUAGGAGAACGUGAACCCUGAACAACACCAAGAUUAUGCGUGGGUUAAGCACUCCGCCAUCCCUCCUGUCCCCAUGCUUCAGUGUGCAACACAUUUGUUAACAGAAAUAUGAGAGAGACAGUGUGUCAGACUAAGGGAUUGAAAAUUGAAAAACAGGUCAGCAGCUGGCAUAUGGGUUCCACUAAUCCACAUCACAAACACCUUGUGUCCAUUCACAAUUAGAGCACGCACCUCUGAAGCUCUCGCUCGCUCCCGCGCCACGCCGUCCGUCGGCGUGGCGUCGCGCCUUAGCCUGCUGUGCUCGGCGUGGCGUGGCUCCUGUGCUGGCGGAAAUGUGGCCCAGAAGGAAGGGGGAGGAGGAAGAAGGUGCGGCAUUUUGUCCUCCUCCCGCCGGAGAUGCGGCGUCUCCGCCCCCGCCGUUCUGCUCCUGUCGACCAGACCAGCUCGUUCCCCUCGCGCACCUGGACCUUUCGGCUUUCUUUGGUGAUUCGGCCCAGCCCAGCCCGCGUUAUGGGCCUGGCAUUCAUUCACGCGGUUCUCAAACAGGGGGAAGAAAACGCAGCUUUGUACUGCCUGCUUUCAUCUAAACAAAAAGUAUGGAGGUCAAUACUGGAUGGACGAGAUACACUCUCUCAAGGACUUAUAAGGAGAAUUAGAGACGGAAAUACUACACGAAUCUGGGAGCACAACUGGUUACCCCGUCAACAUAACAUGUGUCCUAUAGUGAGCAGAAUACACAGUCCGCCGCAGUUCGUUGGGAAACUGCUCCUUCCCAGCGCAGAAUGGAAUCGUGACAUGAUAUCAAGCGUCUUCGUGCAGACUGAUGCAGUAGCUAUUCUGUCUAUUCCUGCUUGUACGAGACAUAUACAAGACUUUUGGUCCUGGGUACACGAGAAAAACGGAGUGUUCUCAGUGCGUUCUGCAUACCGGAUGUCGGUCACCACAAAACUGCGACGAGAAGCCUGGCUAGAAGGCAGAGCAGACCCAUCCAAUACCGAAGGCGAGCAGAAAGCUUGGUCAAAGUUGUGGAAGAUAGAUGUCCCUUCAAAGAUAAAAAUCUUCCUCUGGAGACUAGCCCAGCAGUCUAUCCCAACUUCAGACCUUCUCCAUCACCGUAAUAUGUCUACGGUGACGACAUGCGGACUAUGCGGCAGCGAGGACUCUUGGCAACAUUCCCUUCUACACUGCCAUGCUGCUCGGUGUGUGUGGGCACUGCAGAACCCCGACUUGGUCGAGGCAAUUAACGGCAUCAGGGAGCCUGAUGCUAAACGCUGGGUCUUUGCGGCCAUGGAUACAAUCCCUUCCAAUGAAUUCACUCAAGUUCUGGUCACUCUUUGGGCCAUCUGGUAUGCAAGAAGGCAAGCUUUGCACGAGAAUAUUUUUCAAAGUCCCCAAGCCACACAUGUUUUCAUCAUGAAAUACUUGCAUGAGUUGGAGGCGUGCAAGCCAAAACAGAAAGCUGCUCCGCUACAUGCAGCUCCAAACAGGUCACGCCCAGCUUGGAUUCCUCCUCCGCACGGGGUGGCAAAGAUUAGAGUGGACGGAGCUGUGUCAAGGGCAGCUGUUGAAGGCUCCAUCAGCGCGGUCUGCAGGGACUCGCAGGGACACUACUUAGGCUCCUCAGCUAUGAAGAUCCCGGGGAUGAAUGACCCAGCGACGCUUGAAGCUUUGGCAUGUCGGGAGGCGAUGGCGCUGGCCCUGGAUCUUGGACUCACGCAUGUGGAAAUAGCAUGUGAUAACAAGGGGGUGGUUGGAGACAUCAAUCAAAGAAUAGGAGGAAAUUAUGUUGCGGUAGUAAAGGAGAUAAACCCCACCUUGAAUCAGUUUUAUCAGUGUACUUUCAUUUUCGAGGGUAGAGGGAUAAAUUUAGAGGCACAUAGCCUUGCCAAACAUGUUUUUGGGUUGGGUUUUGGACGCCAUGUAUGGCUACUGAACCCAUCAAAUUUGAGAUGUAUGCCUAUGAACAUUAUUGAGCAAUAAAAAAAGUAUGUUUGGACGCAAAAAAAAUCUAAACAAAAAGUACUGCAUGCUCGAUUCUCAAAAAAAAAAUGCACUACAUGCUCAGUCGAGACGUCUCUGGUGACUUCGUCAAUCUUGAAAUGAUAUGCCGGCUCAGUCUCUCGGAGAUGCUCAUAAUAGGGUAUGCGUGUGUGUUCAUAGGGAUGAGUGUAUGCGAGUAUAUAUGAGCAUCUGCGUCUGUACCAUGUUCUAAAAAAUGUACUGUAUGCUCACUCGCUUUGUUUCAUGCUGCUCCAUCUGUUUAAACCUACCCCUAAAAAAACUGUUUAAACUUUUUUUUUAAACAGCACAUCUAUUUAGAGCCUUUUUUGUUAGACCAGCCUUGACAAAACACUCCCUGUUUCUAAUCUAAAAUAAAAAAAAGUGUAACAUGGUUGACAUUUUUCUUUAUUGGCGUUUUCCUUUAACACGGUUGCCACUACAGUACAACUCCCUGAUGUUGGUCGUGCACAUAGUAGGCAUUGCCUUCAUUUCUAAAUGCAAGACCUUUGAUCGAACUGCCAAAACAUCUUAUAUUCAGAAACAGAGAGUUUAAUACCGUGUGAUGCGCUUAUUUGUAUGCGGACUUCAUUGUCUGUAGGCUAUAGCCAGAUACAUAACUUUAAAGUGCAUGCGCGUACAGAGUUUUAUGGCUAAUACAUGUUUAAAGAUAAGCUCGCUCUCAUGAUCUUGAAGCAAGUAAUGACUUGAAGGGCGAUGGAAGCUCGCACGCCCAUAUAUAUUGUCACUUUAGGCAGCUUGUCGUUCUUCUUACCGGUUACCUCCCAGGACUCCCUUCUUCUCUGGAGCUGAGGGCUUCUUCUUCCUGCCCUUUGAGUUAGCGUCAUCACCAUCACAGUCAGAGCCCGAGUCACAGUCGUGGUCCGAGUGGGAUCGGCCAUUGUCGUCAUCAUCGUCGCCACCAUCAUCAUUAUCAUCAUCGCCACCAUCAUCAUCGUCGUCGUCAUCGUCGUCGCCAUCAUCAUCAUCAUCACCACCACCACCACCACCACCACCAUCAUCGUCGUCGUCGUCGCCGCCAUCAUCAUCAUCAUCACCACCACCACCACCACCAUCAUCAUCGUCGUCGUCGUCGUCAUGGUGGUGGUGGUGGAUCUUCUUUUUGUUACUCCGGUGAGGGCUAGGCUUCUGGCCUUGCUCCUCCGCUGAUGCCAAGUCCACUAGAUCGCCAACAACAAGCUGAGGCUUGGCCACCGCUUUCUCCUCCUGUUUGCAGCAGUGCGCCGGCAGGGUGGACCCGCUCUUAGUCCCCGCCUGGUCCGUCUGCAUGGCCGUAAGCGACUUCGUGGCGGCGGAGGCAAACAGAAAGGUGACGGCGAGCAACAAGGUGGCCAGGCAGGUGGUGGCGCGCCCCAUUUGUGUGUUCGGUGAGUGUGAGCUCACGCGCGUUGGCAAUAUCUAACAUACACCGUGAUGUGCAUGAAUCCUUGUGGCAUCGAGUGCAAGGUAUAUAUAUAUGUUUGUUGGCUUGGGAAUGUGUAGGACAUUAUGGAGUUGAAAGCUAAGCUCUAUAGUGCGUUGGUUUGGUUUUCAUUGGAAGGGUGAGUCACACCUCGGGUGGUACAUUAUCUCCCUUUUUUAACAUCAUGCGUACAUUAUCUCCUCAUUGUUUUUAUCCUCCACGAAAUAUCUCCUUGUUUGUGUUGAGCUAAGAUUUAGUGCGCCGAGACUAGGAAGGAACUUGUGCACUCACCCGUUGCGAUUUUCCACCAUGAUGCUCAUAUAGUAUAAACUGUGAUUUUUUUUAUAAAGGGCCUUUUUUCAUUCAAAUGUUAUAUCGAAUGACACAACUGCGACGGGUGAAUAUGUGGCCUUUACAUAACCAAAUGCACAUAGCCAACAAGUCAUAGAAAAAGCAUAAGGGAUGGGGGGAGGGUUGUGCCGUGAGACAUGCGCAGAGCGCCGCCGGCCGCAGGUGGUGGUGCCAAGCAGAGGGGCAGAGCAGGCAGGCGGUUGUAUGGGAGGAAGGGGGUGAGGUUGAAGAUGAAUAGUGCCCUGAUGUGUUUUUGGCCGUUGGAUCAAGAUCAAGUGGUCCUGGGAAAAGUGACCGACGCAAAAGACAUUUUCAGCUGCUUAAUCAGUACACGCUCCCUUUUUUUAAACCAGACUUGAGAAAACACCACUUGUUUCUACAAAAAAAACCUAACACAGUUGACAUUUCCUUUAUUGACGUAUUUUUCUUCGGCCAAUCAAUACAUUCACGGAACUCUACGGAUAUGUGAUACACAAGUUUACAAAAGUGAAACACAAGGAGAGAACAUUACAUUACACCACGCUGCAGCUCACUAGCCUCAGGAGAAAAUCGCACUGAUUAAAAGGACUAGCGAGCACUAAAAUCAACCUUCUACCAACCACAUAACCGCAUAGGGGAAAAAACAGUCGCAUAACUGCUUUACAUCCUAGCAAUCUUUGAGCGCGAUCAGCUGGUCGACGACGCCGGGGUCAGCGAGAGUGCUUAUGUCGCCGAGCUCGUCCAGCUGCUUCGCGGCAAUUUUGCGCAGGAUCCUGCGCAUGAUCUUGCCGCUGCGGGUCUUGGGGAGCCCCGGCGCCCAGUGGAUCCUGUCUGGAGCUGCAAACGCCCCGAUCUGACACGCAGGAAAAAAACCCGCAUGAAUGACAGGCAGCAAACAGCAUUGAAGGAGCUCAGUUGCCCAUGUUUUAAUUCUUUGCUAUGUCUUCCUAGCCAGCAUAAGAUUGACAGUAGCUAAUCUGGAGCAUGUUUCAUCUGGCUAACAAAGAGUGUUAACUAAUUUGCCUGAACUACAGGCCUCGUUAUAGUAGCUGGUGAAUUGGGAACAUUCGCAAUCUAUCAGAACUCACUUUGUUCUACACAAUUUUGGCAUGCUGAAUAGACAAAUUUUAAGCAUGGGAUCGCAUACUUCCAUGUAAAGGCGGAGUUUUAUUUUCUGAUAGUGUAACUCGCUUUAGAACGGAAGAUGUGAAACAUCCAAAAGUAUCACGAAAAUACCUGAGUGCGGACUUUUGCUAUGAGGCUCUUUCGUAGUUCUUCACUGUAAGGAACGCCAUCCACCAAAGUUACAAAAGCAUAUAUUCCCUGACCUUUGACCUGAAGUACUUCUUUUAUUAGAAAUUUGAAGCAGAUAAUAUGACAAUAAGAACUGUAUAUGAUGGGAUAGAAAAUAUAACAGAAGUGCAGGGAAGGUUAGAUUAUCGGUGGGCCAUACCUCAUGCUCAACACCAACAACAGCGGCCUCUGCACACUGUGGAUGCGAAACCAAAGCAGACUCAACCUCUGCUGUGCCAAUUCGAUGCCCACUGCAUAUUCAAAUGUGCAAGAUAACUCAGUUCUAGCAUAACAAUUUUCAACAGCCACAUACUGAACUUAAACUCUAGCAAAUAGCAAACAAACCAAAUAAGCAGCUUACCUAACGUUGAUAACAUCAUCUACUCUUCCAGUAAGCCAGUGGUAACCAUCUUUGUCCCUGACAUGAAAAUAUUAUUUGCUGCGCUGUUAGAGAGGUAAUCUAUAUUGCGUAAAACUGAAAUACGCUUGGAUCUCAUGCCCUGUUGAUGGAAAUAACUCAACAAGUUACCUGCUGCAACCAUCACCAGUAAAAUAGUAGCCAGCAAAUGGCUUGAAGUAUGUGGUCUCAUAUCUGUCAUGAUCUCCAUAGAGGGUCCGGAAAGCCCCAGGCCAUGAUUUUUUAAUGCAAAGAUAUCCGCUACAUUCUCCUUCAAUCUCCUGUCCUUUCUCAUCAACAAUGACCGGCUGUAAACCGUACAAAUAGUAAUGAGUAUUAGAUAAAAUGCAUGGCUGUAUUCUGUAUUUCACAGAUAGAUUGCGUUUACCUGCACACCAAAGAAAGGAAAUGUUGCAGAACCCGGUUUCUGAGGCCAGGCACCAGGUAAAGGAGUCAUCUGCAGAGAGCAUUUACAACAGUUUAAAUAUUAAUUUCAAGAUCAGUCACUUUAUCGCCCCAUGAAAAAGAAAUUGAGAAGAAGUGUCAGCUUUUAAGAGGCACUUACCAUGAAGCCACCAGUUUCAGUCUGCCACCAAGUAUCUGAUAUGGGGCACUUUGAAUCCCCAACAACAUUGUAGAACCAUCUAAAAUGAAGUAAAACACGCAUGAGAACAACCUCUUAUAAGUGUCCCUGGAUAGUAUUACUCUUUAACACUUGAUAAAUUAUCCAUGUACCUCCAUGCACUAGGAUUAAUUGGCUCACCAACGCUUCCCAGGACUCGGAGAGAUUUUCGAGAGUAGCGUGUAACAUACUGCAAAAGCAUAUCAGGCAAUAAGUAAAAAAAAGCAACAUCCACACCAAACAUACAUAUAAAAAAGGUUUACAGAGUGGCCACUAUGAAUGUUUUUUAUGCUAUCCAAAUCAUAUUACAGCCAGUGUGUUUUAUUUCCAGUGUGUCAUAUUUGUAGUCUCCUGGUUGGAUUCUUUCCAACCAUCAUUGGCAAUAAAUAGCUCGCUGUAGUUGUUCCGUAAAAAAAUUCAUGGAAUCCGAUAGUUAAGAGCUCAAUCUUGGAGAACAAGUGUUUAUCGAUUAAUCACUAAAUCUAAUAGUUUUGCACAGUAGAAACGGCUCGAGAAUCUUCUGAUUGUUAAGUCAUAUGAGCUUCUUAGCAACUUAAGUAACUACAUAUGUAAUAAGCAGUGAGUGAACUAUUGGUAUGUUAUGUUAGGUUGACUGGGUUGUCAGAUGCAGAUAUAUCGAAAUAAAAGCAGACAAGCUCCAAAGCACACGCUUCCAACAACCAACGGACAGUUCAAUUCAUGUUCACUAGAACCAGCUGUCCGGCAAAUGUUGAGAUUUAGUAAACAGUAAAAAUCAAGAGAAUAUUGAACUUGAUGGUUGAUUUGCAAUCAUUUAAGAUUUUAAUUAGAUGACUUAGAAUAGUGAAUAGUUCUUCCCUCCAUUCAAGACAACCAGAUUGACAGACUUGAGCAUAGUAGGGGUCUUAAACACAAUGCCAUCCAGCAUCAAUGGCUUGUUCACAUUACUGGGAGCUGGCUUAAAGAACAUCAUGCAUACCUCAUCACCAUCGCGCAUGAGUGAACGGACGAGUGUUGGUGCGGUAUAAAAUAUUGACACCUUGUACUUGUCCACAAUGUCCCAGCACCGACCAGCAUUAGGGUAGUUCGGAGUCUACAUGUACAUGAUUCAAUGGCAUAUUUAGGCAUAGUACAACUAAAAUCAAGCCCCACAAAAAUUAUCGAAGCAAACAAAUUGAGUUUUAAGAAAUACAUACAACAAGUACAAUUUCUUAAACAUAAAAGUCUAGUGGAUUGUGUUAUGAAUUGUCAAACAAAAGGACACAUCAAACAUAAUGACAACCCCGAAAAAUAAAACCACUGAAUUUUCUUUCAUUCAUCAAAUUUGUAUUGAGCUGACAUAACUUCACAAUAUCCUAACUAGAAAAGCUUUUAGAAAUAUAUACCCCUUCAAAAACAAGAACUGCAGCUCCAUUCAGGAGUGGGCCAUAUGUCACAUAGCUAUGUCCAGUAAUCCAACCACAGUCUGCAGUGCACCUGAUGCCAACAAACAACGGAAGGUAUAAGGGAAAACAGCAAUUUCUAUUAGUAGUUCCCCAAACAAAGGACAUGCUUUAUAUUCAUACAAGUCAAAAACAAAAUCUUCUGUUUACCAGUAUAUGUCUGUUGGCUUGUAAUCAAAUGCAUACUUAAAUGUUGUUGCAGUAUACACCAUAUAGCCCCCAGAAGUAUGCAUAACACCCUUCAAAUUUAUUAACAGAGAUUAAUACUCGGGUAACUUGACAACAGGAUAAUCUAGUGUAGCUUAAUACCUUUGGUUUUCCAGUGCUGCCACUCGUGUACAAAAGAAACAAUGGAUCCUCCGCAUCCACCCAUUCCACAUCACACUUGGUAGGAAAGUUGGUCACAACAUCCUGAAAGUUAUGUCCAAGGAACAAUGGUUAAUUGAUAUUUGCUGUUAUCUGAGGAUGCAGGCCUGCCCUGAAAUACAGGAUGCAUAUUGGAAUGUUGACAAGUUGCUGUUGAAGGGGAAAAAAUGCACCUGCCACCAAACAUCCCUUCCUGCUUGCCAUUUUGUGUCUUGCCUCUUCAUUACUGACUGGUUUUCGUAUGUCAAACAAAUACCUGCUCAGCACAACAGUAGUGACUAGUCAAAAUCAGCAAACCACAUAUUGACAGCAUUCAGUUAUAUAUGGAUCUGCCAAUGAUCUGUAAGUCAUCAUAAAUACUGAUCCCAUUGUCCACCACUGACAAUAUAUGGAUCUGAACCUAAUUUUCACAACACAACAUUAAACCCCGUGAUGGCAAGCGUGAGUGCUGCCACGGAAGCCCAACAACAGCUCAAAUUGUCUAUGCAAUAUAAAAGUCGAUCCUAGUACAUACCUACAGAGAAUCCAUUCUUCUCACUUUCCACCAGAGCAGCAUCCACUAUGUCUUUGAGAAGAAUGGGCUUGGGCCCCCUUUUCACGGCAUUACAAGUGAGCACAAGCUUAGGCUUGCAAUCAACGAUCCUUUGGGCCAGCGAAUCCGCAGAGAAGCCAGCAAACACAACCUGAAGGGAAAUUUGGGGUGCAUCGCAUCAUAAACGGGAACAGGACCAACCAGGAUAACAAAUGGAGCUUGCAGUGCAGUGCUUACCGAAUGGACAGCACCGAUACGCGCACAUGCAAGCAUGGCAAUGGGAAGCUCCAGCAGCAUCGGUAAGUAGAUGAUCACAGCAUCCCCCUUGCCGACACCAACACUUUUCAAGUAAUUUGCAAGCUAGCAGAAAGCAUAAAACAAAACAAAUUCAGAUUCAGCACCUUCCCCAAACCUCUAAUACUAAGAGCAUUUACAUCCCUUGGUACAUUUACUGUCCAUUCACAAAACAACCAGAUAUAGGCAUAUGCAUAAUUACCUGGCAAACCUUCUCCACGAGCUCAGAAUAGGUGAGCUUCCCAUCCUGGCCGGGCUCAUUGCCCUCCCAGUACAGUGCAAUCUUGUCCCCAUUCCCAGCCUCGACGUUGCGGUCGACGGCAUUGUAGCAUAUGUUGGUUUUGCCCCCUUUGAACCACUGGACAACACCAAAGAACCAACACAUGAUUCGCAAUCACCAGAAAUGCUAAAUUCAGACAACAGCCAUCACCAGAAGACACCUACACUGAUGUGGACGGGGCCCUUGCUGACGUCGAGGUUUUCGGAGCAGACCUCGCUGGGGUUCCACUUCUCCUUCCAGUAGAAGGCGUCGGCGAUCUCUGACCAGAACCCGGCCGGGUCCUUGAUGGACCUCUCGUACAUCUCCUUGUACUGAAACACACACCAAGUGAGAUCACAACUUUAAGGCAUCACAAUCAUCAGACCGAAACGCAGCAAGAAAGGAAAUGAAGCACUAAAAUCAAGACGAAUGCAUCCUAGCACUGUUGCUAUCUCUGUGUACGAUCUGUCGGUAGAACAUAAAAUCAGCAAUGUCCCUGUCCGACUGACUUUUAGCGAGCACCGGGCUUGUCUUGAUCAUGAUCAGGACAAGACAUUUUUGUGCUGAACUAAAGCAAGCGCCGCGGUUGAUUGACAGCAAGCGAGCCAUAUGGAGCGAGCGAUCGAGGAGCAGAGUGGGUGCGUGCGUGCGUAUAUAUGUAUGUACCUGCUGGGGGGAGGAGACGAGUGCGGUGGCGGAGAACUCGGCGCUGGGGAAGACGAGUUCGUGCUCCUCGUCGGCGAGCGACUCGCCCAGGACGACGGCGCUGAUCCCGGAGAUGGACCCGGCGCCGGAGGGCCGCUCGGACAUGGACUCGACGUGCCGGAGCUUGUCCGGGGUCCCUCCCGCCUGCUGGCCCGCGGUAGCGGCGCCCAUGGCUGGCCCAGGCGGCGGCGACGGCGGCGGGGAGGCGGAGGAGGGGGCGGGGCGGGGGCGGGUGGGAGGUGCAGUGAGAUCCAGAUCCGGGCGGGGGACGGGGGGCGGCAGCAGCGAUGGGUGUAUAAAUAAACGAUCUUUGAGCGAGGGCGAGAGCGAUCUCUCGGUGAUCUCCGAGCGCGAGCGGCGACUGGCCGCCCACCACCCUCCCUUCUCCGACUCCUCCCCCGCCUCUGCUGGCUGCUGGCUACCGGCCAAGUCGUGUGUUGACUUCCCUACUCUCCACUGCCAGCCACGGAGGGGAUAGCGACCGGCGCAACCGCGACUGGUAAAAUAUUGGCAGGUACGGGGUGGCGACGCGCGGCUGGACGGGCCGGCGGCUUAGCUAAGCCGCCGGUCAGCGGCAGCGGCGGCACCCGCUCCACGUGAACCCGGAGCCGCGGCGGGUGGCGCGGGGCGAGAUCGUGCGGGUUGGUGAGAUGGGCGGCUUGCGUUGGGCUGGGUUGCAACUGCGCGCGACCACGACAUGACGGCUUCAGGCGUGUUUGGAAUUGAUUCAGCAACUCCACAAGAAAAAUCCUUUUCAGGCCGUGAUGUGACUUGCCACCGAAUAAUUGGUCAUUUCUUCCUUGAUAUUGUGAUAUUGGUUCAUGAAUCAAUCCCCUCGCCUCGCCGCCAGUGGCGGAUCCAGGAAUGGAAAUUUACCGGGGCAACCAACGGCGGCGAAGCUUGGGGGCGCUACGCCGUUGGUCGUCGGGGUAAGGGGACCAUCCUCCUUCAUCGUCGAGACUCGAAAUGGAAAGUUAUCUGGAUGACCAACAACGACGGAGCUUGAUGAUGUUGCAUACUGGCCGGUAGGUAAGGGGUUUACCCUGCUCUGUCGUUGGAGAUCCGGGGCGGCCGGGAUCAUCAUUGCUCUCACUUAUCAUGCUCCGCCUAAACCGUUGGAUAUGAAAUUCAAAAUGUGCCAUUGAAAAAAAAGUGUCGUUGGUCUGAAAAACGCACGCUUUCACUUAUUUAAAUUUGAAAAGUUGUGGAAUGAUUGCACAUAAUAACGGCAGAGAAAUGUGACAUGGCCCACUUGUGAGUUGUGCAACGACCACACGACGAGCGCUCGUUGUUCCUUUGUUUAGCUGGGGCUUAUUUGAUUAAAAUGAUUUUCGUGAAAAUUAUAGAGGACUUUGAAAAUUCUAGCUAUGUUGGUCUUUUGGUUUGUAGGAUCAAAUAUAUAUUUUUCGCUUGUUCUGUAGGAUUAAAAAAUUCCCUACGGAUUCCUUUUAAAUACAAUUCAUAAGAAAUGUAGCUUCCACUCAAACGCCUUGAAAAUAUCACUUGGUUUUUCCAUCCCAAUACUAAGUUUUUGAUGGAAAUUUUGUUUAUAAUUCAGCGUUACACCUUUUUUAAUACGAAAAACAUUAAAAAGCAAGGUAAGUAAACAAAUAAGUAUGAUGUUUUUUUUAUAUAGAGGUUUGGUUUGUUCGAUGUGACGGCAACGCACGCAACAACAAUAACAUGGGAGCAGAAGUACCAACAACAAUGCCAAGGCUGUGACCCUCUUAUUAAAUCGGACUAACCAUACAAUGUUCGGUGAGAUGUAGCUACCGCUCUGUUUGUAAGCGUCUCUUUCAUGUACUCAACAGCCUAAUGAUAAGAUAAUAAUGUCAUCAGACCAUUAACGUAUACAAAAAGGUUGCGAGUGUAGUCCAAGCAUUGAUCGGAUCUACCUAACGGUCCCACAGUUUUGUUUUUUUAAAGUAAGUUUAUAAACCUACCAUUACUUUUUUAUAAACUGUAAAAGAAGCACACUAAUUUCGUACAACAAUAUUUUCCUUAAGAAGGACACAACUAUUUAUGUAACGCUGUAAAAAGGCUCAAGACAAGUCUGUCUUUAAAUUAAGAAAGGCGUCAAUUGGCCAUGAAUUAUAGUGACCAACAAUUUACCAAAGAGAGAAAACAGCUGAUACAUAAUGCUUACAAAUAGCAUGUUCUUUGACAAAACAAACACCAAAAACAGAAAUAAAUCGUAACUUGCAAAGUAGAUGCAAUCGCCCACCACGACAACAACAACUGAAAUACUGUACUUUUAGUAGUAUGGCUUCACAUGAGUCAUUUAGCAGUGCAAUUUCCUCGCCGAGGAAUGACCAACGGAUUGAGGACGAGGAUUGGAGUUGAGACGUGGAGAUAAGAAAGAAGAACAUGAGGAAGUGAGUGACAUUUCUUCUCGUUAAUUCAUCAAAAAGUUUAACAGUUGUUUGUUUGAGCUUAAAUUUCUUCUCGUUAAUUCAUCAAAAAGUUUAACAGUUGUUUGUUUGAGCUUACAAACGGACACGCACUAUCUACUCCCAAACUUGAAUGCUUCCUGAUGUAAAAAAAAUAGUAACAAAGAAAUCUGAUCUUUUAUGGCAAUGCUAUUUUUGAAAGCAUUUUUCAUUAUGAAAUACUAUUUUUUGCCAUGACUUCCACGUAUCUCAUUUCAUAAUGAAAAAUUCCAAGAACUCAGAACAUUUGUCAAAGUUGACUAAAAAAGGUACUUUUUGAAUUUAUUUUCAUUUUUUUGAAUGUUCCUGUUCAUCCCAAGCUCAUUUGAGGUCGGGAGUUGAAGAGGACUUCGCUUACAAUUGCGCUCCCACACUACUCGGAAGCUCAAAUAGACUUGGCACAUUAUGGCCCACCGCCCAAGGCCAAUGGAAGGCAACGGCAUAGUUUUUUCAAUGGAAAUCACCCACCAGGGCUAUGUCUCGCCCUUACCGAUUCCUAAUAGGAAUCGUCUAAGGGCGGACGACUACGUGCUGGCCCAUUAGCUGUUUAAUUCGAUGCCUUCACUUGUUCGUGUCGGGUCGCUGUUGUCGAUCGGUUUAGUCCGGUUUUCCUUCUCAUUUCCGAUUGUUUUUUCUUUGGUUUAUCUUUUUGUUCAUUAUGUUUCGAUUUUAUUUGUUGUUCCAACGGUUUUAUUUGGUUUGUUUUCUUCUUUAUACUUUGGUUUUCUUUCUUGGAAUUUUCGGUAUCUUUUAUUUUUCUUUUUGUUUCUUUGUUUUUUUUUUCAACACAUGCCUACUGUUUCAUACAUAUCAUACAUUUUUCGUGUAAUUGUAAAACAUUUUUUAUACACGUUUAAUAUUUGCAAAUACAUGUUAAACAGUUUUUUGAACGAUAAAACCCAUUUUUUGAACUAUGCCAACAUUUUUGUACAUUGUACAAACAUUUUUUGAGAUUGUCACGAACACUUUUUUUGAAACUUUUUGAAUAUUUUUUAAAUGUAACAUAAAUUUUUUAAUGUUCAAAACAUAUUUGUUGAAUUACACGAUUUUUUGCAUUUGUAUUUAAAGAAAUGUCACAUAAAUUUAUUUUGAAAUGUGCAAUAUUUUAUAAUUGUUGCAACAUUUUAUGUACAUAUGCCAACUGGUAUACAUAACUAACAUUUUCUAUGUUUUACAUUCAUAGUCAUACAUUUUUCAUAUACAACAGGAACAUUUUUCUAUACACAUUUAACAUUUUUCAGAUGCAAUACUGUCAUUUUCAAAAUUUUAUGUGAAGUGUUGUAUAUUUAUAUUUAAAAUAUUUCGAAAUAUGAACGAAAGUAAAAAAAUAGAAAUGUGAAGAAAAAAAAUGUGCAUGACAUCAGCGAGCCGUUCCUGUAAGGCUCGCAGAGGGAGGCACAUCUAUAUCUAUAUCUAUAUCUAUAUCUAUACCUACUAUUAAAGGGAAUAGAUAUUCUUGGUUUGGUUUAGUUCUUUACAUUUGGUUUACACACGUUAAGCGAUCUGGGCGAGUUACUUGUAUGUUGAUGGGCCUUUUAUGGGCUUUCAUAGAGAGACCAUGAAAAAUAAUUAGGUCAAAAAAAUCAACAUUGUAGGAAUUGAACACAAGACCUCCUGUCGAUCUUUUAGAUGUAACAACCAAAGACUUUUGCACCUUUCAUAUUUACUAAUCCCAACUCACUCUAAAUAUAUGAAUGGCAGUCAUCAUUUUUAUUUAUUUUUUUGCGAGAAAAUGAGUUAAUAUUAAAACGGCCAAAUUACUGAAAGGUCCACACAGAAAAGAAAAUUACAACCAAGCCCCUCUGCAACCUGACUACGCCGGCGCCGUAGACAAGCCGGUGACGCGCCGUUCGCCGCUGCUCGUUGACGCCUUGGAUCGAAGCAGCCCCUGGGCGAAACGGGAAGUCUCCGAUCAACGGUCCCUGAGGACCUACACCCAUGGCCGUCGUUGUCGUCGCACCGCUAAACAUCGCCUUCCUUCUCCAGAUCUUCAAUCGCCGGAAUCGCCAUCCCUCAAUCUCCGGCAUGGGGGAGCCGUGCACGGCCUCUCCACCGAGCAGCGAGCACGAAGAAAGGAGCUGGUCCACCGCGGAGCUCCACUGGAACUUCGCCGUCGAAGGGGAGACAAACACCUACAAAAAGCCGAUCCAGUCACACCGUCGCCUCCACGACGCCACCGGUUGGCUCCCUAGGCACUCCUACACUAUGUACACGCUGCAAAUCGGGCCUCCCCCGUCCUCCCGCCGCCGGAGCGUCUGGCGGAGGCCGAGGGAGCCGCCGAUUCGGCAACGGCGAGGUGGAGAGCCCGGGGUUCGCACAAAUCGCCCUUCGUUCCUGUAGAUGGAGAAGGGUGAGGUCCAAGGCUCAUGUUUAGGGUGAGCUAAUUAAGCGAAUGAGCUAAUAAAGGAAGGAUUGUGGGCUUAAAUAUAAUAUUUAAACGAAUGUGGCUAAUUAAAGAAAGGAUUAUGGGUAAAUCGGUGGAAUAACUAUUAGAAAGAUUGUGGUAUUAAUAAAUUCUACAUGAAGGAUUUGAGGUAAAAUGGUAGGAUAAUUAAAAGGAAUGAUCUAUAGGCCUUAAUGUGUUAGGGCUACUAAAUUAGAAAAGGAAGGAUUUGAUUCCCGACUAAAAUGGAUGAGGACUUCAUGGUAAUUAAUGAAAGGAUCAUACUUAAAUGCCAUUAAAAAGGAUUGUAUUUAAAUGAAAUCAGUGAGACAUUAUGUCCCGCAAAGAAAAUAUGAACACGACUAAAUUGUGAUGUAUUUUUUUAUGUUCAUUUUGUAGAAGGACAAUAUUGCAUUACAAUAUAUUCUUCAUAAUGAAUCCGAUGUUGUGAGACAUUAUGUUUGUGCAAAACAUUAAUUUUUCCGUUGCAACACACGGACAUAGGUGCUAGUAGCCACCUACGCAACGAUUUCUUCAUGGCCAGCAUGCACGCUCGCUCUGGAUCGAGGAGGCUUCUCUUGUGUGCUGGGUCCGGCGAUGACAGUGGCGACGUCUGCCUUUUAUCCAGCCCGCUGUUCCAUGGAAGGAGAUCGCGAGGAAAUCGGUAACACUUUAUGCAUCCAGUUUCUAUUUCUCCAGUGACACUUUAUGCAUCCGCGGACGCGGGCAGCGACCGAUCACCUCCUAUUUCUCCGUGUUCGUGGCCGUGCUCCUCAAAUGUCGGCCCUCCCAGACCCAUGCAAUUCGUGCAACUACCUAGAUGACACAACAACGUAGACCAACAUACUACAUAAUACUCCGUAUAGCACAAUCCGAACCCCAAAGAGCAAGUUAUUGUACAAUUGAACCCAAAAGAGCAAGUUCAUCACCGGACAGAUAAACUAGAUACAUUAAAUAAACUAGAUAAAGGUAGAGGGUCGUCGGACAUCACCAUUUCCUCGCCAGCCCCUUUCCCUUGUGGUCUCAUCCGGGACUCCAAACAAUAUUCGGUCACCAAAUCACAUAACUCAUAUAAUAUAAUAUCAUCAUCGAACGUUAAGCGUGCGGACCCUACGGGUUUGAGAACUAUGUAGACAUGACCGAGACACCUCUCCGGUCAAUAACCAAUAGCGGAACCUGAAUGCUCAUAUUGGUUCCUACAUAUUCUACGAAGAUCUUUAUCGGUCCUACCGCAAUGACAACAUAUGUUAUUCCCGUUGUCAUCGGUAUGUUACUUGCCCGAGAUUCGAUCGUCGGUAUCUUCAUACCUAGUUCAAUCUCGUUACCGGCAAGUCUCUUUACUCGUUCCGUAAUGCAUCAUCCCGCAACUAACUCAUUAGUCACAUUGCUUGCAAGGCUUAUCCUGAUGUGUAUUACCGAGAGGGCACGUAGACACCUCUCCGAUACGAUAAAUCUUAAUCUCGAUCUAUGCGAACACAAUAAACACCUUCAGAUAUACAUGUAGAGCAUCUUUACAAUCACCCAGUUACGUUGUGACAUUUGAUAUCACACAAGGUAUUCCUCCGGUAUCCGGGAGUUGCAUAAUCUCGUAGUCAAAGGAACAUGUAUAAGUCAUGAAGAAAGCAAUAUCGAUAAAACUUAACGAUCAUUAUGCUAAGCUAACAGAUGGGUCUUGUUCAUCACAUCAUUCUCCUAAUGAUGUGAUCUAGUUCAUCAAAUAACAGCACAUGUCUAUGGUUAGGAAACUUAACCAUCUUUGAUUAACGAGCUAGUCUAGUAGAGGCAUACUAGGGACACUGUGUUUUGUCUAUGUAUCCACACAUGUAUCAAGUUUCUGGUUAAUACAAUUCUAGCAUGAAUAAUAAACAUUCAUCAUGAUGUAGGGAAAUAUAAAUAACAACUUUAUUAUUGCUGCAAAAAAACUAAACCAGUGCCGCAAACCUGUCCUACGUUCUCAUGAAGCAUCUGCAGCCACGAUUGCCAAAUGUGACACUCUAUGCGUCCAUAGACAACAACCGGUCAUCGUGCUCCUCAAAUAUUUGCCCUACAAAUCUAUACAAUCCAUGCAACUACGUGUAUCAACAUUCAUAUGUAGCAUAAUAAUGCGAGCACAAUUGAACCGAACAGUGCAAGUUCAUCACGCGACAAAUAAAGUAGAUACAUUAAAUAAACCAGACAGCUAGAUAAAGGGAGAGGUACGCCGGACAUCACCAUUUCCUUGCCGGCCCUUCCCCUUGCGGUCACCAGAGCAACGGCAAUAAUAGUUCUCCACAUAGGCGUUGUCGGUGGUAGUGCUAGUCGUGCCAUUGUCGGACGUCAACGGAAUGAUGCCCGUAAAACAACGGGCGGCGCGGGCCUCAUCCUUCGCUAGGCUGGCCGCUUCGCCUUCUCCUUUUGCGGCGCACUCGGACUCUUCGAUGCCGAGCCGGAGCGCCUUCGUGUUCUUGUGACGGAGGCACCUCACGCCCGUCUCUGCGGUGAUCAGCGACCGGCGAAGGACCUCGUGCAGAAGCUGCUCCUUCAGAUCGACCAGUGUGGACAUUGCAUAGGUGCGAUAAGACCUCACGCACCUGUCCGAGAGGAACUGACCUCUGCCGCCCUCUGUGCGGCCCGCUGCCUCUCACGGCGUGCGACUUUUGCUUUCGAUUCCGGAGUCUCGACUGCUGGCUCGGCGCAACAACGAGAACCCAGUGCUGCCCGAGAGGAGCUAGGGCUAGAGGGGUAGGCGAGGGGCAUGGCCAGCGACGGGUCUGCAACGGCGGGUUAGCGCAGUCAAACUUGUGUUGCGUCGCCGAGCUACCAGGGACGACGCAAAGCUCAAGCUCCUGCCCUUGUCCAUCUGCGACCGCUAAAGGGCAUUGCAGAGCGUGAGCUCUUUGUUGUUUGGUGCCUCGCUGUCAGAGUCCUCCUCCUUGAAGAGCCCGUCUUAGUCGAUGGGAUCAGACUCGUCGCCGGAUGGCACUGCCGGAUUGGAUGUCCGAUCUAGCCAUGGUGGAGAGGAGGGGAUGGGACGGGAAGGGGAGGGGAUGAGACAUGCAGUGGAAACGGAGCGAAGCGAUUUUGCUGGGAUUGCGGAACAAAGUGAUUUUGGAGCGAAGCAACUUUGCUCACAAAUCUCUGCAGUCCAGGCUGGUACGAACAAUUUUGGUGCCGCCGUUGGAUGACAAAAAUAUGUCUAGACACUGUUCAGUCCGGAAAUUUGCGCGUGGUUUGAUGAUCCGUGUUGGAGUUACCCUUAUUUUGCUAACUUUCAGCUACUUUAUUCAUUUCUCGUUGAUUAUGCGAGUGCACCUUGAUCAUUAUUGAUAUCCUGUUGAUCCAUGUGUUAUUUGAGAGAGAGAGGAAGAGAGAGAGAGAGAGAGAGAGAAUUGGAGCAGAGUUAUGAGCAUAUCAUUUCAGAUAUAGUUCUAAGAUUCGUCAUUAAUCUGCUUAGUCAUCUCGCUUUAUUACAUUGGUAUCACGACCGCAAACAUAUCGUACCAGUCACAGUUCAAUUAUUGUACUGUUUGAGUUCUUCAAUAGGACGACACUUGUUUCGAACCGGUAGCGGUGAUGGAUCCUAGGAGCGACCAAUACUAGCAAGUCAAGUUGGCGUACCUCAGGGUACCAAAAGACUCUACUCUUCUGGAACCCGUCCAUGUCGUUUAGGCAGAGGUUGUCGACGAUGUUGGGGUACCCCCUUCAGCUUAAGAGUGUAAAAGUGUGGAAUUUCACCCCUAGCUAUGACUCCUGGUUUGGGAAGCUUGAUGGUCAUGUGUGACGCCAAUAAUUUCCUUGCCCAUUUCUAUUGAAUCUGUUUUUAUUGUUCCUUUUGUUUUCAUUUUUGUUGAAUUCAACACUACCAAUUAUUAUCUUCUUUAUCCUUUAAAUCCAGUUCAUCUAAUGAUACACCAUCAUACCAUCUUAUUAAAUAGUGAAGUAUCCGCUUGCUAAGUAUGAUUUCUCAUACUCACCCUUACUUCCUCUAUUUUCUUAUGUAGUCAUCGACUUGCAUAAGAAUGCGCAAGACUUCCAAUAAUAGGCUUGACUAGUGGGUGGGAAGCGACUAGUGAAUAUAAUGUGUUUAUUCAGCUAUUGUAGAUGCAAAGAAAUUCAUAAAGUAAACAUAUAAGCUUUUAUGAUCCCUUGAUUUAUGUCUGCUUAAUCUCACCUUGCAUGACUAUAGGCCACCUGAUGUAUAGGCACGCAGCAGCUCUCUUGCCUAGGCCUGGUAUCCGGCGUGACAACCGCCGACGUGCUGAAUUACAUUAACACAUUUCACUUAUUUGUAACCUCGAUUGAAAAAGAAUCAUGUUAAAACAUAAAUCAAGAGAAAAAAAAGUACGAAAAGUUGAUAAAAAGAGAUAUGUAAAAGAAAAAAGAAACAUACUAACGUCAUUCGAUUGUGACUUAACCAAGUCUCUAGCCGCAUCCCCGUACCGUAACUAUACUACUAUAAAUCCCAGUAUUACCCACCACAAGAAUUACAUUAUUAUUGGUGUGCACGAGGGUGAUACACCUCUACGGCACAAGAUAAAUUUCUCUUAGGAAAAAAAGAUGAACACUUCAAAAUCCACUCAUCUCAUCUCUGACAUCCGCUGUCACAUUACUCUGCUUGCUUGGCCAUCAUUCCUCAUACAAUCUUUCUGUAUGGAAUUGGCUCCCGAUGGCAGAAAAUGUACCCUAAACCGAGCGAGAAACCUCCUCAAGAUGAUCUCGCCGCCGGCGAAACCUUCAACCUCUAGUACAUGAUGAGAGACCUGCCAGGCAGGACAGCUGACAGAUCGGCGGCAGAUCCCACAGCGAGUCGCAGGGGUCGUUCCCGAUGUCGAACCCGUCGUCCUGCUCCUGCUGGACGACCCCGCUCAUGGCGGCGCCGGGCGACGCGGAGUCUUGAUCUUGCUUCUCCGGCCUCGCCCCGUCCGCGAUCACCCGGCACUCGGCCACGUUGCGUCGGGCGGCGAGCGUCGGGACGGCGGGGCUCAGCGUUGCAGGCCAUGGCUGAUGCUCGAGGUGUUGAUGGAGCUGUUCGCUGCCGUGGCUGAUCCACUGGUGGUAAGUCAUGUGGUUAGAGAGGCUGGUGGGAGUCGGGGUGUGGUGGGCGGCGGCUCCACUGGCGCUCAUGGCGAAGCUGAUGGUCGAGCUGGUGCUGCUGGUGUUGUUACCGGCGCUGCCAUUACUAGCUGCCGUGGCGAGUCUGAUGGUAACAGCGGGCUGCUGGGACGGCGCCCGCGGCGGCGGUGGCGAGGCGCUCUUCUUGAGCUUCUUGUGGGUGAGCAGGGUGCGGAUCCUGGACGCCAGCGGCGAGUCCGGCGGCGAGGAGGCGGCGGCGGGGGCGGCGGUGGCGAAGUUGGUCCGCGUGUUGGAGCCCCGGAGGAGGCAUGCGGCCUCGUCGUAGGCGCGCGCGGCCUCCUCGGCGGUCUCGAAGGUGCCGAGCCACACCCGUAUCUUGUGCGUGGUGUCCUUGAUCUCCGCCACCCACCUCCCCGACGGCCGCUGUCUCACCCCGACGAACUUGCACUUGCUGCUACCCCUCCCCUUCGCCGCCGCCGCCGCCGCCUUGCCCACCGCCGCCUCGUACUGGCAUUGCUGCUGCUGCUGCUGCUGCUGCUGGAACUGGAGCUCCAUUGAUUAAUAUAAUUAUCUCUCUCUCGAGCUGGUGUAGUCUGGUCUGAACUUUGGGUGGAGGAGGCUGUGCAUGAAUUUAAGGGAGGGGAGGCGCUGGGGCGAGGUCGUGGAGGGCUUGUCAUGGCGCGCAUGUCUGUAAUGGCGAGAUCUUUGUUAGUGGGGUAGCGGGAGGCUGAGUUUUCUAGGGGCGCUAGACGGCAAAUCCCGUAGGUUAUCUCGAUGUUUGAUGUGGUCGUACGUCGUGGCUGGCAUGUUUGUCCUCUCCCCAGGUUGACGACAGCGCCCUUUGUUUUCAGGCCGGGCGACGCGCGCUACGUGUCCAUCCGGGCUUCGAUCGCGCGCCAUGUCCUCGCCGAGGAAGGGGCGACCGACGGAUUAUUAAGGACGACGAGCGACGUGGGGCGGAUGAAGAAGAAGAUGUGACGAGGAGGAGGAGGGAGGGAGGGAGGGGGUCACGUUUUCCGUCGAAUUGAUUCAUUAUUUCUUGUGUGUUAGAGCCCGCGCACUACUUCUGAGUAGUGAUGACCAACGAGUUUUGUUUAUUGAUGCUUCUUUUGGGGACGCCAUUUGUCAGGUGUGUUGAUGAUUGGCAGUUGCAAUCAGUUGCAGUCUUCGCCGUGCUCAAAUAUGAAUUUGGCUGGUCAUUGUCAUGUAUAUACAAAAUUCAACAUGCAUCUGCCCGCUUCGUUAGUGGUUCUUCGUCCGUGCAUUUCAAAUGGUAAACCACUCGGCCGGUAGACCUAUGACCUAGCCGGCGUUCUCUUCGUCUGCAACAUGGCACGCAUAAGGGAAACAAAAACCAUGUUUAAACUUUUCUUUUAGGAAGGUCAAACACCAUAUAUUAAGUAGCAUAGACCCUUAGAAAUAUCAGUCUUGGCAUAUCUCAGUUAUGUCUCAGUACAUGCUAUAUUUGUCAGAUCUUACAUUGAGAUAUGUGUAAAAAAAUCAGUUUUUUCUUUUUUUCUUUUUUACAUGUCAUCUUAUUAUUAUUUUUUGCGGGGACAUGUCAUGUUAUUUGACUAAGGCUUGGUUAAAUUUCAGUCGACUGAGACCUAGCCACACCCAAUAUCAGUCUUGUUAAAUAUCAUUGUAGAAAAUAUAUCAUUGUUAGAAAAUGAGAAAUACACCCAAUUUUUUGGGAUGUCAAAUUCUUCUUCCUUCUGCAUCCACCGGCGUCGCGUCGUGAGCAAAGCUCGUAUCCGCCUCUCAGCCUUUGAUGCAACGGAGCAAACUUGUUUAAAUCCGAAAACUUGUAGAAGCAGCGACAAAAAAGUUGUCAAGGUAGACCGGAAGAUGGAGGCGGCUGCGGUAUGCAUAGUAAAGACUCCCAAGACCACGCGCACCAACCAAAUCCGGACGAAUCCACGAAAGACUAAAAUCAUGAAGAUCCACUGGAGACACACCUCCACCGACGCUAAGCGCACCGACAAAAUGAGAAUAGGAGAGGACACUAUUCCUACAUUGGAAUGACACCUCCACCUUCCCACCCCAAUCAAGACACUAAGGGCAUCUCCAGCCGUUCGGCCCCCCAGGGCGCCUAAAUAGAGCGGCAUGGGGGUGUGCCGGCGCUAGUUCGGCCCCUGGGGGCGACCUAGCUCCCAGUCACGCCCCCAAGCGCCGGCCCCAAGAUGCGGGAAAUUUGAACUAGGUCGUUCCCGCUCAUAAAAGACGCCACAAAUCCGGCGAUCGGACGUAGUCUGGCGUUACAAAAACAGAGCGCCGCACGCCGCAAGUUCGCGUGCGCAACGAAUCACUCGGCGGGGUCGGCUCCAGGCGUUGGCGGAGUCGGCGUGCGCGGGCUCGGCGGUGUCGGAGCUGCUUCGGUGCUGGGCUGUGUCGGCGUGGCUUCGGUACUGCUGGGCGGCGAUGUAGAGGCGUCGUUCGGGCUUGGCGUCCGUGUGGCCGUGGGCGCGGGAGCUGGCAUCGUCGCCGUUGCCGUCGGCAUCUGGUUCAGGAUGAGGCCGCGCUCCGCCAUGUACCACGCCCUGAGCUGCUCGUCGUUGCUCUGGAGCAUGUCCGCACCGCCCAUCAGAAAAGCCAUGGGCGACGACGAUCCCCAUGGAGAUCCGACGCCUUGCUGUCCCCAGGGCGCGUACUGGGCGUGGCUGACGACGGGUGGGUUCAUCAUCCCCGCGUGGUCGACCGAUGAGGAGGACGCCGCCGCGAGCGCCGCUUUGUCGCGGGCCUUCUUGGCGAUGGCCCUGUUCCGCCGAUUGGCGGUGACUGCGUCGCGUCGCUGAACUUCCACCCUCCACUCGGCGUUCGACAUGCCCGGUGGCUUCAAUGGCGGCGCCCCUCGGCUUCCUCUGCUUCGGCUGGGCCACGGUGCCAGUCGUGAUUGCCGCCGCGUGCGGCAUGGCGUACUUCUUCGGCGGCAUGGCGGCGACUCGAAGGCGGGCGGGAGGAGGGUUUGGCGGGAGGAAGGGAGGAAAUGGUGGGAGGAAGGCGAGCAAGCGGGAGGGAUGCGAGGGAAAAGCGUCAAGAAACGACGGGAAAAGGCCCUCGGGUCGCCGCCAGGGCGGACCCACGCGCCUUUUUCGCUUGUGCCGGCUCCCCAAGCACCCCCCAGGGCGUCGGGUUCGGCCUGGGUCCGCCGGCACCAGUUUUGGCCCGAGCCGGCGAAAAACGGUCUUCUGGGGGCGCGACUGGGCCCUUUUUUUGGCGCCGGCACGGCAAAAACGCCUGGGGAAGGCCUGUUGGGGGCGCGGCUGGAGAUGCUCUAAGACUACAUGGCAAAGCUAGGCUGAGUCGCUGCUAAAGGUCGUUGGCAUGCUAAGAGCAUCUCCAACAGGGGCUCAAAAAUUCCUCAGACAGUAAAAACAAUCAUUUUUGUGCUCCGGAGACAGAAAACAGCACUCCUGCAGACGCUGUAAAAUAGAGCGUGCACAAAAAGUUUUGGCGCAUGGGUGUGCGCGCAGCCUGCUGCGCUGCAAUUUUGGGGGUGCCGGAUUAUGCGCGCGGACACGCUCAUAAGCUGCUUUAUCCACAAAGGUGUUCAAAUAAACGAGUACAAAAUAUGUAACCAUGAAUUUGUGAAACUUGUGUUUUUCUCUCUCAUGUGUUAACACACAAUCUAAGCCAAACAACAACAACAACAACAAAAACAACAACAACAACAACAACAACAACAAAAUAUUGAGUGAUUGACAAAAAAACUACCAUUUUAGGGGUUUGCGUCCCACAGAACUACCACUUUAAAAAAAGUGACCGAAAACUACCAAAAUUUUCUAAUUUUAUGACUAAAACUACCACUUUCAGAUAAUGACCAAUUUAAACUAUUUAAACGUGUUUAUGACAGGCGGGGCCAUCUGUCAGCGGACUCAGCGCGACGUGGCGUCAAAGUCAACUUCACAGGAGAGGCGGACGACGAGCGCCCGCGCGUGGAAGCUCGUCGGCGGGAACCUAGCGGGUGCGGUUACGUAGGGAAGGGCUCGAGGUCGGGCGCGAGCGUCCUUCAACACGACCUUCACUGUGGACGUGGACGGCGGCGACUCUGACGCCGCGUCGUUCGUGGUGCUCCUUGACAGCUUCCCGUCGGUCAACAUCGGGAACGAGAAGUACGGUCCUCGCCGCAACACUAGCAACUCGGUCGUGCUCGCUGCAUCCAUGCCGAACGCCACCAACGGCCUCGCCAAUGUUGAGGUCGGCUCGGUGAGCUCGUACGGGCCGCGGCCGCCGCCGGGCGUCGGCCUGAACAUCACCAUCACGCCCAACCGAUCAUCGCCCGCCGACACCAGCCAGCUCGCCGUGCGGAUCGAGUACGACGCCCCCACGCACCGCCUCUCAGUCUACGCCCACGACACGGCCGCCGACUACCCGCCCGUCAACGACAGAACCACCCUCCUCCUCGACGCGCCACUCGACCUGGCCGACUGCCUGCCCGCCAAGGCCGCACCGGUGGGGUUCUACGACUCCACGGUCCCACGCCGGCAUCCGGCAGGGGCGGCUACGUCGGGGCCGGUGCGAGGAAGCGGCUGCGUGGGGGCGCGACGCCGGGCCCUCCCUGCUGAGCCCGGUGGAGGGCGACAGGUUCAGCUGCUGCGCGUGGGCUCGACGCCGGGCCCUCCCUGUUGAGCCCGGUGGACGGCGGCGGAGGUGGCGCGCCGGUGCAGACAAGGUGUUUGGGAAAAUGCCACAGAGAGGAGGAAGAAGGAGGAGGUUGACGCUGACACGUGGGCCUCGCCUGUCAUAAACACGUUUACAUCGUCUAAACUGGUCUUUAUCUGAAAGUGGUAGUUUUUAGUCAUAAAAUUAUAAAAUUUUGGUACUACCUCCGUCCGGGAUUUUAAGGCCGUAGAGCAACGAAGCGCUGUCCGGUUUUCUAAGGCCUGUUGCUGUUCCCUACGUAUCUGUCGAUAGUAUUAAUUGGAGAGGCUGCAUCCUGAUUGGGCAUGGGACACGCAUGCGGUGGGGAGCUGUGGCUGCAUGCAUGCAGGCUAGCGGAUUGGCAAGGCGAUUAAUCAUCCUAGCAAGUUAACUGGCCAGAUUUAAAGCUAAAAACUGCUUACGAGGUGCCUUGGUCUGGGAGAUUUGGUCUUUAGGCCCAAUAUACCCGGACGGAGGUAGUAGUUUUCGGUCACUUUUUUAAGUGAUAGUUCUGUGGGACGCAAACCUCUAAAAUGGUAUUUUUUGUCAAUCACUCAAAAAUACUCUACUAAAUACUGAAGCUGCCAAAAGCCCUUGGUUUUUCCAAAACUGCAAAUUACUAUAGUACUCCUUCUGUCUAGGUGUAUAAGUCACCUUACAAAGACAAAAUAAUCCCAGAACACUUAGGCGUGAUACAUUAAUUCUCACCUCGUUUUUUGUUUCUUGACAUAAGUAAAGGAAUCAACCAAUAAGAGAUGUGGGACGUGUAUAUGCUUUCAAUGACUUGAGACUACCACACACGACAUGCAGUGCUCAGUUCAUUGCAUGCAAUGCAAUUAAUUAACAAAUAAGCAUUAAAUUCUCUCGUUUUCCCCUUUGUCUUGGUCACGGUGCACAACCUACUCCCUCCUUCCAUCUAUAUAGGGCCUAAUGCGUUUCUCGAGGCUAACUUUGACAAAAUAUUAGAGCAAUAAUAUAUGUCAUGCAACUUACACAAAGCAUACCGUCAAAUUCGUAUGUGAAAGGAGCUUUCAAUGAUAUAAUUUUCAUAUUAUGCAUGUCAUGUACUAUUAAUCUUAUUAAUAGUCAAAGACGGUCUUGAAAAAUGCAUUAGGCCUUAUAUAAAUGGAAGGAGGGAGUAAGAUGACUUAUGCACCUAGACGAAGGGAGUACUCAUGGUCAGUUUAUAUAUUGUGGUAUUUCAUGGCUGCAUGUUAUGAUAUUGUGGUUUUCACAUAUUUUUGUUUUAAAAAUAUUCUGUCACCAAACAUAAACUAGAAGUAUCAAACAAAAGAAGUUCUUCAAUAUAUAAGAUAUAAGUGUAAAUGUUUCAUUUAAUUUUAUUUAUGUUUGGGCUCGAAUAAUGAGGGUUAACUGCAAACAAACAAAUGACAUACUCCCUGCGUCCUUGAAAAAUUGUACUUUCAACUUUGUUGAAGGGUCAAACUAUCUCAAAUUUUGACCAAGUUUGUGCAAAAAUAUAUCAAUGUUUGUGAAACCAAAUAGGUAUAUGACAAAAAUAUAUUUUAUCAUGAAUCUAGUGCUACUUAUUUGAUGCCAUAUGUUGGUCCAUUAUUGUACUAUAAAAUGCGGUCAAAUAUAAAAAAGUUUGACUUUUCAACAAAGUUGAAAGUACACUCUUUUAAGGAUGAAGGGAGUACAUACUAGAUCAGCUUUAUUAUAAUUAAAGAAGUUACUUAGAGAACACAAGCACUUGUUGCAUUGUGAGGGGGUGUUUGGUUCAGAAGUCCUAAGACUUUUUCUAGUCCCAGGGACUAAUCAAAAAAGACUCUCCAGUAGAGUCUUUUUCUAGUCCCUGUAGAAAAAGUCUCUCCCAUUUGAUUCCUAGAGACUUUUUAGAGACUUUUUCUUAUCUCUAGGACUAAAAAGUCUCUGAACCAAACAUCCCCUGAGUGAGUGCAGCAAUCAGAGCCACUGGACUACCCUCACCCUCAAGAAAAUGUGUGUAUCAGCUGCCCCGGUUUCCCCAAUUUCUCUAGUGUAACUGAUGCUGAGAAAUCAUCGUUGGCCUCGAGAUUCUUGAGCUGAAAAAUGGUAAAUGUAGCCAGCACAGACUUCAACUUGCUGUUGAGUUGGGUGCUGGCAGCCGAGUCUGAGUGCACGACGUUGAUCCAACAGAAGCUUCGACCACUUGGUAGGGGGCACAGAAACUGCCUUGUUGAGAUGUGGUCUAUUGGCCCAACGAGGAACUCCCGGAUGGGAAGCCACUUGGUACCGUUCAUGGGGAGGGAGAAGAGCAUGAUUGCAUCAACAUUAUCGUUGCUCUUGGUUUUUGUACAGGCGGCAAACAUGCGAUCGCAGAGGGGUGUUGGCUGCCCGAUGAAAGGCAGGUUACUGCCGUCGACAAGUUCCCAUGUUUUCUUGGCGACAUGGAAGACGUAGGUGCCCUCCUCUUGUUGCAGGGAGAGGAAGAUGCGUCCAUCUACGGCGGCGUAGGACCCGACGCAUACCUCCGGCGGGUUACGGAACUCGACCGGGGUGAGUCUGCAGGGGAAGAAAGGCAGUGGCGGUAGUUCCUCCCAGUAGGCAAAGCACUCCUCGGUGGCGUAGGGGUUAAUGGAGGGGAUGCCAUCCUCGAAGCUUAUGACCUCGAACCAUGGCACGAAGUCCGUAGAGCAUGCCCCCGUGCGAGAUCAGGACGGGCUCGUGCUUGGGAGACAGGACUGGCGGGCCCUGGAUCACCUCCGACGUGCUGGCGUCGUAGGUGAUGGUUCUCUUGCCGCCGACGCCGACGAUCCAGUCGCCGCGGUGCGUCGAAGAAUUCACGGCGACGAAGGACAUGCCCGGCGCGCCGAAGGGUACCCCGGCGUGGCUCGGCGGCUUGAUUACCUCGCACUUGUUCUCGGUCUGGUGCUCCACCACCAGGUACAGACCAUUAGGUGGUACUGGUGCGAUCUUGUCAGCGGGACGGUGUGGCUCUCGCUCUUCUGAUCUUUUUGGUCUCUUUCUCCGCCCCUGCUCUGCUGCUCCUCGUCACGAUCUGGUCUCCAUGUUCUCCUCCUCCGUCGCCAUGGGAGGAAGUUAGUUAGCUAGGGUUUCGCUCACAAACAGGGGCGGUGGCGGUUUUCUCUGCGAUCGAUUGGAUGCGGUCCUCCCACAGAAGGGGAUAUAUAUCAACUUGUGGUUGGAUGAUAAGAGAGACUGGUAUUUUCAACCCAUCAGAGUUUAAAUCCUGGUGCUCGCAUUUAUUUCUGAAUUUAUUUCAGGAUUUCUGGCGAUGAGCAUUCAGUGGGAGGAGACGUUCCCGUCGAUGUCAAGGUGCCUACGUUGACUUCAUAAAUUUUAAGAUGAUAUGCCGGCUCAGUCUUUCGAAGAUGCUCAUAGAGAUAGUGUGUGCGUGUGUGCGUUCAUAGAGAUGAGUGUAUAGACGUGUAUAUAAACGCAUGUGUCUAUACUGAUGUUAAAAAAAAAACUUCUCCGUCGGGAAGUGGAGGGAUGGGAGAAGAGACCGAGAGAGAGAGACGGACCAGAAUCUAGCGUCAAGGGCGGUGCGACCGAAAAUCACGUGAUUCGCACUAAAGCAAACCGAAAGAAAACAGGCGGUAAACCAUUGGACGUAGCCACCGUGUCAAACUACCGUACGUGUCAGUUUUAUACUUUUUGAAUCAGAACGUGUUGUCAAUAUAUCUGGUUCAUAACGUGCCGAUAUAUAGGCGCCGGCCCGCCAGCCCAAAUUCGGGCCCGGCGCACAUGUACGUCUGAUUAAAGCCCAUUGACCGUCAGAUUUAAGACCCUUUUCAUUCCUACCACACCGUUUCUUUCUAGGCGACUGAUAGGCGCCGGUACGCCGACUCAAAUUCGGGUCGGUCGCACCCUAUACGUCCAAUUAAAGUCCCUUGACCGUUAGAUUCGAGACCCUUUUUGUCCUUAUCAUGCCGUUUCUUUUUUUUCCCCUGCAAAUCAUGCAUGCACGCACAGCGGGCACGAGCGCUAUGGACAAGCGAUGUGACCCGCCAGAUCUCCAUCGCUCGCCGGAUUUCCACCGCUUGCCACCUCUCUUCGCAGCUCCAAUUCACUGUCAUCGCACGCCUUCCUCGUCUCGUCGUCGUUCCAGCACCACCACCUGCCGGAUGCAGAUCUGUCAAACGUCGGUUCCAGCAACUCAUGUUGCCCACCAUAGCACGGUUCGCCCCCUCUGGAUCACCACCACCGUCGACCUGCACCACCGGAUUCGAGCGAAAAAACACAUCUCAACAAAAAAAAACUCCAAUGAGUUGCAGCAAACCCAAAAUCGGUUCCAGCAAAAAAAAUUAGUAGUUUCCAGCAAAAUGACCUAAACAACUAGCAAACUCAGUAAUAUGAGAUAUAACUUCAAAACAAUAUAAACGAGAAUAGAAAAACAUUAUGCAAAAUGGACGUAUCAGGCCCGGGGCUAUUAUUCCCAUCUACUCUCGUAGAAUAAACUCCCAGUGGCACUUCAUACACUCCAUUGUAAUCCCUCGCAUCAGGUAUACCGGCCAUGAAUAACAAUACCAAGCAGUAUGGAGGGUAUUACUCCUCACCGGAGGACCAAACCUGGGUAAAACCCCUGUGUGACCCCUGACCUAAGACUACCAACCGCGCUAGCUAGUUAUCCUACCGAUGGUACUGACAGGAUUGUGCACCAUCAAUUGGUAAUCACGCUUUAACGUAUUUUCUAAAAAGAAAAUUGUUUAUACUUGAAUGUUUACAAUUAAAAAGGUAAAAAUAAAAUGCAAAAUGUAUAAAAAAAUGAAGAAAAAACAGAGAAAGGUGAAAAAUUAAGAAAUAAUAAAUGGAGAAAACAAAAGGAAUUAUUAUAGUUUUCCACAAAAAAUUUAGAACAUAAAAAUAAACAAUAAAAAUAAGAAUAAAAUAUCAAGCACCACACAAAAGGCAGUACCACAAAAAAUCUAUAUAUGUUUUUUAAAACUCUUGCACUAUUAAAAUGUUUAUAUUUCUUUAAAAAUGGAAUGAAUACAAACAUAAAAGUGAAAAAUAGUUAAACCAGAAAAUAUAUAAUAAAAAGGAUAACUGAAUAAGGAAAACUAAAUAUGGGAGAAAAUAGGAAAGAUAAAAAAUAAGUUUAAAAUGGGAAAGCAAAAAAUGAACUGAAAAAAGAAAAAAAUAAGUACCAUCAAAAAUUGGAAACCAGUACCUCAAAAAAUGAACCGAUAAUUAUAUAGAAAACCCCUUUAAAAAAAUACAAAGAAGCAGUUGGAGUGUGAACCACUAAUUGGUCGACUCAAGAGGGUGCCCACGGGCGAUUUGGUAUAUAGAAAGAAGUUUGGUGGAUCACUUCCUUAAGAGAAAAACUCUGUCUUGCGGUAGUACUUCCAUGAGAGGAUUCCUUAUUUAGCGUUUCCUUAAAUGGAGUUUCCUAUUUGUGAACAAUAUUUCAUUUCUAUUUGAUACUCACUAUAAUUUUUGUUCUUAGUAUGACACUCCAAUCAUUUUUCACCACUAACUGUGUUAUGGUGCCUUGAAAAGACAAUGUUUCACCUGGUACACCUAUGUGAGACAUCUUUGCUUCAUAUUUAUCUCAGUAGGCGGGUCCCUUUUCCAUCAUUUGUAUCUCAGUACGUGGGUCCCAUUUCUCACCAAACAAAUAAUAGAACUGGAGGAAAAAUAUACAUCGCCAAGGAUAAAUAAAUCAUGAAUGUGGUAGUUUUUCUCUUGUUUUCCUUUCAGUUUCUUUGUUCUUUUUCUACUUAUUUUCCUUUUGUUUCUUACUUAAAAAUAUAAAAACUUUGUUUACCAAUAUAUGGAAAAAAAUUAUAGCAUCUAAUGCACUUUCCUUUUCAAAAAUAUUUAUGAUUGUUCUCAAGGUAUACAAAAUCUAGGAUUUAAUAAGAAAAAAAGGGAAAUAGAGAAAAUAUUAUGUGCCUGUUUAAUGGGCCGUGCCCGCGGCCAGCAUAUUAGUGUUCCCUGUGGGCGAGGUGAGCUUCAUGCUUGCUGAAGACGGUAUAUAGACGCUCCCACUAGGAGGAAAAACUGUUUCUUGCUGCCCCUACAGGCUUUGUGGUCGUGCUCUCCACAAUUUGUUUUUUUUAGCACACUCUCCACAAUUUGUGUGGGGCGCGCGCGCACUCAGGAUCGAGGAGGAUACGUACGUAUGUGCCGUUGCUGAAUCUAACGACAUGGCGACGUCUGCCUUUCGGCCGCUUGGAAUUAUCUGCCGAUGUGAUGUGAUGCAACAACUGAUCAAAGACAACGGCCAAUCAUAUGACGCGGGGCUCAACUGUAGCCUCUCCCAGUCCAUAAAACAAUUCCCGCUUCCUUCUCCUGUUGGUUACCACUCCUACAUCCCAAGCAGGCAAGCACUAGUGCUGCAUGCUAACUGUACACUAACUAACAACCUGUGCCGUUUCGCGGAAGCAGAUCGAGGAAACUGAUGAACAACAUGAGCUUGGUUGGUUCGUUGGUUGGCAGGUUGUUUGUUUACACUUCUCGCCAGAAUGCUGAGCACGAUGGAUUGACCCCAGCUAGCUAUCAGCUACUAAUAUCUUCUCGGAGCUUUAUUCUAUUGGAUGACAACUUUCGAAUUAAGUACUUAGGUUUUCUGAUUACGUAUAUGAUCUACCUGCCUGCUUAUACACUAUACCUGCCUGCUUAUACACACGGUAGCUAAGCAUGUCACCGAUGAGGAGGGUUUGACUCUCUCACGUUAUUACGUACUCCUCCCUUCUCCCCAUGCGUUUACUCAGCUGUGAUGAUAGUCCCUUGCUUGCUGCAUGCUCGUACCAUUUUUAUUCUUUAAUUUUUUUCCCUCCUGCGUGCGUGCAUCCGAUUCUCAUGCUGACGCCUCCUCGUACCUUGCCACUUUCAUAGUCUACUCAACUGCCUUUCUUUUCUUUUAUUUUACUUUUUGCAGAAAGUUGUGACCUUAAUCUGUGUUGCAAGUAUAGGAAUAUACCUAUGCGCUUGUAUGUUCACUUUUCGUCCAUCACAUCAACUACUAACCCAAAGAAGAAAAAGCAACAUCCAUCCUUAACGCCACCCAUGUUCAGUGAUGGACCAUUUCAGAAUUUCUUGGGCAACCUGUCGAUUUAAAAAGAAAAGGAGGGGUACCGCCGUGAAUGGCGGCGUAUCCACAUUGUUAGGCAUGAGAUCAUACUGGAUUAAAAACUACCCCAUCGUCUCUUAAUAUAGUGCGUUAUUACAUAUAACAUACUUACAUAUUGAAUAUAAUAAUGUCUUAUAUUAUGAGACGUGUAUAUUGAAUUAAUAACAUCUUAUAUUAUAUAAGACCGAGGGAGUACAAUAUUUACAAGCAAGCGGCCGGUGGCCUCAUUUGAUUCCACAUGCUUGUAGCUUUCACUUCACUGGGGAGUUUUCCUUGGAAGGCUUGGAGAGGGAGGGAUUGAGAAAGUAUCCUUACGAGCUCGAGCUCAAAUGAACAGUAAAAUCAAAAAAAAAAUAAGUGCUUCCAAUUUUUUUGUGAUAAAAUUUGACAAAUGUUUUAAGUGUUUUUUCAUCAUCAGAUCACAUUCGUGGAAGACGCGGCAAAAAAAAAAAACAGUGCUCGAAAAUGCUUUCGAAAGUAGCAUUUUCGGAGCAUUGAUUUUUUUGUCACGCUUUCCACGAAUGUGAUCUCAUGAUGAAAAUUUGCAAGCACUUAUUAGAACAUUUAUCAAAGUUUACCACAAAAGAAUUUAGUUUUUUGUUUUACUAUUCAUCCAAGUUCAUUUGAGCUCGAGCUCAGCACGUCCGAGGGAUUGCCGCUAUGUUUCCAUUACACUAUUGGGGGGGGGGCAUACAUGGCUGGUCCUGUCAUUUUAGUGGUCCUGAGAAAAAUAAGAAUGCAGGCCCUUAGACUACUUAUGGUGGGAGUAAUAUAAGUAGUAACAUGCAUGUCACAUAAGCAGAAGAAAGUGACGUGUCAUGUAAUUAAAGAGAAGAGAGAUAAAUAAAGUAGCAUUAUUUGCUACCAUCACAUACCGCUUUCUAAUGAAAAAUGACUCUACAAACUAAUAAAUAAAGGUCUCUAUGUUAUCAUACUUAUGACACUACCCACUAUGUCAUCCAUUAGUAACAUAGACUAGUAACUUAUGCAUGUUAUCUAAGUUACUCCUCACUAUGACUAGCCUCAAUAUAACCAGUUAAUACGACUAAUGCGAAAUGACACAUAUACUCCGAAUAAUCUUAUUGUAACGCCCUCGAUGCGGCUAUAUCUCCUACGUGUCGAAGCACGACUUAGAGGCAUAACCGCAUUGAAAGCAAUGUCGCAAGUAAGGUAAUCUUCACAACAACCCAUGUAAAUAGAUAAAAAGGGGAAAGGUACAUAGUUGGCUUACACUCGCCACGUCACACAAAAUACAUAAAUAGCAUUACAAUUAUCCAAUACACUCAUGGUCCGACUAUGGUACCAAAAUAAAAGAUCAACCCCAACAAGCGACAUGGUCCCGAUCGCCCAAACUGGGCACCACUACUGAUCAUCAGGGAAAGACACAUAGAAACGGCGUGAGUCUUCGUAGAACUCCCACUUGAGCUCAAGCGCAUCAUCUGGAACGGAGUCAUCGGGCCCUGCAUCUGGUUUGGAAGUAAUCUGUGAGCCACGGGGACUCAGCAAUCUCGCACCCUCGGGAUCAAGACUAUUUAAGCUUAUAGGUAAGACAAUGUAAUAUGUGGAGCUGCAGCAAGUGACUAGCAUAUUUGGUGGCUAACCUGUUCGCAAAAUAGAGCGAGAAGAGAAGGCAAAGCACGAACGAAGAACUAAAGAACAACCUACGGCAAACAUUACUCCAACACCGUGUUCACUUCCCGGACUCCGCCGAGAAGAGACCAUCACGGUAACACACGCAGUUGAUUCAUUUUAAUUAAGUUAAGGUUCAAGUUAUCUACAACCGGACAUUAACAAAUUCCCAUCUGCCCAUAACCGCAGGCACGACUUUCGAAAGUUCAAAUCCCUGCAGGGGAGUCCCAACUUAGCCCAUCACAAGCUCUCACGGUCAACGAAGGAUAAUCCUUCUUCCGAGACAAUCCGAUCAGACUCGGCAUCCCGGUUCUACAAGACAACUUCGACAAUGGUAAAACAAGUCCAGCAACACCGCCCGAAUGUGCCGACAAAUCCCGAUAGGAGCUGCACAUAUCUCGUCCUCAGGGCACACUCAGAUAGGUCAAGCUACGAGUAAAACCAACCCUCGAGUUUCCCCGAGGUGGCCCCGCAGGCUGCCUAGUUCGGACCAACACUCAGAGGAGCACUGGCCCGGGGAGGGGGGGGGUUUAAAUAAAGAUGACCCUCGGGCUCCGGAAACCCAAGGGAAAAAGAGGCUAGGUGGCAAAUGGUAAAAGCAAGGUUGGGCAUUGCUGGAGGAGUUUUAUUCAAGGCGAACUGUCAAGCGGUUCCCAUUAUCACCCAACCGCGUAAGGAACGCAAAAUCCGGGAAUAUAACACCGAUAUGACGGAAACUAGGGCGGCAAGAGUG
rnacentral:lncRNA from 1 species